UCUCUGUCUUCCUGCUAUAUAAUAGCCCAUUUUGUUUAAUUUUCCGUAGGAAAGAAUAGAAGAUUUUUGUCAGUCUCAAAUCAAGUAUCUGGUAUUCGGUUUUCUUUUGGUAGCUUCUCCCGAAAGCCUGUUAAAGCUUCUCAAUAACUUGUAUUGAAAUAGAUGUUUUAUAUUUCACGGUGUUCUCAUUAAGCUGAUGGAGUACUUUCACUCACAGCUUAGAAUGGAGUGGCAGGACAAUUACCUACACUAGUCUUACAUUUUACUGUGGUUAUCAUAUAAGAAAAGAAAUCCUUCAAAUAAUUUGUCCUUUUUGAAAAAUUGGCUGUCCAUUUUAAGUUCUCCUACAUUGUCUGAAGAACAUAAAAAAUUAUGCGAUCAUGCUCUUCCUCAUUGUUGGUUUUGUUGUGCUCAGGAGCCUUGAACUUGGGCAAGUAAAAAAACCACAGUUGAACUCAAUCUGUUCUACAAUGGAGGAUGUGCUUAGUAUGGCAUGGGAAACUGUUUCAGAAGGCUCUGCUCGGUUACUUUUGCAGCGUUGUUAUAGGCUGAUACAGCAAAUCCCAAGACUUGGUAAAUAUCCUUCCUGAACAAACACAAUUUUAAAUACCACUCAUAAAUGUAACAUAAAAUUAUUUCAUGAUUAUGUAUUUUAGUUUCUAAUAAUUGUCAAGUUCUUUCUCUGGUACAGUGUGAACUACAGUGUUCUUUCAUGGCACAGUGCCAGUUAUUAUUUUUGGAUCUCUGAACUCAUUGAUACAAGCCCUUUACAAUUUCCCUUACGCUUCUUGAGUUUGGGUGUUGAUUUGAUAAUGACCCAGUGAUUAAACAAAAUCAUCAUAAGGAGACAAAGAUAAGGAACAAUUUUCACUAAAUGGAAGUAUUUAUGUCAUUACCUACUCUCUAAAUAAGGUUACAAAUACUAGACAAAGGAGGUACACCUGUGAAUUACAACAUAAAGAGCUUCUGAAUUGAAGAGUUACUUCGUUGACAUUUGUCAUCUAUUUGUCAAGAUAAAUUUAAAAAAAAAUUUGUGACAAAAACUGGAAGAAUAACCUAUUGCUGUUUUGGAAGUAAUUUGUUCUAUUUGUAGAUAGCUGCUGCUGAUUGUUUCUUUGCAUGUCCAUUGAGUUUUAAAAUCUAUUUCACUUUGACUUCAAAUUUAGUUUUUUUAAUAGCAAUUUUUCAUUUCAUUUAGGAACAUUAAAAAUUGUAUGCAGCCUUUUGAAAUUUUUUAAUCAUGCAAUGUCAUUUUCUUGCUUUGCUUUUUUUUUUCUCAAAUAAAGCCAUCUGUUUAGUAAACAUGGAAAAUGGAUUGAUAUGCAACCCAAAAAGUUCAUAAUGACAACUAAAUAACAGAUGACAGAUUAGAUAAGAAGAAGUCAUUAAGUUGGCCUAUAAAAGGACAGCCAUCUGUACCACUAAAACAAUCUUCCAAUUGAUGGCAGUAAUAAUUUUCUGAGUCCAUGACAGCUAAGAAUUGCUAGAAUAAAAUGGAAAGCUUGUAAAUCGAGAAGUGGAACUUAAUUUUGGGUAAUUAGCCUAACUAUUUUGUUCCAGUGUUACAUGACGAGUGGAGGUUACAACAAAAUCCUUUGAGAACAAAAAACAUUUAUUCUGUGUAUGCAUGUGUGUUUUAUCUGACACACAAAAUGACUAAUUUACCCUUCUUUUGUUUGACUGAAUUAUUUAAAAAUGUAGAGAGUCUAAAUCAUUGAGGAUUAAAAAGAUUUAUGUUUUAGGAUUCUUUAAAGUUCUAGUUUACAGAUAACUGAUUGAUAACUAAAACAUAAAUUUACUGGAAAUGUUUAAGGAUAAGUAGUCACAGACUCCCGGAGUGAAAAGGUCCAUAGGACUAACUGCCCUGGCUUAGCCAGUCCUGUCCUCAAAGUCAAGUCCAAUUUUAUGAUCCCUAACAAAAUACUAAAGAAUAACAAGAAUAAAGUAUACUACUGAUUCCCUAAGAUAAUGGUUUAUAUUUAGUAGAGUUAAGCAGAAUCAGCCAUCAGAUAUUACCAAUUGGACCGGCGUACUUUGAGAGAAGCCAUAUUUGGUGACAUUUAAAAAUAAGAUUGAAUUAGUUGGCUUUGAUAUAGAAUUGUUUUUUAUAUUCACUCUCAGCAGUGAGCUAAUCCUCUCAAUAACACUAAAAUAUUUGAACCUUUGCUUUUUAACACGGACUUAUUAUUAGAAUUAAAUUUGGGAAAGGUGACUUAACUGGCAUUGAAUUCUUGUUCUGAUAACUACUCUGUAUCUGUUUCUUCAGACUGGGUUGGCUUGGGGCUUUUUCGAGAAUCAUCUUAUAUCAGAACCUAAGGAGAUACUAAACUGAGUCUGUUUUUAGCAGGGUAUAGGAAUGUAUGCCUUCAAAUCCUAUGCCUUGGAUUUUCAUUUUUACAAAUCUGAUGGGCCACAUAUAUGGGUUGGAAAAGUUUAAAAUAAGGAUAGGAAUAAUAAAGUAAGUCACUAAUCAGUCUGCCUUUCACAGGUAAUGACUAAUACUAUUAAUGUGCAUACUUUUUUACUAUGAGUUUAUGUAUGCUUUAAAAAUAAAAUAAUUGUAUUUUAAACAAUUUUGGUGCCAUUUUUCAUUUAAUAUGUUACAAGCAUGUCAUAUGUCAUAAAAAUUAAUUAUAGCAUAGGAGUCUAUUGUAUCACAUACCAUUUUUUAUAUUGCCACUUUUUUAUCGUGAGACAUUUGGAUUCUCCAGCCCAUCAUCGUGAUAGAAAAAUCCUACUACAUAAGUCUCUGGCCAUCUCUUCUUGUUUCCUUAGAGUUCUAAGAAGUAGAAUAGAUAGGAUAAAUAUAUAAAAUUUGUUAAGGUUUUGGGGUCAUAUUACCAAAUUUCUCUCUAAAAAAGCUAUCAGCUGAACAGGACUGUAUGAAUGUCAACUUCUUUACACACUUCUUAUAAAUUUUUAAAAAUUACUGCAAUUUUGAAAGUGUGUCUGUCUCAUUUUAACUUGAUUUUUGCUUGAGAUUGACUUUUUUACAGAUUUGUUUUUCAGCCACUCAAAUACUUCUGGGAAUUGGCUAUUCUGUAUCAUUUCUAAAGAGUUGGCUUUAUUUAAUGUUAUUAAUUUGUAACUUUUUCUAACAAAAGCUCUAUGUUUGCAUAGAUGUUUAAAAAAAUAAAAAAUCUCACUUUUUUGUUUGAUUAAGGCUACUAUGCCAAGCAGUAUUCAUGCUUAAUUUGUUGUCUAAAUUGAUUAGACAAAGAAGAGUAAUUCAGGUUUAGACUCACCAGCAGAAGGAGAUGUAGGGAACACCUGGUACUGAGGUUCAGGUUCUGUGUGCCCUGAGGGAAGGUAAGAAAUUCCCUUUGGCAGUUUUCACUCUUAAGCCUUUUUAGUAGACCCUCUACUGGGCAGAGCACUUGAUAUGUAGUAUACUUUGUAUAGUGCAUAAUAAUCACCUAAGCAGUUAAACUUUUACCAACCAGGCCUGGGCAUCUUACAGAAAAAGAGAAGCAGCACCCCACUUUUUUUAAUGUUUUAGGGCCGAUGGAAGAGGUAGUUAGAGAAGCAGUGGAGGAUUCAGCUUCAUGGUAAAUGGGUCUGAAUUUUUGGCUUUCAGAAGGAAUUAGGUUAAGUCUGAAGAAGGGGUCAUAGUUGAAGUUGGUAAAAUAAUAUUAAGAUCACCUUGAAAUUUUUUUAGGAAAAAUGAUUUCAAAUUUAUCUUGUUAAACUGUUGAAAUAAAUGUUAAGAACUGAUCUCCAAACAAAUCAAUUGAUCAACUGAAAGUGAAUGCCAUCCAGUGAGCCACCUGUUUUGCUUUAAGGAAUUGAUCUCCAAGGGAGGUAUAAAUGUAGGACUGAAUCCCCCACACUGAGAAUGCGAGGCCACUCUGACCAGAGGGAGCUCCUAGGUAAGAGCUCCCCUAUUUCCUGGCACCUGACAAAACUGGGUAAGUAGGACUCUGAUAAGAAAUGCUUUUAGGUCAGGUAUGGUGCAUUGAGCCUGUAAACCCAGUGACCUGUGAGGCUGAGGUUGGGAGGAUCACUUGAAGCUAGGAGUUUGAGAUCAGCCUAGGCAACAUAGCAAGACCCUUCCUCUAAAAGUAUGAAUAAAAAUUUUAAAAAAUUACCUGACUGUGGUGGUGGACAACUGCAAUCUCAGCUACUCAGUAGCCUGAGGCCGGAGGAUCACAUGAACCUAGGAGUUGAAGGCUGCGGUAAGCUGUCAUUGCACCACUGUACUUUAGCCUGAAUGACAGAGUAAGACUCCAUCUCUUAAAAAAAAAUUUUAAAAAAGAAAUGCUUUUAGAAAAAGCAUAGCUUUUUGUAUUAAAUAUGAGUUAAUAUACACAUGCUGCUUGAAGCAAGAUAUGAAAGAAUUUGACAUCUGGGUAUAGUGAGUACCUGUGAUAUUUCUUUCAAUUUUAACAUGUGUUGAGUUGUACAAUUCUUAGUUUCGUAUUGUUUUGUAUGAAUCUUUUACCUUUAAAGGAACCUGUUUUAGGCUCACCACUGACAGACUGAGUGCUUAAAAUCUCCUAGCAUAUUUUUGUCUGCAUCAUCCAAGCUUAUUGUUGCCUCAUAAUUAAGUUGCUUCUCUUGGCUCUUAUGCAGCCUCUAGUAAAAUAACUCACUUAUUUUCUCUGCACUUAGUAUUUAUUGAGGGCCUUCUAUGAGCAAGGCAUGCUCCUCAGUGCUGGAAAUACAAAAAUGAGAGCCAUGGUUUCUUAUCUUAAGUAGCAAUUAAUUACUCCAGUGGAUAAGACAGUCACCGGAAGAGCUAAUUACGAUACAGGGCAAGAAGUGAAAUGAUGGAGAUUGCACAGGAUGUUAGCAAGCUAUAAGGAGGAACAAACUUAUCAAAGAAGGCUUCUUCAGGGUAAGAGCUAGCUAAUUAAAUCUUUAGAGGGCACAGGGGUUAGCCAGGUCUAGGACUGAGAAGGAAGGGCAUGGUUUCUGCAUGGGUCUAUAAGUGAUUUUGUUGUGUUAGGAAAUAAGAUAUGAGCAGAGAAUGACAAAGAUGACUGACUGGUUUCCUUGCGAGCUGAGUACUAGACUAUUAGAUUCUCUAGAUUUUCACAAGGCCCCAGGGCAAGUAGUAAUAGGAGGAUUCUAUAGGAAUGUUUAUCUUGCUUUCCUCACCACAUCAUGGUGGUGUUUGCAGCAUUUUACAGGUAUUAUCAGUUAGCUCAUCCUUUGCUUUUAUCUGUAGUGAUAGCAAAUUUUUAUGAUGCAACUUAGAAGUAUUACAGGUAAUAACUCCUUCACCAUAGUCUCCAUUUCCCUGACCCUGCUCUUGACUACCUCUGUUGCAUAUAUCAUUAGACAAAAUUAUAAGUCAAAGGAAGAAAAUGUGCCUUUCUCAUUUUCUGCAUAUAAAGUUACACCAGACCUCUCUUUCCACUAUGCCCAUCAACUGUAGAACUCAAGGUAUUGGGCUGCUGUGAGAUGAGGUGGCUUGCGUCUGAGUGUAAUUCAAUGUAUUGCUUCCUUCAUUGAGAAAGUACUAUUACAAAAAAUAAAUAUCAGUCAAACUAAACAAUGUGCCUAGUGAUACAGUUAAUUAACAUUAAGGGGUAGGCCCCUUGUAUUAGUUUGCUGUCGCUAUAUAACAAAUUACUCCAAAUUUAGUGGUGCUAAGAUAACACACCUUUAUUAUCUCAUAGUUCAUGUGAGUCAGAAGUUCAGACAUGGGUUAAUGGCUUUUUUUUGCUUCAGUGUCCUACCAGGCUGCAAUAUAGCUUUUGGCUGGGGCUGUGGUCUCAUCAGCUGCUUGACUGGGAAGGGAUCUACUUCCAAGCUCCCUCAGGUUGUUGACAGACUUCGUUUCUUUGUGGCUGUAGGAUUCAUGACAGUUUGCUUCUUCAAAGCCAACAAGGGAGAGAGACUCUCGAGUGAGUUUGCUAGCAAGAUGGAGUUUUACAUAACAUAAUCAUAGCAGUAACAUUCUAUCAUCUUUGCAUUUCUUUUGGUUGGAAGCAAAUCACUGACACUGUUCACACUCAAGAGAGGAGAUUACACACAAGAGCAUGAAUACAGGGGGCUGGAUCAUGGAGUUUACCUGUUCAUCACGCUUAUCUUAGACCAAAAAAGAAAAAAAUAGGUUUUGGAGUGGCAAUAUUCCAUAGCCAUACUUUAAGUAGCACUGUUGGUGGAAUACAGGGAGGAAGGAGGGAGAAGAAAUGGGAGGAAGUCACCUCUUACUUGUUUUUAGCUUCCUGGACCAGGAACAAAGGUGACAUCAUCUUUGGGAAAGCACAAAUGCUUAAACAUGUGUCUUAUUUGUUCUACAUAAUGGUUUUAAAAAUUGUGACGUUACGUACAAUUUUGGAGAUAAUAUGUAGAAAUUGCUAUUUGUGGUUCCAUUUAAUAUGUAUAUAUAAAAUCAUGGGAGUUUGGAGCUCUACCCUUCUACAUGGCAAAUAUUGGUUAGAGAUUAGUAGCUGAAACCCACUUUUAGUUGGGAUAUGGGCUUGCCAGUUCAGUGCCAUCUCCACUACUCAGAAGCCAAGUACACAUGUACACUAUUACCAAGUUUUCCCUGCUUGCUUACUAUACCUGCCCUGGCUUCUUCAGGCAUCUGAGUUGGGAGUCUCCAGGACCCUCAGUUCCCCAGUUGCAACUGACAUUAUUAUUUUAACUGUGGUGCUUGAUCCUUUCACUCCUGAUGUAGGUAUGGGAGUGUGUACUGUAAUAAUCUGUUAAUUUUAUUUCUGCAGAACCUAGUCAUUACUUACAGCAUUUCUGGUGAGUGGCUCCUACACCAAUACCAAUUGUCUUCUAUUGUUUUAUCAAACUAAUGAUCUCCACUGCCUUAAUUUUAGCUGUUCCAGCCAGAUAGACAAGAGAAUGAAUCAGGAAAUUCUAACUGCUUGAGAAAACAGAUGUCAACAUAACUAGGUUUUACCCUCAUGGAGUUGACAGUCUGGAAGGGGCUAUGUGAUGUUAGUUAUAAAUAUGAUAAUCAUAUAUGAUUUACGGUAAGUUACCUUAUGAAUUCAGCAAUGGAACUGGCUUUCCAACAUUUUUAAAAUUGUGAUUUCUUUAGAAAAUUUUGUCCAAGUUGUGUAAAAUUUAAAAGGAAAUAUUGAUCUUUGAAUUGCUUUUUCUCAGGAAGCUAUGUUUGCUGAAGUCCUUAUAUAUACGUUUAUUAAUAAACAGUUUAUCUUUGGAGGCUUGUAUAUUUUUGGAGUUUAGUACCUUCUGAAAAACUUAGACUUACAAUGAAUCUUUUGGAAUAUGUUUGCUUAUCAAUUAUAUAUUUAAAAAAUAGAGAGUAAACUCCUUAAUUGUAGGGAUUGGUCUGAUUAUUACCUUUUAGGCAAAAUAGCAAGCAUUCCAGAAAACAUCUGGAAAUCCAAAUUGUUUAUAUUCGUCCACGUGGUAAGCAUUAAGACAUAAUAGUUUUAAUUUCUUUUAUGUAAUGCACUAUGUGUCUGUCCUUCUCACAAAAUCCGUAAACAGCUUGAAAUCAUGGAAUCUUCUCAGUACCUAGAACAGAGGUUGACACUUGGUGGCUUGUGAGCUGAAUUCAGCAGUAGAUGUAUUGUUGAGUAAGCUUCCAGCACUUCAAAAUUCAGACUGUGCAUACAAAUUUAAUUUUGUCUUUUCUCUUUUAAAAAAUAGAAAAUGAAUAAUUUUUUAUUAGUUACUUUAAUAAAACCCAGUACUACUUUGAUUUUAUGCAACCUGAUGUUCUAUUUGGAGAAUAAUCUUACUGCAAAGUACAAAGCUUAUAUGUGAAUCUGUUGGAUGUCAAGUAGUGCCAUACUACACAUGUUUAUUUCUCUUAUACCUACAAUCAGCUGGGGUCACCUAGGCAAAUGUGCUGAGGUUGGCUAAGUUCAAUCACAUGUCAGGGUUAGCUGGCUGGGCAAUGAUCUAGGCUGUUCUUGGCUGAAUGACUUAGCUCCGCUCUAAAUAUUUUGUAUCCGCCAGCAGGCUAUCCCUGGCAUGUUCUAAUGCUGAUGGCAAAUAGGAAGAGCACAAAGAGAAAUACACAAAGCCUUUUCAAGUCUCUUUCCAAGUCCAUUUGCUGAUAUCACAUUGGCCAAGUCAAGUUACAUGGCUAAGCCAAGCAUCCAAAGGUGAGUCAGGAUGCAGAGUGGGAAGACAUUGCAAAUUACAUGGGGCCAUUUUUGCUCUCUGCCACAAGAGCUGUGGUCUAGGUGCCUGUGACUUAUUGCCAAGUCCCAGGUAUACUUACACAUGUGUGUGUCUUACCUUGUAUUUCUUAGAAUUAUAAAUCUAAGCUCUUUCAAAAAAGGAAAGUUAAUAAAUAAAUGGCAAUCUCUAUUCCUUUAGUGGUUUUUAUUUUGUUCUACAUGUUAAUUUUCUUUGUGAAAAAAAAACCCAAAAAUAAAAUCCUUAGUUUUAAUAUAAACUCUAUGAUCUUGGUUAAAAAAAAUUUGACACUGCUAUUUGUGAAAAGAUUUCAACAUUAUUGAACAUAUAUACAAGCUGUUUAUUAUUUUGCUUACAGGUGGAAAUACUGGGUUUAAAAAUUGAUAAAGCAGCAAUAAUUAACAACCUAAUCUAAAAACUCUCCUUUGCUAAGUAAUUGCUUUUUUCAUUCAUUUAUUCAUCCAUUGAUUUGUUAAACAAACAUUUGUCAAUUCUUAGGUGUGGUUAGAUAAUUACAAAUAGACACAAUUUUUUUUUCAGUAUACUUUUUGCCCUUACAGGAUUAUUCAUGUUACUAAUUUACCAUGAAUUUCUUUUUAAAAUGAAAGGGUAGGCCAGGUGUGGUGGCUCACACCUGUAAUCCCAGAACUUUGGGAGGCUAAGGAGGGUGGAUCAACUGAGGUGAGGAGUUUGAGACCAGCCUGGCCAACAUGGUGAAACCUCGUCUUUAGUAAAAAUGCAAAAAUUAGCCGGGCAUGGUGGUGGGCGCCUGUAAUCCCAGCUACUUGGGAGGCUGAGGCAGGAGAAUCGCUUGAACCCAGGAGGGGGAGGUUGCAGUGAGCCAAGAUCGUGCUAUUGCACUCCAGCCUGGGCAACAAGAGCGAGACUUUGUCUCAAAAAAAAAUGAAAAGAUAGGCAUGCUUGGGGUUUGGGGCAAAUAACACAAAAGUGUGUACAAAACAAAACAAAACAAAAAACAAACCCCCCCCCCCCCCAAACCAGUGGUGAUCUGAAGACAGGAUUGAAUGUUUUCAAUUUUGCUUCCAAGUGGAGAAUCAUCUCGGGGCUGUAGAAUGAAUUUUCCUUCUUAAGACACAUUUUCCUGUACCUACAGGCGUUUGCAUCUACAAUAACUAUUGAUGUGAGAGUGUUACAGUUUUGUUUUAGUAAAUUGCAUGAGUAAUCGUCCCCCCAGCACUUGCUAAGUUGAUGCUUCCUUUUUUAAUGGCUGUAAUGUAUUUGUAAACAUGUCUCUUAACUUACUUGAAAACAUGUUGGUUCCAUCUCAUUUAUUUGCAGACAACUUACUGUCUGUUGAAACUUCAGCUUCUUUUAUUCUAAUGACUCCUUUGAAAUAUUAUUUUAAUGAACCUAUGAAACACAUCAUUGUAUUCUUUAUAUUGUGGUUGGACUGCUAAUGAGACUCAUCCAUUAAGUAAAUGGCUUUGUAGACAAUGCAAAUGUAAUAACUAAAGUUAGUCUAUUCUUCUUUACUACUUUUCUGCUGAUAGGCAUACCACAUACCGAGAAGGUAAUGUUUCACGACCAAAACAGUUCAGUUGGUAGGCAGAUUGGGAAUCUUUGCAUUGGAAAAAAAAAAUUCAAGAAUAUCAUAAAAGUAUAUUUGCAACUCCAUCUAUUUUUUAUCAAAUCAUAAGAUAAUAUAUUUCCCAUGUAAGCAUUAUAUUUCUAGAUGAUACGCCUGAUAGAAGAAAUUAAGUGUCCAUAUGAUCUACAGGAAAAAAUCUUUAAGGUAAUAAAUUUUAAAAAUCUAUUUUAAAACAUAAAAUUUCUAAGAAAGCAACAUCCAUAAAAUGGAUUGCUACAGAAACCUAAAUUCAGGUCCUUUUCAUAUUGACUUCAUUAUGGACUUGAAUUUUUCUGCCUUAAUAAAAGGAUGUAGGUCUCAAAACUCAUCUUGCACAUCUUGUUUUAAUGCAAUUUAGUUGCAACUGUUGCAGAGCUUUGUUCCUUAGUUCAGCUAAAACUGGGUUCUUGUCACACCACCAGGAAAAGUUAGGCAUGGAGACAGUUUGAAGGAUGAGGGGAAUGGAAUUUAUUUGGCGAAAAGGAAAAAAGAAAACAAACUCUCAGCAAAGCGUGGGGGAUUCCUGCUAACAGGUCCUCAUCUCAUAGAUCGAUUCCAGGCCACACAGAUGAGCUGAAGAGCACAGGCUCCUCCCCUGGGUAAGGUGCAAAUUCCCUGUGGCUCCACCCACUUCCCUCAGUGCACAUAUCUGGCUCCAGUCUGCUUUGGGCAUGUCCAGUUGACAAGAGCUGUCAUUAUUAGCAUUAUUUAUUUUCACAUUUAUAAUUGAAUGGUUUUAUAGGCUUGUGACUUCAGAUCAGUGAAAACAGAAAGAUAUCCUUACCAUGUUGUUAUUUUUCCACUACUCUUAUAGGUAGCAAAAGCUGGCUAAGCUGGUAGAAUUUCUAGGUUUCCAAUGCUGUAAAGAGCACUAGCCUCUCUAAUAAUAAAAAUAUUAAUUGAUGGACAUUGCGUGAGGACUCUCUAAGGAGUCACUGUGUAUUUGGGCGCAGACAUGGGCAAAUGUUGGCAGGGAACACACUCUGCUUCCCUAGCCAGGACUUUCUCUAUUACGUUAAACCAGUUGCCCUUGGGAUUGAUGGUGGAAAUGAAAUCUUAAAAGGAAGAAUAGAUAAGACCAAGCUUUGCAGAGCAACAAAGGUGAAAAACUAUCCUUAGUUGUGGAAGUGAUUUUCCUAUCAAUAAAUUACCAAUGCAUCUUCAAGUAAGAAAUGUUAGCUUAAAUACAAAUUAAUAGAAUGCAUCUGUGUGUAUAUACAAAUAUGUUAGUAACUGUGAAACCAGGUGUUUCUUAUAAUUGAUAGCAUGUCAUAGUUUUCAAAAAGACAUUUUCUUUCUUAAAGUGCAUAAAAUAAUGGUAGGUCUUACUACUGAUGUCAUUCAAGAUUCAAUAAACUGUUGUAAUUUAGGAAUUUAGCACUGUGUUCCUAUUAAAAGGUCCAUAAUGGAAGGUAAAGAUGGUGUUUCUAUCUUGAGACGAUAGUCUACUUUCAUGAUUUUGACAAUGGAAACAAUGCCAUCUUUUAGUCACAAACUGGAUUUGGUAGAUCAUUCUAGGUUCUCGUUCUAGUCUACAAUUGGUUUUCUGAAAUCUAAUAAUUUAUCCAUUCUCUGUGAGCUUGAAAAGCAAGGAGAGUAUCCACAUAGGUCCAAGCCAUCAUGAAUACUUAGUUCUCCUCCUAGUUGAACAGUGUGAUUGUAGGUAUUUAACAAUAGCAGGAAUUGGUAAAGAAGCUUAUUCCUGGCUAUGAGAUUCCUUGACAGUAAGCUGUAGACCAGGAAGGUCAGUAGUUCUCAUGCUGUCUCUAAUUGAUGAGUUAGUGUUACCUGGUGUGCUGUGUUGGAACUCACUGUGAGGCCCUGCCCAGCUUCAACAGGGACCUGUAGUAAGAUCCAGGGGAAUACUUGUCAUGGACACGUACUGGAUGUCCCUAAUAGGAGGACAACAUAUAUCAUCUCUGUUGUACACACUUAGUAAUUUGUUCAUUACCAGUAUGACACAAAUGAUUUAAAAUUUGUGAAGUAUGGGGAAAAGGGAUUAGGAUGUUCCUAAUCUUAAAUAAAGCAUAUGAUUUUCAUAAAGUUUACUUUAAAGCAAUUUAUAGUGUUUAUACAAAGGGAAAUUUGCUAAUGACAUUGCCUUAAGUAACAUCUGGGAUUUGUUUUGAAAUAGUUUUGUGAGUGAUAGUGGAGGUAUAAAUGAUUCAUUAUAUCAUUCUAUGUCUUUGAAAUUUUUUAUGAUAAAAAGAAAAAAUCUUAAAAUGUAGACUUUUAUGAUAUCUUGGCUAAUAAAAUUCUUUGAAGUGGGUGAUGGACUGAUUUGAUACCAGUUUCCAAAGAGUGUUAGAAUACAGUUUUCGUGUGGCUUAUUUUUCAAUUAGAAAAAAAAAUCUUGAAAGAUACUUAUAAAUCUAGCUUUAUUAACUUUCCUGACAAACCCUAAAAGUCAACACGUUAUCUUCUAACAAGUUUGGAGGCGUCUCUAAAAUACAGCCUGUAGCUAUUUAUGUAGUUUCUCCUCACUGUUCCUCCUCCAGUGUUUGCCUUUUAUGGCCUCAAGAGAGAGCAUAAUCUGAAAUAAUUUCUAGGAUGCAAACACAUUGCUGAAGAUAUGGGCUCAUGGAAUGUGUUCUCUGUAGUACUGACACGAGUGACUUUUCUCAAUCUGUUUCCAACAUGAGGCAAGAAUCUUCAGUUGAAAUAUGGAGAAAAUAGAUACAAAAUACAAGUAUUUCUAUGCAUUAGCUGCCUAAUGUUCACUCUUCUAGAUUGCUAUUCAUAUUCUCUUUGUUGGACGCAUCUCAGUCUGCUCCCUGAGUUGUCCCUAGUUGUCAUCAAACAAAAACAGCAAUAUUGAAAACAGUAAAAAUGUAAAUGCAAGACAGAGAAUGGAGAAGUAUUAGCUGUUUCCAAUCAAAUGCUACCCAUCAGUAAAAUAUAGAAAAUACACUUCACUGAAGACCUUUUUGAAAUAAUGAUUAAUUACUUUUUAAAGGAAUUAUUCUAGAGAUAUGCUAAGCUACUCAGCAGUAAUUUAAAGUUGGCAACCUGUUAACAGAUCCCCGUCUGUUCCACUGAGGUCGGCCAGCUUCUGUUGGAUAACUGUAGUCAUAGAGUUUGAAAGCAAAGUGCAAAAUGCCAUCCUUAAAAUUGGAGCUGUUGCAUUAAAUUAUGUCACAUUUGAUGACAGGUCACAAGAGAAAGUGAUACAUGAUUUUUACAACAUGAGCCACCAAAAGCAUGCUUCAUGGAAUUCUAGUAGUCCACCACUGUUGGGAAAGAAGUUAGUUUCUGUCAAAAAUUAAGACAGUCCAGGGCUUUUAAAGGAGAAGUAAAGACAGAAAGGGAUGGUUUAAUCUCUUGUUGUGGACAGAUGUAUCCACAGUGCAUCAGAAUGUGGGUGGAGGAAAGAGGUAUUCUACUAUAGAUAGUGAUAUUAGUCUUACCAAUUUAAAAUUGCAGCCUAGACUAUCAUCUUAAAAAUGAAACAUUAUUAAUUAGGUUUCAAAGGGCAUGAUGGCAAAGCGUAGUGGAAAAUUUGGGGUGGUAUUAGUAGCAUAUCUGGGGAAAGUGGUGUUAGGAAUAUUUAAUACACCACCUUUCCUCAUCUUUAAUACACCACCUUUCUUCAUCAUACCUACAUAGACUUGGUACAGGUAAAAAUCUAAUCAAACAACGGAGUGAAUAGAUAUGAGCUAUACUUAAAUAGCUGGACCUCUUCCUUUUGAUUGCCUGCUGCCUCCCUAUAGUUCUAUCUUAGAGACUGCUAGGGAGUGUUUUAAUCAGGCUUUUGAUUAGAUAAGUCCAUUGCUUCAUUCCUCUGCCCUGUCUCUUCCCCCAUUCCCUACACUUGCAGAAUUGCAGGCAGCUUUCAGAAUCUCAGUAGAUUCUACAAAGUAGAAAUCUCCUCCAAAAUAUUAGUAUUGGUCUACUAGGCACCCUCACACAGGGCAAUUUAUGUUGACUUAUUCUGUAGUUUUUUUAGUAUAUUGAUUUACAUUUUGAAAGAAUGUAUAGAAGGUAUAAUUCAUUAUUAAAAACCAGGAUAUGCAAAAAGAAGAUCCCUGGGGUGUAACUAUCAGUUGUUAUUGUAAACAAAUCGCUAUAGACUCUAAUUUUUUAUUUAGAGGACAUCAGUCCUGUCUUCAUGUGAGAAGACAAUAUGGCUGAGUUUACUAAUAUAAUUUCUGUGCCAAAAUUAGCUGUGGAUUAGAGUGAUGACAAAUUCCUUGGGAAGGUUGGAUGAGAGAUCCUCUAUGAUAGAACUUGCUUAAAAAGCCAGUAAAUGUGAGCAGAUUUCCAAUUUUUGCUCCAAUACUUUUACCUUCUGCAUUUGUAAUCACUCUUUAUAAUUCUCAACUUUCAGUAUCUCCAGACAAUAUUUUUCCUUCCAUUGAGUCUUAGUUAAACAUCUUACUUCUCUUUCAAAGCCAAAAUCUUGUUGGGCUCAAAGUUUUUUCUCUUUCUGUGUUCCAUGUUGCUUUUAAGUCUUCAUGCUUUACUUGAGGGAAUGGGCCAACUCAUAGUUUUACAGAAUUAUGUAAAUCAUCUUGCUGUUGAUCAGAAGAGAAGAAUAUUCAAUCUAUUAAAAGCUUCACAAUAAUGUGAAUGUAUUUAAAGACACAAACUGUAUAUUUAAACAUUAAAAUGGUAAAUUUUAUGUUAAAUAGGUUUUAUCACAGUAAUCUUUUUAAAAUCAGAAUUUGGUGUCCAAACACAAAACAUUCAUAAACCUAGGAUGAGAAUCUCAGACCCUGUGUUAUAUCUGCCACACUAUGGAACCUAGCAGUCUAUUCAGUGACUUUUAAAUCCUAUUGAGUGAUCAGCUGCCUGAUAUGCUAUGCAAAGAGCUCUCUCUGCUCCUUAAACAUUGCUCAUGCAAUUGUGUAUUCAAUAACUACUUACUGAUAGAUGCAGGAUGCAGAUAAAAGGAGGGUCCUGGAGAAUCUCUGACCCACCCUCACAUUAUUGGGAGAACAGGGUGAAGCCAGGGGAAGUUCACCUCCUGUGCAGUGGGGAGGAGCCUGGCAUCUUCAGGUCCUGUGUAUGGCUUGGAAUUCAAUGUGUGAGGUGAUGGCCUGUUAGCAGGAUCCCCUCUUGCUUUGCUGAGAGUUUUUUUUCUUUUUUCUUUUUCACCCAAUAAAUUCCAAUUCCCUUACCCUUCAAUGUGUCCACGUUUCUAAUCCUCGCUGGUCAUGUGACAAGAACCUCGUUUUGGCUGAACUAAGGAACAAAAUUCUGCAAGAUUACUAAGACCCAUGCCACGUACAGGGUUCUGACCCAGGCGGUGCGAAUAUUUCCCUGGUAGCCUUACACACAGCCUUUGGUUACCUCGCACUAAAAUACCCAUGAAGACACAAAAAGAAAAAAGAAAUUCACUGUAACAUCUGUUAAGUUGGAAGUCAAUCUAAGUGUAGAAUUUGGGAAAGACUGUUGCUAAUUAUAAAGCAGAGAGACUACAUAGAGGCAUCUUCUCAGAGAUAAGCAUAUAGCAUUUCCUACCUUCAGUCUAUUAAAAAAAAAAUCAAGAGGGAGAGCAGGAAAAAGCAACCAAUGGUGUGUUACCUUCAAGGCAUGGAUCCCAACAGAGCUUAGAACGCAGUAAAAAGAUUUUCUACAAGUAAUUAUGAUUUGUGAUAGAAACACAUUUUUCUCAUUCAAUCCUGCCUUUGUCUCCACGUGGGCCUGGUUCUCCAGGCUUCUGUAGAGUUUGUGUAUCUAUGGGUUUUAAAUGCAGUGCUUAUUUGAACAGAUUUUAAUUUCUCAGUUUUUAUUUACUCAAUUUUUAAACUGUACUGGUUAUUUAACCCUUUAAAAUUAUAAAUUCAACAUAUUAUUACAAAAUAAUACAUGCAACGAUGAGGCUUAAUAUAGGUAUACCUUACAAACUAAAGUGCUGUGUGGAUAUAUCCAGCUCAAAACAACACACCCCCACGGUGGAAUGAGAACGCAGUCAUCCUUCUGUGUACUCAAGGAUAUACUCAUCGUAUAACAAAAUCCGUGAAUACUCAAGUCCCGCAUUUGGCUCUGUGGAUCUGCAGAUACCAAAAGUCAGCCAUCCAAAUAUGGAGGUAUCAUAUUCCCCAAUGCUAUACUAUUAAUCCAUGUUUCAUUUAAAAAAAAUUCUCAUAUAGGCCGGGUGCAGUGGCUCACACCUGUAAUCCAGCACUUUGGGAGGCUGAGAUGGGCGCAUCACAAGGUCAGGAGUUAGAGACCAGCCUGGCCUACAUAGUGAAACCCCAUCUCUACUAAAAAUACAAAAAUUAGCCAGGCAUGGUCCCAGAUAUUUGGUAGGCUGAGGCAAGAGAAUCACUUGAACCUGGGAGGCAAAGGUUGUGGUGAGCCAAGAUGACGCCACUGCACUGCAGCCUGGGCAACAGAGUGAGACUCUGUCUCAAAAAAAGAAAAAAGUCCUCCUCAUAUAAGUGGACACUCACAGUUAAAACCUGUGUUGUUCAAGGGUCAACUGUAUAUUCUCAAUAAUUAAUUAUCCUGCAGCCCAUCGUCUUGCAUAUUCUGACAUGUUGCUUAAAAUGUUCUCAAGUGAUUACAUUUGUGUAUAUUUAAUCUUUCUAACCAUAUAGUUACUUGUCUGAAGUUCAAGUCCUCCCUUGAUUUGUAUCUGUUCAGAGCAGCUAGUCAAGUCUUUUGCAUCUGAAGGGCAUGGAUGGUGGAAGGGCUGCAGUGGAUUACCAUUGUCUGCCAUGGGCUCCCAAGAACAGUGAUCAGAGGCAAUGUACCACUUACUUCUAAUUCGGUUGUAGGAGAUAAUACAUGUAUGUUGAUUAUGGGAAGAGUCACCAAAGAAAGCCAUAUGUUUUUCUUCUCGCUUCCUAUUUAUAUAAAAAUGUGACCUUACCUUCAACUUCAUUUGCAGAUGUCUGUUCUUGAAAUUUAUUUCCUAAAGUUUUUAGUAAUGAUUUUCAAUUACUUAAGGCUGCUGCAUUAAAAUACAGCAAUCAUAUCACUGUUUCUGUAAUAAGUCCUUUAUUGCCUUAAUUGCUAAUGGUGGAACAACUGAGUUCAGAGAAGAAAACUUAAAAAAAAUUAAACACCCCUCCAUAAAAUUUUGAGGCAGAAGAACCUGUGCCAGAGCAUAAUUUGACAUGUUUGCAUUUAAAAUCAAACCAGAGGUGUCAAAACCCAUCUGUUUAGUUAGGUCUUCCAGUGAGUGAUUGGCAACUUUCAGAAUCUCCUCUUUUGGAAAUAAAGAUUCUAAGCCUUUAAAAAAAAAUCUCAAAGUCUGCAAUGGUUCAGGAGAACAUUAAAAAUGAGCGUGCAUAGCAACAAGGUGAGAACAUGGCCCACCGUGUUGUCUGUGGAUGAUUUACACAUGGUGCCCAGGAACACCAGAGCUUGAGUUGGUUUCUGUGCACACAUCUGUUCCGAAGCACGAUGUAGUUAAUUUCAGUCACUAGUGUUUUGAUUCACAGCUGUUACAAAAUAGGGAUUCCACUUUUGUCAUGUUGGCUACAAAUAUUUCCUUCUGGCAGAUGGGAUUCUUCUUUCUGAGGCAGGAAAUAAAAUUCUAGAGGGUAAAUGAGAAUAAGUAAGGAGCUUGGGUAAACUGAUCGGCUCGCGUCCCUCUGACACGUACUUGAGGUGUUGAGAGCCAACUGUCAACAGAACGCCUAUGUGUGCUGAGCAAAGUGUGAGCAUAGAAUUCCAAGAAGUUACUGCUGCCUGGUAAGUUAAUUUUCUUAUCUUCCAUGGGUGUGUUAGGUGAGAAUUAGAAAUAAGAGUAUUACUUUUAGACGUGGUCUUUGUUUCAGAUAUGGAUUCAGAUAUGGACUAGAAAUAUAGUGUGCUGGCUCAAAAUGAAUCUCUCUUUAAUACUGAAGAGGUUUAGGAAAGUUAGUUUACUUUUGGAUCCUGAGAUCCAAAUCAAGAAAGAAAAAAAAGGAAAGAAAAAUUGACAUCCAAAGAAAAUAUUUGAAGAUCAAAGAGCAAAAAUCACUCAUUUUAUAUAUAAACACACAUAUGCAUAUGUGCAUACAUACUUACAUAUUGCAUAUAUUAUAGCAAUAGAUAUCAUAAAAUUAUAUGUGUAUAUUCAUAAAUACAUAACAGAAAUAGCAAAUGUAAAGUUUUACAAACUAUAUGCCAGAUGGUAUCUUCUGUGGGUCCCCUCCUUUACACUAAGUCUGUAAAGGAGGCCUUGUUAUGUCUAUUUCAGGGUUAAGGAAACUGAGGUCAUGCAGCUAUUAAGUAGUGCGCUGAGGUUUGAGGCAGGCCCAUCUGAUUCUUUCCAUUCCCCAGCCUCUUUUCUCUUUAAUUCUGAGGGAAGGCUUAAUUUGCAGUUGGUGUUUUGCGUAUCAGUUGGUAAUUUAUGUGCUCUAAUAAAUAAAUAGGCAGUUUAUUCCCCAUCACAGUACCACCAUUAUGUGCCAUGGUCUUCUGUAUUCACUGGUGCUGUUCAGAUAUGUCAUACCAUGCAGAAAACCACAUGUGCUCUAUCUUUCUCAGGCAACAUCUAAGUGGUCUAGUAACUGCAAGUCUUUAUGUGGUAACCAUGCUUUUUGAACUCUUUUUUGGAAGGCAGCAUGUGAUAAAGGAUUUCUAUCAAUUCUAGGUAUAAGAAACAAUCUGACAUAUAUACUAUGGAUGUAAAUAAAAUACUGGGACCAGACAUAGACAUGGUGGCGCAUGCCUAUAAUCACAGAACUUUGAGAAGCCAAGGCCUGGUGGAGAUCAUGCCGCUGCACUCGAGUCUGGGCGCCACAGUGAGACCCUGUCUCAAAUAAAUAAGUAAAUAAAUAAAUAGGAUCUCUAAAUAAUUAGAUGAUUUACAGGAAUAGAGUUUUUGUGGUAUAGAUGAUUGUGAAAAAUCAGGUAUAUAUGCUUUAUCAUACACUGUUAUAGCAUUGGACAGGUCUUCGGGCUAGUAGCGAUUAAUGGGAAAGCUAUAGUCUUAAAGUGGAAUGUGGUGGAAUUUGAGCAAUUUCUUCUGAUUAAUCUUAGUGAUGCAGAAUAUAUGUAUGCUUCCCUUUAUGGAAGAUUCUCUAGAAAACGCAUUCCAUCCUGUCCCCUGCUGCAUCUCAGGUAUGACACUUCUCUCAAGGUCUCUACAUAAAUGGGAAAAAAAAUUCGAAAAGAAACAUUAUUUGAAAAAUUACCUUACAAAUGGAAACUUGGGUGUUCGAUUUUUCGAACUGGUAAAAAUGCCCAGGCUUGAUAGUAAUGUGUGACUGUGUAUUCCAGGAUACACUUCGGUGCCCAUACAAAGUACUUCCUGAGUUUGAUUGUACCCAGUGACCAGGAAUGCAAACUGUUUUCUUUAUGGGAUUUUCAGACAUUCCAGUCCCCCAAGAGUCUUUCUCUGCCAUCUCUGGGCUUUAUGGAAACCCCAGGUACACCUGUAUGUCAUGUGGUUUCCCAGAAGCCUUUAGUGUGUCUGUCUUAUUUCAGUACUCUCUCCCAGGAUCAUAACUCAGUUUAUCAAAGCAACUCAGUGCAGUGGGGUGUACGAGACAGCACGGCUAACUUGUCCACCAUGAAAGCCUCUGAGGGAUAUGAGUGGUCUGUGGUAUUUUUGCCAUAGGUUUAUGGUUUUGUCACUUAAGUUAUGCUUAUUUGUAUGUGUCAUGACAAAACAUAACAUGUAUUUCAAAAUUAGUAAUUAGCAGCAAAGGAAGAAUGAUUGCAUCAUUAAGCAUCCCUUUAAUUAGAAAUGGUGUGUACCAAGAAUUAUUCAGGCAUUACUUCAUUUAAAUUUUAGAGAUGAGGAGACAGUCAGAACACAUGCUUACAUAGCUAGAAAGUAGUAAAGCCACGAAACCGAGUUUUUCAGAUUCCAGAAGCAGGCUUUUAACCAUUAUUUAACUGUUUUAACUCCCUGAUAGAACUUCAUGUCUUCCUAGUGGGCGGAAAAAAAAAAUAGAGAAGGCACACCUUGCGAUUUUUCCUACCUUUCGAUAAAAAAGUAUGCAUUCCCUAAUGUAGAGCAGCAUAAUUUAUCACAUUAAGGAAAGAAUUGUUGUCUCAAUUGUGAACUUAGCCCAAGAAUAAAUGUUGCCAAGCUUACCUCCGUCUUGUAGAAAAGCAAAACCAUAAUUCAUCAGUAAUGAAUUUUGGUCUGUGUUGUAGUUUGUGUGUGGUCGUGGCAAGUACGUAACCAGUAUAUAUAAAUGAAAUUUCUGUCCACUGAUUUUAUUUUCUCUCUGUCUACAUCUUCAAGCAUAACAGAUACACUCAUCAAACUGACAAAGAACUUUUUUUUUUUUUUUUGCUUACUUUGACAUAAUGCAACUGCAGUGAGUUUUUUUAAAUAGUCUUAGUCUGCAUUCUAGUCACAUGCCUUCCUCUGCCCUAUUUGCUUCUCUCUUUAAGUUUUCUGAAUUGCUAACUUACUGUAUGUUAUUAUCUAAUUCAAUGCUGUCUAACGGAACUUUCUGCAGUGCUGGAAAUGUUCUCCACUGUUCUGUCUACUAUGCCAGUAGCCACAUGUGGUCAUGGACAAUGAGGACCUGAAUUUCCAAUUUUUAUUAACUAAAGUUUUGUUAAUUUAAAUAGCCAUGUGUGGCUGGUGGCUACCAUAUUGGAUAGCACAGAUCUAUUUAGAUUUUGGCAGCUGAGGUGAUUCUUGAGCACAAAAUGUGAUAAAUGAGAUCUUGAAAUUUAUAAGGGAACUUUAAACUAUUUUCAAGUUCCAAAAUUUGGGCUAUGUUCAAGUGUUCUAGAAUAAAGCCAUUCUUUAACAGCUGACUUUUAACCACUCUUUUCAUAGGCAUUCAAGAGACUGAUUACUUUUAAUCUCCUUUGUAACUAAAGAAGAGCCAAAAUGGCGCUCACCUGUCUGAGACUUCCUUUUGGUCAGGGUUUUUGUGCAGGUCUUGAAUGUUUCAUUUACUUCUGAAUCAGCAAAAUGUGAGUGCUUUGUAUUUGCCAUAUUAGAGAGAAGUGGCAAAGCAGUGAGCCAAGAAGCAGCCCCAACUUGGUUCGGCUUUUCAGAUUACAUAGGAGUGCACAGCUUGCUGCUGAUGUAAAGCAUGUGGAGAGAGCCCAUGGAGAAUUAGUUUUCUUUCAUGAUUGAAUGCUAAUACUUGGUAGUAUGUGGAAAAACAGCUUCUUGCUUGUACAGGCCAACAGCUGUUGUUAUCUGAAAAAUAAUCAUUAUGAUAGAAAGCACACUUUUUCAUGUUUUCUGUCAGAUCUGUCAGAAUAUGUUCUGUGUUAACAUAUGCAUGUUUCAUCUGAGAAAAAAAUGUAAUUGGUAAUUUAAUGUAUUUUUAAAAAUUUUUCUUAGUGGUAACUUGGAGCAUACCAUUUUUUUUAAGUUCUUUACCAGCACUGUCUAAUAGAAAGUAGGUCACCAAAGUAAUUCUUACAUUUAAGUAAAGAGAAACAGGCAUAAUUAAUUUAAUAUAGUUUAUCCAACCCAAUAUAUCUAAUAAAUUUUAAAAUGUGGUCAAUAUAAAAACAAGAGGUUUUUGUGUUACUUUUUUGUGUGUGUGUGUGCUGAGUCUUUGAAAUCCAGGACAUAUCUAACACAGCACCCGAUUUGGGCUAACCCUGUAUCAAGUACCCAAUGAUGAUGUGUGGUGAUUGGUUACCCUCCUGAACCGCAUACACUGUAGAUGCUCAUUCCUGGCAUAGUGUUUGAAUCUGUAUGUUUGAAUCAUAGUGUUUGAAUUUAUGUGGGUUGUUUGCCCAUGUAAAUGAUGAACUAUCAAAUGCCAAGCAGAGAUCUUCAGUUUAUCAGCUAUGUUACCUGUUGUCAACUGAAUUUAGUCUAAAACCUUGGUCAAGGGGGAAGACAAGGUACAAUAAUAUGGGGAUGUUUAUAAGAAUAUACUUACUGCUUAAAAUUUUUCUAGAUAUUUUUGGUGCAAUUCAAGUUUUUUUUAAGUUGUGGCAACUUCUGAAGAUAUUUUAAAUUUUAAGUUUAUAGGAAUUUUGACAUUCUUCCCUCUAUUUAAACACAAGAGCCAUAAAAUUGACUAUUUUCCUGUGAACUACUUUAUUUUUUCCUUUACAAAUCAGAGAUUAUCUUGUGUGAAUGUCCUUGUUAUAGUGUUAUAAAACAACCCUAUCCCAAUUAACUUCAACUAGUAAUUUGGUCUUUUUAAUAAAAGUUUACUUCACUAUUACAUAAUUUUGUCCAUUUAAAGCAAAUUUUGAAAAAGGAAGUUUUGUUGGGUACAUUGUAUGGGACUAUUUUCAGUUGUUGUUAGGAAAAUAAUUUAAAAAGAUUCUGUUUCUUAUAUACUAUAGCCAUACAAUUUCUUGAAUGCAGGUAGAAAAAAAAUACACACAGGCUGUACAUUAAUCACAGAUAGUUCGUUUAAUCAAUAUAUAGUUUUUUUGUUUGUUGGUUUUGUUCUUGAGAUGGAGUCUCUCUCUGUCGCCCAGGCGUCGCCCAGUCUGGAGGGCAGUGGCGUGGUCUCAGCUCACUGCAACCUCUGCUUCCUGGGUUUAAGCAAUUUUCCUUUCUCAGCCUCCCAUGUAGCUGGGAUUACAGGCACACACAACCCCACCUGGCUAAUAUUUUGUAUUUUUGUUAGAGAUGGCAUUUCACUGUGUUGGCCAUGCUGGUCUCGAGCUCCUGACCUCGAUGAUCCACCUGCCUUGGCCUCCCAAAGUGCAGGGAUUACAGGUGUGAGUCACUGUGCUGGCCAAUACAUCAGUUUUUAAAAGUGAGACACUCAACCCAAGUACUGCAAUUCAGGUGGAACUUACUGACUGUUUUGGAUUGUUUAAACAUCCUCAUAUAAAGUAAAGUCUAGAGACUCUUGUAUUAUUAGUUGAGUCCUGAAUUUGCUCCUUUAAAAUUGGUCUGAGCCUCAUUUCCUUGAGUAUAAGUAAUACAACCUUGUGCCAACUGGGGACUCAGUAACUGUUGGUCAGGCAGAUGGAUGCUAGAAGUGACUCCAAGUCCAAAUCUUUGUACACACUCAGGAUUGGCUCAGCAUAUAACUAUACAAUUAUUUUCAGAGAAACAAUAUAAUAGAAAAUAUUACAUGGUUACUGAAACACCAGGGGUUCAGUCUAGGUCCUUCCAUUUGUUUCAUAGAAAGCCAGUCACUGAGACAACAAGUAUUGCCAAGGAAGAAGGCUUUAAUCACAUGCUGUAACUGAGGAGAUGGGAAGUCAGUGUCAAACCCAUCUCUCUCACUGACUAAAAUGAGGGGUUUAUGUAGGCAGAGAAGAAAUGUAACCAUGUGUAGGAAAACAGGAAUUAGGGAGGGGUAAGGGAGAGAAGUUGAUCAACAGGAAGCAGGUGGUCUGUUAGGCAAUCAUGAUGGGUGAGGGAUCUGACAUCUCAUUGUCCAAAUACAGUAAUCUGGUGAGUUUCAGCUCCUUGAUCCUAUCUGGGAGGCCUGACGGUUGGUUUCUUGAGAAAGGAACUCAGAAAAGACAAACAUAACUUUCUCAUGUUUUAAGACUGGGAGAAUCAAUUUCUAUGUUUAUUAAAAUAAAUCAUACACAUUAGCUCUAUGGGACAAUUUGGUUGGUUUCAAUAUGUAGGAAUACAGAUAUUUUAAAAGUAUGUAAUCUAGGAAAGUAAGUAUAUAUAUGACAUGCAAUAUUAUGUUUUUUUCUUAAUUAUAUUUUUUCUUUUUAAAUUUGCUAUAAUUUGUAGAAAGGUCACAACAAAUAAAGAAGUUUUUAAAAGUUCAAUUGGUUUGUAAUUCAAAAAAAAAAACAGUUCAAAUAUGCCUUUUAGGGCACAGUAUCUUAACUGUUUCAGCAAUACUGUUUUUCACAUGUGGAGUUUUUAGUGUAAACUAACUGUAUCUACUUCUUGGGCUCCAUUAGAAGCAAGGGAUCUAUGAUUUCUUUGGGAAAUAGCCUAAUGGUUUCAUAUCUCAAAUGAUACCUUUGUUUCCCCCUUGACUCAUGGGAGAGCAAGAGCACAAUUAAAUUGAUUUUAAAUCACAUUUAGCAUUAUGUAUCGAUUAGAUACAAGUGCUCUGAAGCAAAUGUCACAUUGUUCAGCAUUGGAUAACAGAAGCAAUAUGCGCUUUCAUUUCUGUUAAGUAAUUCAGCCAAUGUUAUAAGUCAUGAGAGUGAGAUACACGUGGCUGGUAAAUGGCUCCCAAACCUUGUUAUUGAAAUGCAGCCUUCAUUUCAGUUUAUUAGCUUGUUCCUUGUUCUCAUUUAUACUUUAUUACCUUGGAAUACAGUCAUAGUAUACUGGAAAUGGAGUUUUCUUUAAAUAAAUUGUUCCUAAAGUUUUUAAAGUCUUUCGUUAAGUGGUGUCUAGGAGCAGACACAAUGUCGGCCAAUGCAGGUUUUGAGAUAAGGGAGGGCAAAAAUCUUCCUCUGAGUUGGCUGUGAUAGCAUCUCUAUGUCCCUAACUUGAUUUCUGUCAUCUUUGUUUCUGGAGAACAAAUUCUUGGUUGUGAUAGGGAUGGAGUGGUGGGGGAAAUCAAGGAAGGGAUGGCUCAGAAGAGUAGAAGCUGGUUAUAUAAAGCCUCAUAUUGUUGAAAACGAUUCUCCCCAAAAUAGUUGCCUUUUCACAUCUAGGGACAGAAUAAUAGCAUUAAGAGGGAAAAUCAGUCUUUUGGAGGUUCCCACAGGUUCCACCUGUGUAUAUGAGAUUCAGAAGUAGUGUGAUGGUUAACACCCAUUCCUAGAUCCCACAGCCCUCUGGGGAAAAGAAUGAUCCAGCUAGUUUGUCUAUUUCUGUUGCUGCAUGUCCAUUUGACACCUAGCUCGUUCUUCAUUCAUAAUCAGUUUCUUUCUGUGAUGAUACUGUCUGCUCGAAUUUUCCUCCAUCGUAGAUACUCUAGUGUCUGAGCAGAUACUCUAUAGCCAAGCAUACCUCCUUGAUCAGGCCAGAGGCUCAGUCAUCUUGGGUAGGUUGGAAAGGCAGCAGUGCCACAGAUGCUGCAGCCAGGCUACCUGGGUUCAACUUCUGGCUUUAUCAUUUAGGAGUUUUGAGAUAGUAGAAAAUUUUCUUAACCUCUCUCAUACCAUUUUCUGAUAUCUCAAAUGAGGUUAAUAGUAGGACAUUGCUUCUGGGGUAGCUGUGAAUACCAAAUAAAUUAAUAUAUGUAAAGAGCUAAGGACAGUACCUAGUAUAGAAUAGAUAUUUAAUUAGCAUUAAUGAAAGAAUCUAGUGGCACUUGUUCUAGUUUGCAGCUCCCUUGUUGGAUACACCCCUCAUUUUUGUGUACAUGGUACACAGAAAUGGUGAGGAAGGACAAGUGCAUUCAGGACAAUUGUACCUUAAUAAUGUGGGAGAAUCAUGAGGUACAGAUCUUAGGGCAUGCUUCCUGGAGUGUCAGUAGAGUAUAUUUCUUUUCUUUUCUCUCUUUUUUUUUUUUUCCGAGACAGAGUUUUGCUCUUGUUGCCCAGGCUGGAGUGCAACGGCGCAAUCUCGGCUCACCACAACUUCCACCUCCUGGGUUCAAGUGAUUCUCCUACCUCAGCCUCCCAAGUAGCUGGGAUUACAGGCAUGCGCCACCACGCCCAGCUAAUUUUGUAUUUUUAGCAGAUACGAGGUUUCUCCAUGUUGGUCAGGCUGGUCUUGAAUUCCUGACCUCAGGUGAUCCACCCACCUCAGCCUCCCAAAGUGCUGGGAUUACAGGCGCAAGCCACCAUACCCGGACCGAGUAUAUUUCUAUGUUAAAGAAUUGGAGUGACAAAGAAGCUACCAAGUCUUCCCAACCUAGGGCAGGCAUGAGGGCAGAGUUAGAGAUUGCCUAAAAUUGUGUUCUUUGUCAUCUAAAACAUGAAUAAGCCAAAGUUCCUGACCCCAAGGUGACUAAGGUCUGAUGGGAAAGAGAUAUGAAAAGGGCAGUUAUAAUGUAUAGAGGAAACAUGAAACUUGGCACUUAGGGACAUGUGGGGAGAGGGGAACCUAUAUCCACCCAUGGAAAGAAUGGAAAAAAAAAUCAGGAAAGGGCACUGAGAGGUGCAAGAAACUAGGAGGCUAGCUAAGCUGAUGGAUGAGUAAAGAAAGGCAUUCCAGGCAGAAUGGAUGAACAUCAUGUACACAGGCCUGGAGGUAAGGGUACUUCAUGAAAUCCAGAGUGUCUAGAGCAUAGUGUAGGUGAGGAGAAAAGUGGCAGUAGGUGAGUUGGACUUAAGAUUGCACAAGACCUUCAACUCCACGCUAAGAUAUGCAGGGGAUUCUGGUGACAGGAGGAAGCCUUGGAAGAAUCUUGAAAAGGGAGAGGUUGUGGUCACAUUUGUCCCUUAGAAAUGGAGGUCUGGCUGCCUUUCAAAGAACUGAGGGAUGUGAACAAGACUGUGGUUGGGAGCUUCUGCUUUAAAAUAUGCACACUCCUGUCUCUGUUUUCCAAGGCACUCAUGACUUUGAUGUUCCUUUAGCUUAAAGCCAUAUAUAGUCUGCUCCUGGCAUUAGGUGACAAGAUGUAAUUGUAACACGUGUAAAUCAGAUUUUGCAAUCCCGUUCUGUAGACAACCAAACUGAGAUUGAUGCAUUUCCAGUCUUUCACUUCUGUAAAGAACACAGCAGGGAACCACCUUGUACAUACAUCUUUUAGGCAUUUGUCCAAUUAUUUCCUUAGGAUAAAUUUCUAGAAACGGGUUUGGUGUUUUAGAGCUUUUGAUAUAUAUGGUUCCAGAACAAUCUGGAUGCCUGAAAUCAUGGCAGAUAAACAGGUGCUGAGUUUCGUGGCCAUGCUGAAAGUGCAGACGUAGAAGUGAAAUGCACAGUGAACAGUCAUGCCUGGAUGGGCACACAUGCCGAAUUUUUGUUUGGAUUUCUUUAUACCGGUGGUUGUCUCCACCGGUGGCAGUAAGACUCUGCUGGAUGAGGACCUAAGACUGAUGGGGUGUUUGUCUAUAAUGACAAGUGCUUGACUGUAGCAGCAAAUGAUGAGCAGCCCUAGGGAGACAUCACCACCCACUUGAGAGAGAUCCAUGAAGGGUUUAUGACCCGUUUGAAUCCUGAUCGAGCAUUGCUGUCUUGACCCUCCAGGAACCAAUUGUCUGGAAUACUUGCUCUGUCAGUCUGAGUGAUGUGCUUAGAAUCCCGGGAGCCCAGUUGUUUGUAAAACACAGAGUGAAUUAUCAAGAAGACUUAGAGACUGGAAAUAUUUUAUUGCCAGAUUCCACAGCCAUUUGCUAAAUGUAUUGGUGAGAUCAUGAAAGCCAACAUCCAAUAUGUUGGAUUACCACAAUCGGCUAUAAGUUAUUAUUUGAACAUAUGGGGCAAUUAAUUUUUAAUUUGAUGAUACCAAAUAAAAUGGUUUUGUCUUUCCUGUUUGUCUUUUUUCUACAUCAGGAGCAUUUACUUACCAUAUAGAUGCAAGUCUUUUUCAAAGUUCUGUAGAAAUAUAAACACACAUAUAAAUUGUUCACUAGUAGCCACAAAGUGUGUGUCUAGUCUUCUGAGAAGUUUCUUAAACUGUCUGGAGGGGCAGAGGGUCUCACAGGAGGUGACAUGUAGCUAGAAUAGAGGUAAGAGCAAGCUACCAGAGCUGACUGGCUUUGUUCUGAUUGCUUCUUUCUGCUUUGAGAUCUUUUUGAGAAAAGGCAGGAAUGCAGAUGGAAUAGGUAGAGUCUUACGGUGCUUGGCUUUCUGCUGCUAGUUACUCACCUAACUUCUUUUCCAAAUCUUAACCCAUUUCCCAUGCUAUAGAUUGUUCCACAGUUAAAAAGAAAGAGGGGUCUGCUUGCCUCAAGCAGCUGGGUUAGGUUCAUGACUACAGGUUAAGAUACAGCACUGUUAUGAUUAGUAGUUGCAUUGUUCAUUGAACAAUAUUCUCUAUUUGCUUUUCUGUCCACUGGUAAAGAAUGUCUUGUUAGAAUCCUCUAGUAGUGGUUCAGAUUGCCAGGGGUCUCUAGUGAGGAACACGGUAUUUUCUGUACACAGGGAGGCUGCUUUCAGCUGUUUUUUAAAGCUAAUGGCUAAUGGCUAGAACACUCAGCUAGAGAACAGUGAUCACAAAAGCUUCGAUAAAUGUUAAAAUGGUUAGCUAAAUUAGAAAAAAAAAAGUAGAAAAUCUCUUGUAUAAAUAGGUGAGGGGAAACAUCAAUAUUGCUCAUUGAACAGUCUAUUCUUCUAAUUUGAAAAGAACAACUAUUUGUCAUGGUUCUCAUCCUUGAGAUGGCAGUUAACUAAUUAAAUCCAUAUGAAAUUCAAAAGGCUUUGCUAAGGGACAGUAAUUUUCCUGGGUUGUUGUUAAAGUUGCUGGGAUGAAAGAAUUACUUUGAGCAGAUAAUGGAUGGAUUCUUCUAUUGUGUAUUGAGGUCCUGAAUCGACUAAUCAUGCUAUGGUUAUCCAUCAGUGUGUUACCUUAUAAUUUGAAAUUAAAGGCACCAUUUUCAUUUAUUGCUUACUCUAGAGGUAAUGCUGCUUCCAAUUUGUGAAGACUGUGACCUGGGUGGGAAAACUGCUCCUGGUAAAGACCACAGCAUUAAUCAAGACACAUUUUUGGCUUGGAACAGCUCAUUGUAUACAGAUGGGACCAGCUAGUCACAAGAAUACAAGCUCAGGACUCCCAUUGAUUCUACAUUAUGGAAGUGCCCUCGCUUGAUAGUAUUUGCAUCAUGUUCCCCUUUGAAUGCGGAAAUUAAGUAGAUCCCUGCCAUCACGUCGGUCAUGAUUACACACAUUUGGAAACAUUUCAAGAACAAUUGUGUAGUCCAAAAUGUAAGUGCAUUCAAUAAAAGCAUAACAUAACAUGAUUAUCCUAUAAAGCGAAUCUCCUUCCUGGUCCUCUCCACUACAGUAAAUGCCCUGCUGGCAGGGCAGAGGACACUGACUGAAUUUUAUUCUGAAGUGUCCAUUGUAGUUUGACUCUGUAUUGUAAAUCCUCUUUUGCCUUGGUUUAUGAUGUUUGAAAUGUCUUGUACUGUAGAAAUUUAGCUUUAUAUCUACAUCAUUGUUUUAUUCACUAAAACCUGUUAGAUUAAAAAUGUAAUGAAUGUAUUUUUAGCAACAGAAUAAAUUUAGAGAAGAGUUUAAAAACCCAACUCUGAAGGCAUUUCUAGAUGCUAGAUUAUUGCUCUGUAGCUUUCAUUAAUUACAUUUCUAAAAAACAAAUUGAAAACAAAACACUAUCAUUGAAAAAAAUGUAUGUAAGCCAUUUUAUGUCUUAGGUUAUGCUGACAGAUGUGUAAAGAAACUUUUAAACAUUUCAAACUCUAAUACUCAUACUGCAUAUUAUUUAAUUUAUCAAAAGUUUUUAGUGACAGUCUAAACUCAAUAUGAGGCUUAAGGGGCUUAAUAAUGGUAAUUUAAUUUGGAAUCUUUUGGCAUUUUAAAAACCCUCUGGCCAGUUAACAGAACGCAAUAAAACAUAAUUAUAAAAAUAUGUAGCAUGGCUUCAUAUUUCUACAUUUCCAGGGUAUGUUUUUCUUCUUUAAUCAUCUAUUAAAAACAUAUAUGAAUAAUAUGAAAAAAAUUGUUUUCUCUUUCACUCUGUUUUUUUGCUGUGAAGUGUUGACCUGCUCUUUGGAAAAUAUUAAGAAUGAAAAUUCCAGGGAUAUAUUAGCACAGUAGAAACAGUCACCUUUGUGUGACCUUCAGAAACCUUCAGAAAUAUCUAGAAUGCUCAUUAUCAUUGAAUUACUUUAGUCAUUAUUUGUAGUCUAAGAAAAAUAGAAAAGCCUUUUUACCCUUAAAAAGAUUUGAAUCUGUUGAAGGUACUGGCACAGUAACCAUAUUUGUUCAAAUAAAGAAAACAGUACACCAAGGUAUAUCAUCAGCCAAGUAAUAUGAGAAGAGGGUUAAAAGUGAUUACCUUAAAGGAAGCAAAGAGCUAAAGAGUAAAACAAAUGAAUAAUUUUCAAGUAAUCAAAUCAAGCCAUAUAGUGGACGCAUUUGUUCUUUUUCUGCCUUUUGUUCAUAACCAUGCUUAGCAUAACACUUUAGCUCCUUAAUCCCUUUUCAACCACAACUCUAUUGUCAGUUGCUAGUAACUGGAAUUCUUUUUUUUUUUUUUCUGAUGGAGUCUCGCUCUGUCACCCAGGCUUGGCGAUCUUGGCUCACUGCAAGCUCCGCCUCCUGGGUUCAGGCCAUUCUUCUGCCUCAGCAUCCCGAGCAGCUGGGACUAUAGGCACCCGCCACCACGCCCGGCUAAUUUUUUUGUAUUUUUAGUAGAGACAGGGUUUCACCAUGUUAGCCAGGAUGGUCUCCAUCUCCUGACCUCAUGAUUCACCAGCCUCAGCCUCCAAAGUUCUGGGAUUACAGGCGUGAGCCAUCGCGCCCGGCCUUAGUAACUGGAAUCUUGAGGGGCAGUCUGGGUGGUCAUUAAAAACAGGGACUCUGGGGUUAUAGGACCAGGGUUUUGGCUGUUACUAGCAGAGAGAUUUGGGGCCCAUUACUUGACCUUUCUGUGUCUCACAAGUUUGUUAAUGAGGAGUAAAUGAGUUAAUACUUCUAAGUACUGAGUUUACUUGUAUUUGAAUGCCUGGUGUAUCCUAAUACAACCAGCUGUUUCUUAUCAGCAUCAUCAUUAUUGCUUCUAUUGUUAAUAAGAUUUCAUUUCAACAAAGGAUUCUAGACCUCAAAGCAGGGUUAAAAAAAACUGCCCUACCUUGGUGUUUCUGGCAAGCUUGGGAAGUUAUUCCCUUUCAUUUCUUUCAACCCUUCUCAUUAGCCAGGGGGAAGCUUUCUCACCUUUCUAGUAUUUGCUAAUCUUCCUUAUAACAAAGCGUGGGCAGGCCCCAGGCUCAGAGCCUCAGGCAGGGAUCCCUUCCGGCUACAGUUUAAUAUCCUUUUGUUUCAAGGUUAACAGGGUUAGCUGUCUAUCUGUGGCAAGUGAUACUGGUUUUCCAUUUAUGGUACAGAUAGAAUGUUUCCAUUUAAGUCAAAGUAAUUUAAGGAGGAACUGAGCAGAUGUAAAGAAGACAGACCGGAAUGAUAGUACAGGAGGCACAGGGAUGUGAGCAAAAUCAUGAAGAUCAACACAGAUGGGGAUCUGCUCCCUAGGAUUUCCUCCUCUCCCUGUGGAGUCUGGAAACCUCAGUGUGACCUGGCCUUGUUUCCAGCCUGCAGGGCGAUGUUGUACCAUAUACCAGGUUGUAUGACCUCCCUGGGCUUCAUUUUCCAUGUUCUGUUGGGACACUGGCUCACUGAGAUCUCUCUAACCGGCUUAUGUGGAAAGUGUCUCAUCCUCAGGAAGUACUCAAAAUUGGCCAGUAGGAGUCUUUUAGCUUUAAAAUUCUCAUUUUUUUCUUUAUUAUCCAUGUAGUUGGCAAAGUGAAAAUAAUGGGAAAAUUUAGUCAAGCACUUAGACGCUUGACGUUAUGUAGAUAUCAUCACUGACUACGUAUUUCAUGAAUGUGAAACAGUGAUUCCCGGUGGUGUCCUGGGAGCCCUGCGUCCCCUUGAGGGAGGAGGUACUUUGGGCCCCAGUAGGAGGAGACAGGGCCUUAACAAUUUGGUUUUAAGACAUUUUAUAUAUUUUGCCUCUGUGUAGGAUUUUUGCAGGAAGUUGGAAGUAGGAGAAAGGGUGGGGAGAAUGCUCUACUUCCAUACAAAAAAAUCUAAACUCAUACCUAAAUAGUGAAUCUUACAUUUCCUGUAUGUCUUUGUUGCCAGUCUUCUAUACAGUCCUUCUGCUCCUUUUAUUCAAAGUGUGACAUGUUUAGGGAACAUUCUAGUUAAACAUUGUAUUUUUUUCAUAAUUCAGACGGUUCAAAUUUGGGAUAUCAUUUCCUCUGAUCAUCUUUUAUAGUCGUCGCAGUUUCUGUCUUUGUAAUGUGAUAAUCAAGGGCACAAAAAUAGUACUUCCUCCUCUACCUCUUUCUUUAUCAUCUAUAAUGAUUAUUUCUCAGAUUACAGUGUUGUGACUACCCAUGUGAUCAUACGAUUGUACUUAUUAAUCUUUUCCCAGUUUAACAGUGCAAGUGCAGGUUUCAAAGAAAGGUGGCUGGAGACAUUCUGGGUGAGGUGUUACAAAUAACACAUCAUAUCAGUUGUGGGAGCUGAAUUCUUGUUUUUCUUGUCCGGUGCCCUUAUUUACCAACUGGGUGAACCUGUAAAAGUCAGUGAAUCUCUCUGGACCUUAGACUUCUUGUUAAUAAAGCAAAAGGAUUAUGUAAUAUAAAGUUGGAGAUGGCCUCCAAGGUCAAAAAGUUGAUAAUUCAUUUGUGCCUAUUGACUCAAACUGUAAUUGGGUAUAAUAACAAGUCUUUCCCUGUGACUCUUGGUAAGUUAAUGGGAUGUCACAUGUGAUGACACAUGCAAAACCACCUUCACAUUGUAGUAUGUCAUGUAUUAUAAGUAUUUAUAAAACCAAUGUGAUGUACUACUAUUAGAAAAAGAGACAUUUUAGUGCUAAUAUACUCCAGGAUCUCCUGAAAUACACAGAGCAGGAGUUCCACACAUUGAGCAGGCAUCAUAAUUGCCCAGAAAAGCAUAAUGAAAAUAAGCUGUUGGGCCCACGGUAUUUCUAUGGGCUGUACCUGGACAAAUGUGUUUCUUGAAAAUUCCAUGGGAAAUUCUGCUGUAAAAUGAGAGUUGAGAAGCAUGGAUGAAUAUUGCUAAGGUCUGAAUGUUUGUGUUCUUCCAAAAGUUAUAUGUUGGAACCUAAUACCCAACAUGAUUCUAUUAAGAGGUAGGACCUUCUGGGAAGUGAUUAAGUCACGAGGGCUCUGCCCUCAUGAAUGGGAUUAGCACCCUCUUAAAGGAGGUUGGAGGGAGCUUCCUUGCCCCUUCUACCACUGAAGAUGCUUCAAGAAGGCGCCAUCUUAAAGCAGAGAGCAAGCCCUCACCAGGCUCUGAAGCUGCCAGCACCUUCAUCUUGGGCUUCUCAGCCUCCAGAACUGUGAAAAAUAAAUUUCUAUUAUUUAUACAUCACCCAAUUUAAGGCAUUUUGAUAGAGCAGCUUCAAUAGACUGAGACAGAAAUCAUAUUUUAAAUAUAUACAGAGAGAGGAGAUCCUCAGAUUUCAGCAGUUCUCCUACAGGCUUUGGAGUUCCUCUGCCCCUUAGUUCUGGGAUCUUGUGCAAGUUUUGUAACCCCUCAAUGCCUGAUUAUGCAUCUCUUAAGUGAAGAUAACCUUUUAGGUGGCUAUAAGAAUUUUUUUUGGUUUUUUGAGACCUAGUCUUGAUCUGUCACCAGGCUGGAGUACAGUGGUGCAGUUGUGGCUCUCUGCAGACUUGACCUCCGGAGUUCAAACAAUACUCCUGUCUCAGCCUACUGAGUAGCUGAGACUACAGGUGUAUGCCACCACGCCUGGCUAUUUUUUGUAUUUUAGAGAUGGGGAUUCACCAUGUUGCCCAGGCUGAUCUUGAACUCCUGAGCUCAAGUGAUCUGCCUGCCCCAGCCUCCCAGAGUACUGGAAUUGCAGGCAUGAGCCACUGUACCUGGCCUGCUGUCAGAAUGUAAUGAGAUACUGCCUGUCCAUUCUUCGCAGGGUGGGAAGCACGUAGUAAAUAUUAUUAUAACUGUUGCUUAGAGUUGGGGAGUCCCUGAGCCUCCACAAAGGAGAGAAACAAGCAUGUUUUCGGUAUCUGUGAUCACAUGGAUAACAGGUUCAAAGACCUUUUACUGUUUUCUUCAGUCUCAUUAAAAUUUGUAGCUCUGCCAUUAUGAUGGCCAUGUCAUUUGAUUUAGUGUACAAUUGAACAUGUUUUAUUUAAUAAAUUAGUUAAAUAGUGAUCAUUACGAUUUGGGUUUCAAUUGAGUCCUUGAGGCAAUAUUUGCUGAUAUAAAAAUAUUAGGUAAUUUUAAAGAAUUAUCAGAAAGAUUAAAAUAUUAAUAUGUUCCUCCAUUUCAAAUUUAUAUCUCCCUAAUUGUAAUUAUCCAUCUUUCUUAUGUUACUUGUAAUUUUAAAUAAAUUAUAGCACAAGUUUUAUAGAAAUCUUUUCAUUUUAUUUGAUUGGAUGUUUUUGGGUAAGUUUAUCAUUUUUUAAAGAUUUAUGUGAAUGUCUGACAUUGAUACCAGGAAGAUAAUUGCUACCCAAUUCGAAUGUGACAUUCAGAGCAUACCAUUUUUCUCCCAUUACAGUGAUUGGACAAGGAUUAAUAUUUGAAUUAAAACAGAGUAAGAUGCAUUAUGUUUAGCGUUACAGCUGUUAAAACGCACUUUAUUAGCCAUCGUUUAUGAUUUAAUUGAAAUCCUAUUUUUUUUCCUCUCCAGUUAGCCAUUUUUGUCACUUGCUAUUGCUUCUUUUUGGUUUACUUCUGGCACUUAAGCCUGAUUUUCAGGUUGUUGUCUUGAAAAUAUUUUCUUAACCACCACCUAGUCACAAUAACGCUGCCGCUAUCCUGCGCCACCCCCAUCUGCCCCAGUUUUCCUUCAGAGAGUAUGCUUUUGUCUAGAAGCUUAUGUAAGAAUAAACAAAUUUGAAAUGAAGAGGAAGCUUAACGUUGUAAUUGUUUUUAUACAUAAACAACGUAAGAGUGUCAACGUACUUGGAUAGUUUUCUCUGAAUUUAAAAAGUUUAUUUUAAAUGGUGUAACUUAAAAUGUGGUCUGGAUGGUGCCUAAAGAAACUCACCUUAGAGGGAUUUUGUGUGGGAGAAAUUAAGAUAUAAGUUGUCAUCCUACGGAGCGCUUUAAAUUGAGGUACUGAAAGAGCCCCCAGUGACUGCGGUUUUGUGAGAGCUGCUAUUGUGCAUCCUCUUAGGUCGUUUUCCUGUUUUUCUUCCUGAUAAAACCCUGUUUUGUGUAGGCACCUACCCUACCCCUUCCCAUGAAAUUAAAGAAAGAUGAUUCUACCCUCAGAACCAGGAGUCCAUCCUGGCAUGAAAAGACCAAAAGUCGGCAACCCCAAACGAACUAUGGUAAUUACAGUGCAACCACUGCUGGGGAGAAACAGCCCCCCUCAGUGUCUCUGGAAGCUUCCACGGUGAUCACUUUAUUUGUGCGGUUUCAUUGUGGCUGUGCUGCUGUUUGAGUUGGGCUGUUUGCUGUUCUGGUCACGGACUUCUAUGUGCUCAUGAGACAAAUUUCUGUAUCUUCCUGUAAACACAGUUCUGCACAUUCCAGAAAACCUGAUACAUUUCUUUGGUCCCACCUUAAUGUGAAUCAAUGUCUCUGCCCUUUUACUGGCAGUCAGUUAUCCCAAUCUAUAUACCGUUCCAUCAUCUACUCUGUUCGUUGUUUUUUUUUUUUCCCUUAAAAACAUCACCCUGUCAGAAUGUGUACUCUGUUGCAGCAAAAAUCAAUUAUACAUAUUGAUCAGAACUUGUCAGCAGAUCCUUUGAAGGUUUACAACACACCGUUUUGUUCUGCCAUACUAGUCGGGAAGCUGUGGCCAACUCCUGUAGAGUGAGGGUGAUGGGUGAGUGGGUGGGUGGAUGAGUAAAUGAACAAAGAAUGAACUAGUAUUAAGAAGAAAAUCCAAAGAGAUUAUGGUAGGCUGAGUGAUGGCCCCCAAGUAUGUCCAUGUCCUAAUUCCUGGUACCUGUGAAUGUUACCUUAUGUGGCAAAAGGGACUUUGCAGAUGUGAUCAGGUUAAGAAUCUUAAGAUGGGGAAGUUAUCCUGGAUAAAGUGGGUGGGUGCAGGGUAGUCAUAGUGUCUUUGUAAGAAGAGGAAGGCAGGAGGAAGGUCAGAAUCAGAGAGCAGGCCAUGUGACAACAGAGGCGGAAACUGGAGGAUGCACUUUGGAGAUGAGGGAAAGAACUACAAACCAAGGAGUAUAGGCAGCCACUAGAAGCUGGAAAAGAUGGAAAUCCAUUCUUCCUUCCGAAUCUCUAGAAAGAAUCAGCCUGCCAACAACUUGACUUUAGCUCAGUGAAACUGAUUUUGUACUUCUGGCUUCCAGAACUGUAAGAUAAUAUAUUUGUAUUAUUUUUAACCACUCAGUUUGUGAUAACUUGUUACAGCAGCAAUCAAAAAUGAAUGCAGAGAGUCAGAAACUUUUAAAAGGUGAAUUAAUGAGUAUUGAAGUCAAACUGGACUAUACGAUUCUGCUGACUCGGAGUCAAGUUCUCUGUCCAUCACAUCACAUGAUCAGGAUGUCAGUCAUUGUGGUCUUGACCCCUCUGAUGAGGUUUACUUGUUGUGACAAGGCCCAAAGGAAGAGGGAUUUGGGUAGAAUUUGCUUGACCUAUUUCUGUGUUUUUGUAAGUUUUUGUUUUGUUCUGUUUUGUUUUUAAACAACUGGUUUCUUUCUGUGAAGGAACAUUUAUUUUUUCACCCCCCAGAUGCCUUUCUUUGCAACUUUUGCUGUCAUUUCAUUUGGUUGAUUUCUAUUUCACUCUUGAUUCAGUGUUGUUUCUUUCACAAUAAGAUAAAUAAAAUGAUCAGAAAUCGAGCAAGACUUUCCUUUUGUUAGUUCUUUCUUUUGAUGUCCAAAGAAAAAGGCAAGCAGUUACUGUAAUUUUUGCUCCUUAAUGUGAUUUUUUUCUUGGUGCUUAUUUUCAAACAUUUUAAUGUCCAGAAAAGCCCUACAUUGCUUUAUCACUGCAUUAUACCAUGAUGUGUUCAGGGUUUUUUGUUUUUGCUUUUGUUUAAGAUGCCCAGAAUGGGGCGGGGCAUGGUGGCUCAUGCCUGUAAUCCCAGCACUUUGGGAGGCCGAGGCAGGUGGAUCACUUGAGGUGAGGGGUUUGAGACCAGCCUGGCCAACAUGGCAAAACCCCGUUUCUACCAAAAAAUAUAAAAAUUGUCUGGGUGUGGUGACAUGCACCUGUAGUCCCAGCUACUAGGGAGGCUAAGGCAGGAGAAUUACUUGAACCUAGGAGGUGGAGGUUGCAGUGAGCAAAGACUGCACCACUGUACUACAGCCUCAGCAACAGAGUGAGACCCUGUCUCAAAAUAAAAAAAAAAAAAAAGAAGAAAAACUUGCCCAGAAUGGAAUUUUGAACUAGUACUUCCCAGUACUAGAGUUCUGUAGCAACUGUGAAGCUUUGACAGUCUCUCCUACUUGUUGUCAUGUUGGCACACUGAUUUGUUAAUGGGGAAAAUAUUAUAUAUAUAUAUAUAUACACACACACACACACACAUAUAUAAUUACAUAUUAUAUGAUUAUAUAAUGAUAUAUAUAAUUAUAUAUAAUGAUAUAUGUAUAUAUAUUUCCAAUAUAUUAGCAUCACUUUUGUGAGGAUCCACCCAACACAAACUGCAUGUUAGUAGCUUUGCUGUAGUUAACUACUGAAAUAUUUUAUGAGAUCUGGGGGUGAAUAGUAAGCAGUGGAAAAAUGUGAUGAGCAUCAGAGGAAUUCUAAUAGACCAUUUGGUAAAGGGAUUGUUUUAUUUUACUGCUUUUUUCAUUUAUCAAUUACAAAGAUAACAAUUGUCAGUCCAGGAUGAAUAGAAUCAUCAGGAAAAUUUAGUUAUAUAUGCACUUGUUAUAGGGAUUGAUUUUCAAAAGUUCUUAAGUAGAUUUUAUUUUGUGGGUGUUCAUACAUAACUACAAGAAAAAAAAGGAAUAUGAACUAAUAUAAGCCAUUUGAAUUUUUAAAAAUAUAAUGUUGAGUAACAGUUUGAACCUAAGAAUGUAAGAAUACAUUAUUCACUUAAAAUGACACCCUUCUGGGCCAAUAUACUUUCCUGUAAAGUUUCUUUUUAUUAGAUUACUGUAUAGCUAUGGUUAACACAUUUUAUUGUGAAUAAGGAUCAUUUGGAAUUACUUAAUAAAAUCCUAGUUCUUGGGUCCCUUGUUCCAGAGAUUUUAUUUCAAUCGAUUAGGAAAGGACUACAGGAUCGCUCUAUUUAACAAGCUCUGCAGGUAAUCCAAAGUCCUCAGACCACACUACAUUGCUGUGUAUAAUCCAUCAGUAAUCAAAAUAUUGAGUGUGUGCUAUGAAAUUAUUUUAAGAAAUUCCUUAAAGUCUUUUCAAGUCUUUUCAGAAAAGUAGUUGUUGGAACCAUGGUUUGCCAUAUGUAAAAUAUGCUGUGCUAAGUUACAGAACAGUUUUGAAAAAGACUUAAUCUGUUUUGAGUGAGCCUGUGGCAGUUGUAACAUUCUGGAUUUCAUUCAAAUUUGUAGCAAUGCAAAUGGCAUGCUUUAGAUGUGGCUGUAAUGCAUUUAGCUCAAUGACAAGGAAACUGGCAGAUAUUUCCAUAAGACAUACUGAUUGAGAAAUAGUGCUUGCUGCUAGUGGCUUGAUCUGCAUACAUUUAGGAUUUAAUAGUUUGCAUUUUUUGCUUACUCACUUGUCCUAAAUGCUUAAUGAAUAGGCUCUAAGGCUUUAAUUUUCAACCUAUCCUAAGUUUAUUACUAAAGUUUAUCAAGCAAUAAACACACUAUUGCACUUAUACUGUCAUGUUUUUAUAAAGCAGUUUAUAAAAGGUGACAUCUGGCAAAGAGGCAGAUCUAUAAAAAUCAUGCUGGUGGAUGUAGUGUCAUUUUUUCUGCCAUACACCCAGAAAGAGUAAUAUUAUUUUGACACACACAUACAUCCCCACUGUCAAGUUUCUAUUUUUAUAGUUAGCUUACUGCAUGUAUCCUUAAGCUAUACAAAACCUUUGGGCUAAUGCAAAAAGUGACAUUUCUGCAUAUUUAUUACAAUGCUAUUUUAGAGGUUGACUUUGCCUGAUAGGAUUUUUCCAAGAACAAUGUCAUGUUCAUGACAGUAGACAUCAUUGAGAACAAUACUAUUGUGUAGUUAGUCAGGAAAGGUCAAUAUGGAAGGACAAAUCAUAAAUUGCUUAAUUUAAUGCAGCAUGAUUUUGCCUCAAUAUUUGCUAGUUAUAGGGGAGAAAACAAUGAUAACGUGGCCCAGAUGAGCAAUUCUUUGAGUAGUUGGAAUAUGAACUAAUACUUUACCAAAUGAGUGCACUGCCCUGCGAUCCAGCAACUUUACUUCUAGGUAUAUACCCAAGAGAAAUGAGUGCAUUUGUCCACCAGGAAGAUGUAUGAGAAUGUUCAUAACAGCUUUAUUCAUAAAAGCCCCAAACUGGAAGCAACCAAAUAUCCAUCAGCAGCAGCAGAAUGGAUAAUUGUAGUAUACUUACAAAAUGCAACACUUCAGAGCAAUGAAAACAUACCAUCUACUGCCCUGUGCAGCAGCAGUGAUGAAUUUCACAGAUAGUAUGUUGAACGGAAGAAGCUGGAUGCUAGAGCGUACCUUCUAUGUGAUUUCCUACACAUGAAAUUCAAGAACUGACAAAACUUGUCUAUCAUAAUAGAAGCUAGGAUACUGGUUUCUUAUUUGUGUGGGGGUAGGAUGGGGAUGUUUAUUGAGGGAAAUGUCUGGGUAGGGUCAGAGAGAGGCUUCUGGAAACAUGUCUUAUGACCUAGGUGGUGGUUACUCGUGUGUAUACAUAUGCAAAAGAGCAGAGCUAUACACUUAAGAUUAGCCCAUUUUAUUGUAUGUUCUGGCUAUCUGUUGCUGUGUAACAAACUACUCCAUAACACAAUAGCUGAAGACAAUUUAUUAUUAUUAUGUCUCCCAAGGUUGUGGGUGAGAGAUUCCCACAGGGCAUUAGGAUGAAUAGCUUACUGCAGUUCAUUAAUGUCUGGAGCCUCAGCUGGGAUGACUCAGAUAGCUGGAGGUUGGGUGGGCAUCUUUCCCUUUCUCUCGCCACAUGCUGUCUUGGGCUUCCUCAUAAUAUGGUAGCCUCAGGGUGGCAGACUUCUUAUCUUAGAGCAAUUCAGGAUUUGAAAGCUAGUGUUUGAAGAGAAAUGCCAGUUUCUUGAGGCCUGGGCAUAGUAAGUUCUGCUGAAUUCUUUUAUUAUUAUUAUUUUAAAUUUUAAAAUAGAGACAGGCUCUCACUGUGUUGCCCAGGCUAUUCUUGAACUUGGGACUCGAGUGAUCCUGCUGCAUUGGCCUCCUAAAGUGCUGGGAUUACAGGCAUGAGCCACCGCACCCAGCCUCUGCUGAAUUCUCUUAGUGAAAAUACUCAGUGGCCCCACCUUACUCAGGGAGAAGGAACAUAGACCCCUCACUUCUGGAUGGAAGGAAUGUUAAAGAUUUUGUGGCCAUUUUUAUUCUGCCACACCAUAUGUUGCUAUAUCUCAGUUAGAAAGUUUUUAACAGUUCAGAUCAACCUCAUUACUCUCAAAACUUUCUUCCUUAUGGGUAGGGAGCCUUUUGUAAAAUGUGAGUCUAGUUCUGAAAAACAAACAACAAAAGAAACCCUCCAUUUGAAAUCAUAGUUUCUGUCACAUCAUACUUCUCUUCUCAGUUUCCUUUUGAGGUGAAAAAUUAUGAUUUUUUCUUAUUUUAUUUGAAGUUUCUGGGCUUUGAGUUUUAUUUUAUCCAGGCUCGGGUGAACUUAGACUUUUAUUUAAUCAUUCACGGCCUACAGUUAACUGUCAGAUUGAAGCCAGAUAAGGCUUCUGAUACUACUGAAAUCCCUUACUCCUUUUGAUUUAUGGGUAAUGAAUUUGCCCUCUGUAGUCAGAGCAUGAUUUUUUUUAAAAGAAAUCCUAUAUCUCUUAUUAAUCAUCUACCAGAAAUAUGUUGCCCAACAGGCCUCUUUGUAAAGAUCUGUAUUAAGACACAAGAGCAGGACAGCUGCAUUUACGCAGCAAGACUUUAUAUGAGAUUGAAGGGAAAAUGUUUAUGCAAGCUAAAUAAAGCCAGUGUGAAAGCGAGCCUUUUAAACUAUUCGGCUUCAUUUGAACAUGACACUGAUGUAGACAGCUUGGGAAAGCAAUGUGUGCACACAAAAUCUGCAUUAUCCAACAUAUCAAAAGAUUUCAACGCCAGUGCACCAACAGUCUCUAGCAGAGAUAAUUAUUGCACCCUUGCCUGGCCUCAUUUGGGCCAAGAGCAGCACUUGAGCCUGAUCUUUAAACAACAUUGUACAUCUCAUUUGAAGACUUUUCUGGGGCCAUCUCUCAAUUUUGUGCCAGUAACUUCAAAGUCCGUUUGCACAGAGUCAAGAUUAGAAAGAUCUAACCUCAUCCUCUCAGAUUUUCUUUUUUAAUUAAUGUGCAAAAUGCUAUGCUUUUGCUCCCCCCGGGAAGCCUGAAAGGAUUUAUGCAGUCAUUUCAUAUCACCAUAUUUUCAAGACUCAGCUAUCAUUUGUCACUUAAAAAGCUUUGUGGAAUAUAAAGCCAUCAACCCAGCACCACAGCAGUAUCACUUUGUCAAAAGAGAGUUGUUUGCACUUUACGUGACAACCUAUUUGUAUAAAGUGACAGGGUUUGAACUAAAUAUACCACAUGAAAUCUAAGUUAUAGGUGAUGGAAUCUUGUUUGUAGCUCUAGUCGUUAGCCUGCUCACACUCCUCCCCUGCCAGCCUGCUCACUCAGCCCCUGUAUUCUGCUAAUGUGACUGUUUUCAAGAGAUCCCUUUAAUGUAGACAAUAUAAAUGCGGUUGCUUGACCUACUUGAGAAGGCACCUAAUUUUAGAGAACUGGGUUUUUACAUAUUAGUUUCCUCUUGUGAUCCCUGACUCCUGAAUAUUGUAGAGUGUUUAUAAAAGUGUAUGCCAAGGUGCUAAUGCACGUAUCUAAAUAUGUAUUUAUAUCAUAUGUAAUGUUUAGAGCAUGUGCAUAGGUGUGUGGAUAACAUACAUCUGUGAGUCAGUGAGUAUGAUAGGAGUAUGGCCUUAGGAAUUAAUUGGCUGGAUGCUAAUCUGUGUCCCUCCACUCUCAAGCAAGAUGACCUUGGAGAAAAUAAACUAAUUUGGGUCUGUUUCUUCAUCUGUAAUCUGGGGGAAAUCAUAUCAACCUGAAUCAACUGGGUUAUGGAUGCACUCGGUCUCAUGCGUGUCAUUGUGAACACCAGUAAAUACCAGCGCUCUUAUUACCAUCACAAUUAGCACAUUUUCUCUGUAGUGAAUUGAGGUGAUUCUUUGUGGAAGGUUUUGUUUUGUUAUUUUUAAACAUUUUCAAGAAUUAGUUGUUCCUAUUCAAAUUGUUAGCAAAAAAAUUGUGUGUGUGUAUAUACGUAUGUAUAUACAUAGUACCUACUUCAGGGAGGCGUUGUUAAAAAUAAAGUAGGUCCUCCCUCAGAUGCAGUGUUUUUUAAUCAUACUUCUCAAAGGUAGUUGAUAGGCUGGCAGGAGCAGCUUAGAUCUCCCCUAGGAACCUAUUGGAAAUGCAGAAUCUCAGGUCCAUACCAGAACUGUUAAAUCAGAAGCUGCAUUUCAACCUUUAUUUGUUUUCACACUAAACUUUGCAAAAACACUUUCCUGGUAGAAUGACCACUGGUUUUGGGUUAGUUCUAAUGGAGUUCUUUAAAGGAUUUUAACCACAGAAUUCAGUAAGAAAUACAUUUUGUGGCUGGGUGAGGUGGCUCAUGGCUAAGGUCCUGGCACUUUGGGGGGCCAAGGCAAGGAGGAUCACUUGUGCUCAGGAGUUCGAGACCAGCCUAGGCAACAUAGUGAGACCUUGUCUGUACAAAAAAAUUUUUAAAAAAAAUCAGCCAGGCAUGAUGGUGUAUGCCUAUAAUUCUAGUUACUCAGGAGGCUAAGGCAGGAGGAUUGCUUGAGCCCAGGUGUUUGAGGUUAUAGUGAGCUAUGACCAUGCCACUGCACUCCAGCCUGGGCUACCCCCAUCUUAAAAAAAAGAUUUUUUUAUCCCAUUAGUACAGGAGAGCAUCUAUACUCCUACACAUAUAUAAUUAAAGGUUUCACCAAACAGUGUUUACCCUUGCUGUAUGCUAAGUACUCAGAUUUUUUUAAAAAUUGUAUUUCAGUUUAAAACAUGCUGGUCACGGCCCACUAAAUUGAUUUUAUAAUUCAGUUUAUAAAGAACUAUUAUACUGUAUUACCUUAGGCAAGUCGUUUUUUUCUUCCUUAGGUCUUGAUUUUCUCAACUGUAAAAAUGUGUGGGUUGGACUAAUUGAUUUCAAAUAUCUGUUAGCUUGAACAGCCCUGAGAUGCUCUAUGAAAUGUGAAAGUCCACCCCGACCAUGUUUAAGAAAAGGGCAUGUUUAUUGGUUGUUGUAUGUGUCAUUUUAUUGAGAGGGCCUGAAGGAGCCCAUACAAAUGAUAGCUCACAAACCACAGCCUUUGCAUAAUAAAAGCUUAUAGCUCAGAAUGGUAGACAACACAGAGUGAGCAAUUAUGCAUUGGUCCUAAUGUGUCAUUAUUUUAGACAAACAAAAUACAACUGUAAGCUUUUAUAAAUGUGCGUACUUUGUUAGUGUAUAACUAAAAUAUAAUGAGCUAGAUUCUUUGCCUGCCUAAUAUACACUCAGAAUAUUAAGCAGUCUUGUGUUUGGAAAAACACAGUAGCCAUAUAGUGAAGAAACCAGACAACAUCUUGACCUGUGAUCAGAAUUCACAUCACCAUUCAUGAGCAAAGAGAUAUGUGUGUGUCUCCUGAUGCAGUACCCUGAGAAGCAUAACCAAUAUGGUACUUGGGUCCAGAAUAUACAACCUGAAUCUAAACUCAAGGACACAGCAGAGAACCCCCAAAUGAGGAAUAGUUCUAUUUAAACAAAAUGAAACACACACACACACACACACGUUGGGGUAGAGGGGUUUGGGGCAUGGAGGUGUACUGUUAAAAAAGAAAACAGAAAGACAAAGUAAUGUUUGAGGUUAAAGGAGACUUAAGAGUUAGGAACACUAAAUAAGAUCCUAUACUGGAUUUUAUAUUAAAGAGGGGAAGAUGCCAAAAGGGAUGACGUUGGGUUAAUUGACAAAAUUGAGAAACAGAAGACAGUGGACUGGAUAUAAUAUUGUACCAAUGCUCCAUUUACUGAAAUUAGUAACUGUACUGGGGUGGAAAAGAAUAUCUUUAGUUUUAGUUUUAAGAAGUAUGCGCUAAAUGCAAUUUAUUUUCAAAGGAAGCAGGAAAAAAUAGUGUGUAUACAGAGAGAAAGCAAGCAAGAAAGUGCACAAAUGAUAGGCAGAUGGGGAAAAAUAUAAUAACCAGUGAAUCUGGGGCAUACACAGUUGUCCCCUGUACUCAUCUAAUUCUUGGACCAUGUAGAUAAGUUUGAAAUAAAUUUCAAAAUAAUUUCAAUUACAAAUUUCAUUUGUAAAUGAGCCCUUUGUUUUCUUUCUUUCCUCUAAUCUGUGUCCUUGUGUGUUUCAGGAAUACGUAGAGUGCUUUUGUCUUGGGGGUUGUGCCUUUUAAGGCCAGGUUAGGUUGGACUGGAGGCUCCAGUUUUCCCCAGUAGCUGUUAGCUCUCUCAGAAGCCAACUGGAGAGGCUUGGACUGGUCACCUCCUGCACCUGUGCCUUUUUGGUCUGUUCCUCUUUUAUCAGUACUGACCCCUAGGCCUAGGGUGGGGGAAAUUUAUCAUUGAUUGUCUGUCUCCUUUGCUUCUGUUGGUCUUUCUCACUUGGCCUUAGGCUUUUCUUGACCUCCACCCAAUUCUUGUUCUACUUCUUGCCCCAGGUAACUAAACCCUUAUUCUUUUCAGCACCAGUUUCUUUAAGAGAGCACCAUUCCCUUUUGACCUUGAAGAACACCUAGCAUCCCUUGAAAAACACCACAGAACAGAGAGGCAGAUGUCAACAGAUGUUUGGACAUACUGGUGGGUCAAAAGCCUUCAAAUAACAGGUCAUGGGCUCUGUGGAGACCUGAAAUCCAUGAAAUCCAUUUUGGUUUUUCUUUCAGCUUUGACUUGCCUUUCCCACGGCAGAGAAAUGUGGGAGAAGUAAAUAAAGGUUGCCUUUGUUUACUUGCUUUCUUGCCUGCCUGCUCUGCCUGCAUGACCUGAUUCCAGACAGCAGGCAGGUGCUCAGUAAUUGUUAAUUACCCUGUGAAGACGUGUCCUUGUCCUCAAGGAGCUACAGUCUUAUGAAAUGAGACACUCGAAUGUGAAGUGGACUGAAAGCACGUGUGAUUAAGUAUAUUUUAAAAAUUAUAGUAAGUAAUAUGUAGUGAGAAUCUAGGGAACCCAGAGACCAUUGUGGCUGUGGGAGCGACUUGAGCUGAUAGAGGAAGUUGGAGAGCUGCGAGGAUGUAUCCCCAGGAUCUAUAUAAAAAGCCACCACAUGGUUCUAUAUUGAAAAAAAAAGUUAAACAGGAAAGGAAGCAAGCAACUAUGGUAUAGGAUCUCAGAUGGUUUGCAGAAGAAUCUGACCUCAGAGUCUGUUGGCUUACUGAGGAGAGGAAGCUCAAACCCUUGGAUCUCAGGGUUUCACAAAAAGCCUCAAUUUGGAGUUUAUAUAUUAUUUCCAGUAGAAGGAAUGCACAGAAAAUCUUUAAUAGAAGGUAAAAAGUCCUCUGUCACACCACUUGAGUAUUUCCUUGCUAUGCUUUUGGCUUAAACAAAAAGUUUUGUCGUCAUCUUGGGACUGUCAUAAUCAUUCUGCAGUGUAUUUUUUUUAGUGUUCAAAGUAGCCUAUGUUAAAAUGGACCAUACUUUUUGGACCACUGGUUUGAGGUUUUUUUCUUUUAAUAUACCAAAGUGUCAGAAGUGGAAAUGGGGGUCUCUUGUCCUCCCAGAGCCUCUAACCAUCCCCACCCACCCUUGUAAUAAGGUUUUUACACAGCACUUUAUGUAUUUGGUGAGGUGGAUUUUCCCCUCUCCCAAACACCUCCCUCAACCCCCAAGAUAAAUGGUUCCAAACCUUCCGCUGCAAGCAGAGCUGGUGUUUAGUUUAUUGGUAAUUAAUUGCUAGCACUUCCCUGACAGAACAUAAUGGAACUACAGAGCAAUCACUUAGAAAGGGAAACAACUGUCAAUUAUCACUCUAAUGAAUCCUGUUUACCAGAGGUGACGGCACUAAGGCUCCAAGCAGCCUAGAAAGUGGAUAUCUUAAAAACUCCAUUUUCGUACUGGGUGUGUGAUGUGUGAGAUAAUCACUCUCUAGGCCAGAUUUUAAAGUGGCCCCAGCUGUGGAUAACAGUAUAUAAUUUCAGAGCUAUUCUCACAGUUAGUGAUUAAAUACUCUCUGUUUGUAUUUGAAUAUGAGUAAAUAGAAACAACCAUUCCUCACAUUAAAAGUUUUAAAUAGUAUACUUUUGGUGAUCAGUUAUAGAGAUGAUUAUAGGAGUGAUGUGAUAGAUGACAUUUAGUGAAUCAUCGGUAACCCAGGUCCUAUGCUGAACAUUUCAUAUGCAUUAUCUCAAUUCUUAAAACAAUGUUGUGUUCAGACAGUUGGCAGAAAGGCAAAUUCAUGCUCUCAUGCAAAUAUAAAAUGAACACAUCAAGAUUUUGUUCAGCUCACUAAUUGUUGGGGGGGGACCCAAUGUAACGUUAAAGUCAGUCCAAAGAGCAUUUGAGAGGCAUAUAUAUAUAUAUAUAUAUAUAUAUAUAUAUACACAUACACCUAUACCUAUACCUAUACGUGCAAUUUGGUAGAGUGUUGGGUUAGAUACAGAAAGGAUGAUGUCCUCCUGGUCUGUAACAGCCCAUACUAAUUAUUCCCUCUCCUGAGAGUUGUCAGUUAACCCUGUAAACAGAAAGUCAGGCCCAAUAGUGGGAACUCUACACUGAAGGAAUGCAGUAAGCUCAAUCGCCUCUUUCCAAGUUUGAGAUGACUUUUCUGUAAGGCAAGUAAUACUGUCAUCCAUAUGUGACAAAUGAAGAAACUGAGGCUUUGUGAGGUUAAGUAACUUGGCCAAGGUUAUAGUAAAGGUGGAGCUGAGACUGACUGAAGUCUGACUCCUUAUAUGGGUGACUUGAGCUUAAUAAAUGCAUGGAUUUAUCAAGUUCAACUCCCAAGAUUGCUGCUGUGCAGCACGAUUACUGUCCGUUGUUUUCCUCUUAUCUGCGAAGUAGUGUUGCUGAUAGUACUUACCUCCAAAUGACAUUAUGAGGAUUCAGUGAGUCAGCACAUAAGGCACUGUGCACAGUGCUCACUGCAUAGUGAUCCCUUGGUAAAUGUUGGCUACUGUCAGCAUCAUUAGCAACAAUUAUCACAGUACACGUGUGUGCCGAACCACAUGUGUCUCAGAGCAGUGUCCUCACCUUCUCUACCUUGGCCAUGGUUGCCUUGAGGGUCUGGGCACAGACAGCAUCUGAGCUCCAGGGAUCAUCAUAGUAGGGAAACAGCUCUCUCCCAGUGUUUGUCCAGGGUCAACACUGGCUUCAGCUGACCCCAGGAAUAGACUGGUCUCUUAGUAUUUGAGAAAAUACCUCUUUUCCUGGGAACAAAACAACAAUGCAAUGUAGCUCAUAAAAUAUUUGCCCUUGCUGUUUUAUGACCUGUGAGACAUCAAGGAUAUACAGAUCCAUGAUAUUUGUAGCAGGUGUCAUUUUUUAAAACACACUCAAAGUAAAUAUCAUUGUCAAACAACACACUGAAGAUUUUAUUUGAUGGUAAAAACUCAAGCAUGGCAUUCAAUCCUUCUUCCAGUUCAUAUUCCCCUGUAUCAGUGAGAAUGGAUUUUAAAAGUUCAAGACUUGUGUGGAUAUUAUCUCACUGUCUUCCUUCGGGCAGAUGAAGUAUUACAGACAUUUCUUUGAAUCUUGUCUAUUGGAAUUAGGGAGUGCUGAACUAUAGAAAUCAAAGGUCAAAUGACAAGAUGGUGUGUGGCAGGCGAAUUUACUGACUUUUCUGUUAAGACUUCUCUGUAGAUGUUAAGAAAGUUUGAAGUUUUUGAGGAGAUGUUUUACUGGAGACAGAGUGCUGUACUGCCUCCUCCUCUGUGAGAUGAGAGCCUUAUUGCAGUCAGCGUGUCUGCAUUUAGCUGCCCAGUUGUGUCCAUAAUUUUAUGUUCUCAGUUUUGUUGUGUGGGGAAGAAAGAGAUAGUCAUGUCAAAAGGGGGCAUGGUUUCUUAAUGUGGAAGUCUAAAGAAUACACAGAAAUAACUACCUCUGCCUUCACAGGAUUUCUGUCAGAUUUUUGCCUAAUUAUAAAAGAAGUGCAGCAUAGAGGUCUUAUUACUGUGGCUAAGAUGAAGGAAAACACUCUCACGAUCAAUCCUCCAUGAUUUUAUUAUUAUUGAUAAUUCAAACGAUAUGACUGUACUCUUUGAGCACUGACGAGCACCAAGUGUAUUUUUAAACAUGCCAAGUGUGAUUAGUACUCCUUCUACACAUUCCCUUAAAUUUGUAAAAUCAUGUAAUGUGUUUGUUUUUUAUUUUAUAUUUAGAAUUAUUGCCUUGUAAACUCUCUUGCCAUACUGCAAGCAGUGCAAAGAGACCCAUUUUAAUUUUGCACGUGUAUUGUCAAGAAUCAUUAUGAAGAUCUACAAGUAAGGGUUGAACAGUUGUUCCUGAUGGAAAUGACGCAGACAGAAAGAAAAAGGAAUUGAGGAGCCUCUCAGUCUAAAAACAGGCAUAUAAGUGAUAUCUUAGUAAUUCGUGUCAGAAUGCCCCAAAAUCUGUUUUACGUUUUCUUUGCUUCAUGGAAAGGCUACAGACUGGGUUAAGUAUUUUUGCAGAGAUUUCUAUUCCACAUAGCCUUGACUCCUUCAAAGCAAAUUUGUUUUCUCUUUUACCUUUAGUUUCCUCAAACAAAUUGGGACUAAAGUCACCAGUGAAAUAAUGCGGGAUGUAUUGACUUAGGGGAGAUAUGUUUUUAAUUUUAACUUCUUGGGAAGUUGAGUUGACGUAAAUCCUCUUUACCAUAGUCUGCUGAGUUUUGCGUACUCUAGUUCUAAUCAAAAGUCAGACAAAGUCAAAAGAAUCUGGAGUUAAUAAAAUUCUCCUAUUUGUUUUCCUUCACAACAGUGAUAUGUCUUAGACUUUUACGCUUUAAUACCCCUCAUGAAGACAUACCACAGUACUACAUGUAGGCUAGCUUUAGAAAAUCUUGGAAUUAUGGUUUAAAUUGUAUAGUCAUUAACUGACAGAAUUUGCUUUUCUAAAAUACAACUUUUAAAAUUAGUUGUUGUGACCUUUAUAAACAUUAAGAAUUAAGGUAGAAUGUAAGUGAUGCAGUCUCAUUAAAUUUAAUCAAGUUCAAUAAAAAUUCCAAAUUCAAAAACCGUCUUCAUAAAACUGUGCGUUAUCACCAAACCAUUAAAUAGCACAUCAGUUUAAAAUUAUUAAAAAUUGCUAAGUAUCCAUUUAGCAUGAGAUACGUGUUAUGACUGCAGACACCUCCAAAACAAAUCGACAGUCUAUUGCACUGCAUUCUGAGAAUGUAAAAGCACCAUUACUUACUGUUAAUGGUACUUCUCUAAUGUAUGUAAAUACCUCAUCUGUACCCAAGCUCUUGGCAGUUAUUUCUUACUUCUUCCUAGACAGUUUAAAGAUCUUAAUUUAUUAAUAUUCACAACAAGUAGAAAGAUAAACACAUUGUUUUGAAGCCCUUGAUGGAUGGAGAUUGGAGAUGCACAGUGUUUGGGUUGAAUCAACAGCCGAGAGUAGAUAUUAACUUGUUGGCAGUAACUCAUGGCCCUGCAUGAAACAGAACCUGGAAGAGAGAAGAAGAAUUUAAAAUGCUGUUAUUGAGAAUCUCUGGAAGUAUAUUAUUCCAAGGUACCUUAGAUUUUAAAAUUUGGCCUCACCCUACACCUAUUUUAUGAUUUGUCCCCACUACAUCAAACUCAGUGUAUGCUCUUGCCAUGGUAAGCAUUUUUUAUUCACUUUACUGGAAAUGAUUGACAAGGACUUCUUCAGGAUACAUUGGGAGAGCAGUGUUUCCUAUUUAUUAUGUCCUUUCAUCUCUGCCUGACCUAGAAUAUUCAUGCUUCUGUCUUAACAGGUCCCAUGUUAUAAAAGUUUAAAAAAAAAGAACAAAAAGGAAUAUUCUGUGUUUUCUUGCAAACCCCAGCCCCCAAUCCAAACAAAGUGAAUGGCUUACAGACACGAGUGGUAGGAUUUUCACCAAUUUAGAUAUAAAAUGUGACAACGGACAGAAUCUACAUUCAAUGUCUGUAUCCUUCUCAAUUGCCACAGACUGGGUAGUAGGAAAGCAAAAGCAAAUUUUUGUAGUAAAAAUCUUCUUGGCAUUUUAUUUUUAUAGUAGAUUAGAUUCAGAGAUUUUAAUAAAAACUUGUCUUUAACUUUGUUUGAUAGAGAUGUACAAUCAGCUUAGCUUGGUUGCUUAAUAAAGUUAGAUACUGAGAAUUGAUGAAAUUUUAAAUCCAGCUUCUAAUUUAGAGUUCCCAGAGUUAGCAAAUAGGAGUACAGGGACCCAGCUGAAUUUGAAUUUCAGAUAAAUGUAAAAAACAGUUUAGAAUAAGUAUGUCCCAUGCAAUAUAUGGCACAUAUACUAAAACUGUUUUAUUAUUUAUCUAAAGAUUAACUGCUUAUCCUAUGUUUUAUCUAAAAACUCUAUUUUAUGAUGAUAAAAGAUAAGUGCUUUUUGUAAGCAUGUAAACUCACACACUUGUCUCAUCUGUAAAAUAGGAGUAAAUGUGGCCAUGACCUCUAAGGUUGUUGGGAGGAUUAAAUUCAUUGAUACCAGUAAAGCUCAUAGAGUGUUUCCUGGCAUCUAGUAAGCAAUGUGAAAGUAUAAGCUUUUGUUCCUGAGGUGUGGUGGUCAUUUGCUCCAAUAAGCCAAUACAUUUGCUCCUUUUCUCCUGGUAGAGAUCUGCUAAAAGUAAAGGAAUCUUUCUGAUGCAAUUGGCAGCAAUUGUUGAUUUACUUGCCAAAAUGUAGGCUAACCCAAGUGACCCCUUGACUGAAAUACUUAAAAAUGUAAUGUGCUAGUGUGUUCACAGGCAUUUAAAAGAGCCACAGAAAUUGUAAUGUUUCAUUUUGCUUUUCAAAGGGAUACUUAAUAAAUGUAUUAGUGUGAUAUAUCAGGCAUGCUCUAGAACAUCUGUGUGUCUACGUAAAGAAGGAGAGAAGGAAUAAAGGAGACAAGCAAGAGCCAAGGUGCAGGUCACAAUUAGUAGUCAUCAAAAUGAAAGCAAGCUGUGCAAGGGUACAAGAAUUCCCAUCUCAUUGGAGGGAAAUGCAUCAUGAUGUUGUGGGUGUCUUAAAUGUAAGAGGAACCAGUGUUCCUUACUAUUAAUCUGUAAUCCUCUAAGUGCUGGGCACUCCUGUCUCCAGUCCCUCAUCUGAGAGCUGUGUGUAGAAGUCAGAGUGGGUUGGGUUAUAAUGCAAUAACAAACAAUAUGAAAAUCACAGUGGCUUAACCAACUGGGAGUAUUUCUCAUCCUUGCAAAGCCUGCGGAGGUUCUAGGUGAUGCUCCAGGACAGCUCACCUCCAAGGGGUGGCUCAGCACGAUUGUCUACUGCUGUCUUAUGGCACCUUUAUCUCAAGGCUUCAGGGAUGAGAAGCAUAGAAAAUCACAUAUGGGCUGUGAAGCGGCACACAUCAACACUGAUCACAGCCUGUGGGACAGAACUGGUCAUGUGGCCCUGUCCAGCUGCACUGAAGGCUCUGGAAAUGGUCUUCCAUGGGUCCAGCAACGGGAGAGGGCUCAGAUUCAUUAGUGAAUGCUGCUUUGCCAUACUGGUAAAUGUUGCUGAUAGACUGUGUUACUCUCCUCCACAAAGUCCAUGAGCAACUUCAAAAUUCUUUACUGUGUCACAGGCAGCAUUUGGCAAUCAAACUGGCAAGAGAGCUGAAACCCAUUAGCCUUAUCUGAGAACGAAAACACAUUAGCCGUCCUGCAGUCUUCUUCUAAACCAGUGAAAAUGCCUAUGACAAUAGGAAUUUGGAUGUCAUGCUUAGUGAAUUGUAUUUUAGAGGUGAAAAGAAAUAGUUUCUUCUGAUAGCCUCUGUCACAGGCUUGCAUAUCAAUUUGAAUUCACCAUUACUUCAGGGUGUGUUUGAUGUGGGAGAAAGUGGUUUCCAGGUUUGGCAGUUGUCAGUCUCGAUGACAAUAUUUUUAAAAUGUACCUCCAAUUUGUCUGAAAUUUACAUCCUUCCUAGCUUUAUUCCCAUGCAACAAAAAUAUUAAAGGUUUUUCAUAACUGUGACGAACAGGGGAGAAACUUAUUAACAAAGCUUUCAAUAAAAGUUGAAAAUUGAUUUUGAUCCUGGUGUAAGGCUGAUGGCAUCAAAGCUUUUUACAGCUCAAGGCAGUCUUGUCUAAGAUACCUUAAAGUGAUGCUUGAUGAGAAAUUUAGAUCAGCCCCCAUUUGAGCCUAGCCAUUUCAGUCCAGUUUUCAAUUAGAUGGAAUUUUCUGGUGAGUGACACUUUCUACCAAUUAACUUUGAUAAAGGAGCUCAGCCUCAGAAUAUUCUCAAAUCAGGUAUAUGUGUUAGACGUCAGUGAAAUAUGAUUGUUGGAAGACUGGGGAAUACGAAAGACAACCUUUGAAAUGGGAAGUCACAUUUCAAAGUUCUGCAAAGUAGUUGCUUAUACUAAUCAACCAUAUUUGUUUUUUCUUUUAAAUAGUUAUUUAGUUCCAAGCAAUGUCCUAGGCACUGUGAUGAUCACUAAAUUGCAUUAGAGGCAUUUUCUAAAAAUAAAAAGUGAGAUGUGGAGGAAGAAAAGAAAUAUGGUAAAACAUAGAAUCAAGUAUUUAGUUGUCUUUUUCGGGAUAAAUGUCAGAGGCCCUAAGAUAGGAGAAAUUAUGCAGGGUUGGAGUAGGCCUGUUGUAGGAGGUAAAAGAUCUGUGAAUAUUCUGUUGAUUAAAUAUGCCAGGAGGAGAGAAAGGGAGAAGGGCAUCCCACACUGAAGAUAUAAACAUUUAGUCAGAAGCUGCAUUUCUUGCCUUACCAAUAAAAACCAAGCUUUCCUUGAACUCUUAGAGAUAAAAAUUUAAAAAAAGAAUGACCAAUAUCUUCAAAAAGGAAAACAUAAAAACAGCAUCAUUUAAUUCCCACAGCAUAUUGAUUCAAAGUGGCCUUCAGUUAAAUUUCUAAUUGGAACCUCCUGAUACUUCUUUUUAAAAAGCAAUUAAAGUAGAGGCAAAAAUAUUAGUCUGACAUUGAAUCAUAACCACUUUAAAUAUAUUUAGUCAAUAUGGGUAUUUAAUCAUCUCCCGAGAGCAAACUUUUUUUUCCUUUUAUAAGGUUACUCUUACAGUUUUUAAUUGACAGGAUGUAUAUUUAGCAUUUAAUGUGUGUUUUUAAAAUUUCUGAGGAAAUGUAUGAGUGCAUUUUUAUUGUUUGAACUUCAGUCCUUACAGAAAAAUAAGAGUAAUCUGUGCUUCUACACCCUGCUCCCUACUCUGUAGUCCUUCUCCUCUAACUAGAAGUAAUAUUAGUAACUGUUAAAAUUAGGUGUAAAAUUUUCAAUGUUUAUCCUAAUCACUUAUUUUGCUAAAACCCGUUAAAGAGUAUCAGAACAAUUUUUAGAUUCUAAGUCAUGUUAUGAGCUUGCUGUUGCAAAGGUGAACCAACACCAGGGAAACUGGGGGGUAUGUCAAAAGGAACUGGAGAAGGGUAGGAGAAGGUUUUGGGAGCUAGAACUAGCCAUGAAAUGGUCCUAGUAGAUCUGGGUCAGAAUUGAUCAACUAGGCAGUUUCUAGAACAGAGUUUAUGUGUAUGGGUUGAGCACAUGAGGCUGAAUGAGUUUGUGAUAAAGAAGUUUAGGUUUAGUCAGUAAUUAUAGCUUGGCGAGAUACAGUGUACUUGUUUCAUGAGUCAUAAUGCAGAUUUGCAAGUUAUGGCUGAUGUUUUCAUUCUUUAGUAAUACGUACAUAAGGCUAUGGUGAAACACACUAUCUCUAGUUUAUAUGUCCAGCUUUUCCCUUGACCUUAUGAAGCAAUGCCAAUAUGACAUGUCACAUAAUUAUUUUCCUAUUAUGAAAUAUUAUUUACUUGUUGACUAUAAAGGUAUUAAAGUGUUUUAAAAUCAUACUUUCAGGUCAAAAUUUUAUUUUAGGAUAAAUAAGAGAAAACCGUUUCAGUUUUUUAAAUAAAUGAACAGAUAAGUCUCCUGAGAAACGGGAAGCCCAAAUGGGAACUCUAGGGAUCCGGGGGAAUCUAGAAUGGACUCGGGAGAGAUGCUUUGGGUGCUUGAAAGAUGAUCUAGCUGCUUUUUAGAGAUGAGUUUGGAAGCAGGGAAACUUGGGAGAUGACUAUUACAGUACAGGUAAAAGAGAAUGGGGGCUGGAUCUAGGGCUGAUGGAGUGAAGCAGAUGGAUCUGAGAGCUAUCUGGAAGGAGAACAUCAGGACUGUGAUAUUCUUAUUUUGACUGGUGGGGAAUAGGGGGAGUCAGAGGUAUCCAAAAUGCCUCCCAUAUUUCUAGUUUGUGCACAUGGAUCAAUAGUUGCUGGAUCAAUGCUGAAACACAGGACAAACUGGAAACAACUGGGUUUUGUUGGAGCAAGUGGGAAGUAGGCAGGGAGUUUAUCAUCGGAGUGCAAUAACAUGCCCUUUAUUUAUAUCUUGACUGAAAAUUGACAAAGCACCAUCCCAUUUCCUAUCUCAUCUUAUACGACCACAACUGUGGAAGGGCACCUCGGUGAUAUCAUCCCCAUCUUACAGGAAAAAACAAAACAAAACAAAAUAUGGGGCUGCCUGAAUAUUUAAGUGAUAUUUAGAGAUGCAAGGCUAGUAGCUGACCAUCUUUCCAUUAGAACUUGAGUCUUUUGACUCUAAUCCUCCCCACUUUGUAACCCUUCCUUUUUUCUUCUCAAGUAAAGCUGUGAAUAUUCUCUUACUAUCCCUCAGUUACACUUUUUUUGGUCUUAAUUUCUCUUCUUUGAUAGGAUCUGUUGUGAUAACAGUCAAGAGAAAGAUUUUAGUUUUUUUGAAAAAGUAAAACAAGGGGACUUUCACUUCUAGGAAAAAGGUGUACUUUUUCCUCUUCCUCUCAUUUAGGACAAGUAAAAAAUCCUGAAUAUUGUAUAUAAGACAAAACUAAAAAUAUUCUGAGAGGUGGAGAGAAGUCAGAUCAGCUAGAGACCUGGAGACACAAGAAACAAUAUGGUAGUGAAUUCCCUAGACGUUGUUUUUGCCUUAGCUAUCCCAGCCCUGGAACUAAAGAAGCUAGUAACCCUUAGCUGACAGAGGGCACAGACAAAAGGAAAGGUUACAGCGAAAGCCUGCUCACUGUAGGUGAAGGACUGGGAAAGGGGCAGUCUAGCAAUAUAGAGAAAAUUUUUAGAUAAUAUCUGUACUACUCCAGCUAAACACCACACAUACACACAUUGAAAAACGUGUGGCCUACCUACUCCUACCUCCAACAGCAAAGGCCAAGUGGGAGCCAAAACUACUAUCGUCACUGGGAUGUAAUGAGCCACUCCAGCCUCCUUGUCAGGUUGGUAUUACAGAAAGCCAAGUAGAGAGCCAGAAUUCUCAUAUCCAGUGGGUGGUAACGAGUCCACAUGGGGAGCCUGGAUUUUCACCUCUACCAACAGUAGAGAAGUACCUUUUCCUCCACUCAGGGGUGAUACCAGAAGAGGCAUUAUAGACAAUUAGGACUUUCUCCCCUGCCCAGUAGUAAUAAAGCCAAUGUUUCCCAGGCAGGCAAAAGUGGCAUCAUAUUUUUUCCAUACUGAAAGAAAAUAACUGUCAACUUAGAAUUCUAUGUCUAGUGAAAAUGUCUUUCAAAUAUGAAAGGGAAAUCAAGACACUCUCAGAUGAAGGAAGAAUAUUCAUUUAUUUUUUAAUUUUUGAAGUUGUAUUGCCCCAAAUGAAAAUAGUAGGAAAAACCCUGCAGACCAACAUCCUUCAUAGACAGAGAUGUCAAAAUUUCUUAACAAAAUGUUAGCAAAUUGAAUUCAGCAAUGUAUAAAGAGAAGUAUACAUCAUGAUCAAGUAGGGUUUAUUUGAAAAUCAGCAAUGGAAUCUACCGCAUGUCAACCGUAAAUAAUGAGGUUCAAAGAAUACGAUUAAAUGUGGAGUUUAUCCUAGUGCAGAGCUUGAGGAUCGUCACGGCUGACUCUACACAAAUGGAUCAGCAGCCCAAUUUGGUGCUGUUGAGGUUUCAUUUACAUAGGCAGGGACAGAGAAGUUCCAGCAGGAUUACAACAUUUUCCAUGCAAGACCAGUGCACAUGCCACAGUAAUUUGAUUGGUUAUGGAUUGCUACAUUCAAAGGAAGAUUACUUUAUUACUCUGUGAGAAAGGGUAAUGAUCUGAGGGGGUCCUGUCCCUGGCACUGCUUGGUCUUCUUAAUUAUUUACAAGAAAAAAGCCAGAAGUUGCAGCUGCAUGCCACUUGACUCAGGCUGCAGAGCCACCUCUCAAGGUUCAGAAUGAUUUAAAGCUCUAACAGCUUUAAGUUGACUUAUUUUAAGUUUAAAUUAUCUAAUUUCAUACACAUUAGCAGGCUAAGAAAGAAAAAUGACAUGAUCAUAUCAAUUCCCACAGAAAAAGCAUGUGGUGAAAUUUAAUACCACUUUGUGAUAAAAACAGAACACUAUAAAAGGAAGAGAAUGUUUUCAAAUUGAUAAAGAAUAUCUGCAAAAAAGUAACAUACUUAACAUUGAAAGACUGAAUGCUUUUCUUUACGGUUGGGAAAAAGUCAAAGAUGGUGACUCUCACCGCUACUAUUCAACACAGUGUUGGAAGAUCGAAUACUUUUGUGAUAUUUUGAUAUAAUAAACAUAUUUGGCCUCUGCCCCUGGUUCCGGGUGCACAAUUCCUAAAACUUGUGAAAUCUCUGGAGAUAAGAGUGUUUUUUAAUGCUAAUAUGAUAACUGGUGGCUGGGGCCCCUAGAUAGCCUCAGAAUGGGGACUGGUUGCUAGGAGAACCAACUAUGUGGUAUAAGCAUCAGAACUUUGAGCCUUAUCUCCUGACUCUAGGGAGGGGAGAGGGUCUGAAGGUCUGGAUGAUCAUCAGUAGCCAAUGCUGUAAUCAAUCAUGCAUAAGAAAUGAAGCUUCAUAAACACCUGAAAAGGACAGGAUUUGGAGACCUUCCAGCUUACAGAACGUGUGAUGAUGCCUGGAGGGUGGUGCUCGUAGAGAGGGCACCUUCCCAGAGAGGGAAGGUCUACACUCCUUCCCACAUACCUUGUCCUCUCCAUCUCUUCCAUCUGGUUGUAUAUCUGCAUAAGUAAAGCAUUUCCCUGAGUCCUGUGAGCCACUCUACCAAAUUUCUUGAACAUGAAGAGGAGGUUGUAGGAAUCCUGAUUUAUAGCUGGCCAGUCAGAACCACACUUCACAGCCUGGGGUACACAACUGACAUCCAAAGUGGGAGCUGUCUUGUGGGACUGAACCCCUAACCUGUUGGAUCUGACAAUAUCUCUGGGUAGAUAAUGUGUGAACUGAAUUGAAUUCUAGGAUACCCAGUUAGCGUCUGUUGGAGAAUCUGGUGUGAGAAGUGUUGAGUAGUGUGUGAGAGUAGGAAAACACUUUAGUAUUUUAUGCCCCCUACGCAAGUUCUGAUACUUUUAAUACUUUCAUUAUUGAUCUUGCCAGCACAGUGAGCCAAGGAAAGGAAAUAAAAGACAUACAGAUUAGAAAGGAAGCAGUAAAACUAGCCUUUUUUUUGCAGGUGACUUCCUUGUAAGUCAUACCUAGAAAAGUCUAAGGAAUCUUUUUAAAAAAUCCUAGAAAUAAUAGAUGAGUUCAGAAAGGCCCCAGGAUAUUAGACCAGCAUAUAGAAACCAACUAUGUUUAUUUAUAUUAGCAAUCAACAGAUAGAUACCAAAUAAAAAAUACAGCACCUUUUACACACACACAAAAAUAAAUACAUGAAAAUCUAUCAAAAAAUGUAUAGAAUUUGUAUGGUGAAAACUACAGAAUGCUGAUGAGAGAAAGCAAAGAUGAUCUCAAUAAAUGGAGAGACAUAUUCUCACAGGUUAGAAGAUUCAUCAUAGUAAAUAUGUCAGUUCUCCCAAGUUGAUACAGAGUUUUAAUAUAAUUCUUAUGAAAAUAUCAGCAACAAUUUUUAGUAGAUAUAGACAAGAUUAUCCUGAAAUUCAUAUGUAAAGGCACAGGAACUAGAAUAGCUAAAACAGAUUUGAAAAAGAAUAAGGUGGUAGGAAUUAGUCUAUCAUCCAGUUUCAAGACUUACAUACUUGUAAUAUUUAUAUGACCAUGUGUCAUUGACAGAAGUAUAGACACAUAGAUAAAUGCAACAGAAUAGAGAACCCAGAAACAGACCUACACAAAUAUGCCCACUGGUCUUUUUUUUUUUUUUUUUGCAAAAAUAAAAAAGCAAUUCAGUUAGAGAAAGAAUAGACUUUUCAACAAAUUGUACAGUUAGGAAAAAAAAUUAACCUAUACCUCACACCUUGCACAAAAUUCAUUCAAAAUGUCUCAUGAACAUUAAUGUAACACUUUUAGAAAAUAAAACUUUUAGAAACUAGCAGAGGAAAAAGUCAUUGGGAUCUAUGUCUAGGCAAAGGGUUCUUGGACUUGGCAUCAAAUGCAUGAGCCAUAAAAGGAAAAAUUGAUUAGUUUAACUUCAAAAUUUAAAAAAUUUCUCUCUGAAAGACUCUGCUAAGAGGCUAAAAAGACAAGCUGCAGACUGGGAGUAAAUAUUUGAAAACCACAUAUCCAAAACAGGGCUAUUAUCUAACAUUUAUAAUGAACUCGCAAAACUCAACAACAACAAAAAAGACAAACCAUUUGGAAAAUGGGCAAAAGACAUGGACAGCCAUUUAACUGAUAAACACACAAAAAGAUGUUCUACAUCAUUAACUCUAAGGAAAAUGCUAAAUAAAACCACGUUGAGAUAUCGCUGCACAUCUAUGAGAGUGACAAGUGGUGACAACACUAAAUGCUGGUGAAGAUGCGGGGAAAAUGAUUCCUUUCGUGUUGAUUUUUAUUCAAGUUGUGAGGUUUAUGUGAAAGUUCUUCUUGCUUCCCUGUUCCUCCUCUUCUUUCCCCUCCUCCUUCCCCCCUUCCCCUCUAUAUUAGUCCAUUUCACACUGCUGAUAAGAACAUACCGAAGAUUGGUAAUUUAUAAAGAAAAAGAGGUUUAAUGGACUCACAGUUCCACGUGGCUGGGGAGGCCACACAAUCAUGGCAGAAGGUGAAAGGCACAUCUUACAUGAAAGGAGGUGAGAAAGAAUGAGCCAAGCGAAAGGGGAAACUCCUUAUAAAACCAUCAGAUCUUGUGAGACUUCUUCACUAUCACAAGAACAGUAUGAGGGAAACUACCCCCGUGAUUUAAUUAUCUCCCACCUGGUCCCUCCCACAACACGUGGGAAUCAUGGGAGCUACAAUUCAAGAUGAGAUUUGGGUGGGGACACAGCCAAACCAUAUCACCCUCCUUCCUAUGUAUGCCCAGCUGCGUUAGCACCAUUUGUUGGAAAAGCUAUCCUUUCUCUAUUAAACUGCUUUUGCAUCUUUGCUGGUAAGAAUGUAAAAUGAUACAGUCACGCUUGAUAGACAGUUUAGUAGUUUCUUAAAAACUAAACAUAUAACUGCCUUACAACCUACUACAGUUUGAAUAGCCUCCAAUCCUCACGUCAAAAUUUGAUCCCCACUGUUAGAGAUGGGGCCUAAUGGGAGGUGUUUGGGUCAUGGUGGCAGAUCCCUCAUGAAUGGCUUAGUGCUGUCCGGGUAGCAAUGAGCAACUUCUCACUCUUAGUUCCUGGAGCAUUUCCCUGAGAGCUGGUUGCUCAAAAACUACCUGGCACCUUUACCCUCUCUCUUGCUUCCUGUCUCGCCAUGUAUGUGAUCUCUACAUGCUGGCUCCCCUUCUCCUUCAGCUAUGAGUGGGAGCUUCCUGAGGUUCUCAUCAGAAGCAGAUGUUAGCAUCAUGCUGCUUGUAAACCCUGCAGAACCGUGAGCCAAAUAAACCUUUUUUCUUUGUAAGUUACCCAGUUUCAGGUCUUCCUUUAUAUCUAUUUUUUAAGAGAUUUCUUUUUCUGUGUUGCCCAGGGUGGAGUGCAGUGGCUAUUCACAGGUGUAAUCAUAGCCCACUGUAGCCUCAAACUCCUGGGCUCAACAGAUCUUUUCACCUCAGCCUUCUGAGUAGCUGGGACUACAGGCCUGUGCCACUGACCUGGCUACUCAUGUAUUCCUUUAUAGCGACACAAGCGGACUGAGACAACCCAGCAUUUGUGAUCAUGGUCAUUUAUCCAAGAAACACAAAAACUUGGAUCCACACAAAAACCGUUACACAAAUGUUCCUAGCAGCUUUAUUCAUAAUGGCCAAAAACUAGAAGCAAUCCAGAUGUCCUUCUGCAGGUGAAUAGUUAAAUGAACUGUGGUACAUCCAUACCACGGAGGCUAUUCUGCAUUCAGAUGAACUAUUGAUACAUACAGCUUAAUCUCCAGAGAACUUCACUGAGCGUAAAAAGCCAAUUUCAAAAGGUUAUAUGUUGUAUGAUUCCAUUUAUAUAACAUCCUUAAAAUGACAAAAGUAUAGAAAUGGAGAACAGAUGAGUGGUUGGCAGUGAUUAAGGAUGGUUAGAGGAGUGAGGGCGGGAGCAAAUUAAUGUGGCCAGAAAGGGGCAACAUGAGGGACCUUUGUGCGAAUGGUAAUGUUCUGUAUGGUGGGGGAAAAACACAGGUAAGUAAUUUAACUGAGGCUGUAGGUUUACUUUUGUAAUUGUUAUUUUAGGCACAGCAUGUGGCUGUACUCAUUGUUUGUAAAUUCAUGCCUCUUGGUGUUUAGAAACUAAAAGUGUAUAUAAUAAAAUUAGAUCAGUAUUCUGGUGCAAGUUCUGCUGCCAGCUAACUUGUGACCUUGGUCACGUUCUUCAUAUUUCCUGGAACCUGGGUUCCUCUGGAGGGCUUUCAAAUGAUUCAUCUCUGAGGUCCCUUCCAGCUGUAGAUUUUGAUGGUUUCAUGUUUCAGUGCAUCAAAUGCAUUUCACCAUCUCAGAAGUACGCUUGGACAUGCAAGAGUGAAUCUGUUAUGUUAUUUAUCUUAUUCCAUCAGAUGUGCUUUGCGUGGUCUGUUUUAAUGCAUAGAACUUACUGGCAUCUCUUUUCAACAAUGACAGAAGCUAUGACCCCAUAUUCACUCCCUAUGCUUUUUUAAGUCCUGUAGAUUCCCUCUUCGACCCCUGAAGACACAGUGCUGUGUUGCUCCUGGAAAAAUGUUGAAAAGGACUCAUAACAAAUAUUGAUUCAAAAUGAAUUUGUGGUUUUAGAGAAGAAUAUAUUGCUGAGAUUGCUUUUUAAAAUGUAAUUUGCAGUAGGUUUACCUCCUAGUGAAUUCCAUGGCACCUCCUGAGGCACAGUUCUCAUUCUAAACUAAUAUAUUUUUUAAGAUUUUGGUUUACCUCCCAUAAUGAUGCAUCCUAGCUCAAAAUAGGACUUAAUUCAUGUAAAACUUGACUGGUAUAAUUUGAAAGCCCAAUUUCUAAACUUUUAAGUACAUUUUGUGAGCCCUUAAAUUUGCCAUUCCUCUUUAUCUAAAGUGGUUUUGUCCAGUGGGCACUGUUGAUUUUCCCUAAAUCCUCGGAGAGGAAAAGCCUAAGAGCUACACUUUCUCAGGAUACUUUUUAUGGCAUUAAACAAGGGACCGUUUCAUUUUCAAUUCCAACCAGCAGGCAUAUUUUAGGCUCUUUCCCUAUGCCCUAUAAUACUGUGGAAGAAAGCAUAUAGUUAGGUGACCUUCAGAUCUGUACCUGACCUCCUUCCCCAUUAAGUGACAUGAAUAAAACGUUGUUUGCUGGCAGAGAAGGUCGAUAAAGUAUACGCUUAAUCUCCUUCCAUGGAAAUUAGUGACUUUGAAGCCAUAACUGGAAUAUUUUUCCUCUUCUUUUCUUGUUUAGCUUCUGUGUCCUUUUUUCUUAUAUUUUCUAGCGUAUAAAUUCUGUGGUCUUUGACUUGAGAUUUUUGGGAAAAGUGCAAGUAAGACAUGAGUAAUCUAUUACUAUGGGCACAGAUUCCCCAAUGGUCAGAACUGGCAAAGUCAAAAUUUCUGUUUUCAUCAUUAAAAUUAAUGACCCUAUAUCAUAUUUAGGCUCCUCUUCUUUCUCAUAGAAAUGUAAUCUUGGGAAAGAAAUAAUAACUAUAAACCAAGGUGUAUAUUAUACUAUAUUUGAACAUCAUCUCUAGAUUACGUAUGUUUUCAAAGACAUUUUUAUGCUCUGAAAGCUGUGGGUUUAAUGUACUAUAUGUAUUGGCAUCAGGGGAACCAAAAUGAAAUAUCAGUUUGAUUUAGUGUUGCUAUGGAGAAUGUUUUAAUGUUUCAAUUCAAUAGUUUGUAAUAUAUUUAGGCAUGCUUAUACAUGUAUACUUCAGCAGAUUUCUAGUUUGGUGAAUGUUUUUUAAUUGACUAUCAGGGAUUUAAUAAUAGCCAUUUGAAAUAAAGCCAAUAAAACAAAAAAAUACACAUUUCAAUUUCAUUUUAUGACUAGGCUUUCUUUAAAAGAGUUGCACACUUUUUUUCUUCAUAGAAAGCUUUUCUUGAUGUUUUCUGAUAUGUCCACUGAUGGCAUUCAGCUUUCAUUCUUUGAUUUCCUGUCUUCGUUAGUUGGUGUCUAUAAUUGCUUGGGUAUGGGAUAUCUUGGCCGGCAAUUUAGUUACAUCUAAUUAUCAAGUCACAGAUAGAAUAAUAUGGCUGUUUCACACAGUUUUGUUCUGAGUAUUAUAUGCUCUUAUCCUGGCUUCUAAGGCUUUCUUAGAGCAGGACUAACUAUAAAUAUUUGGUUGUAAAAGUUAAAGAAAGAAAGGAAAACCUCAAGAGAAAUGGACGGCAGCUAACAUCCAAGUUAGGAGGACACCCCUGAUUUUCUCAGGCUUUUCAACUUUUAUCUGGAAGGGGAAGGGGAACUCCCAACGUGUUGAGGAUUUGCUCACAGUAUGCUAAUCCUGAGAUGAUAUCCGACUACAGUAUAAUAUAGGUCUUGGUUUAUAUUCAACUAUUUCGAAGCGUCUCACAACAGCCUUGCUUAAAAAAAGACUUUUUAACACAGUGGGUUUUUAAUAUUUUGUUUUGAAGAUGAAGGUGGUUUUCUGGUGAUUAUUGCAGCUGGUGUUCUCAUUGCUAGUGAUUUCCACCUGGGCCCUACCUUGAGCUCAAUAACAGUUCACCUGGCAAGGUUGGCGCCACAGCUUCAAGUGGUGGCUCUCACGUCUAGUUGAAUAUUAGUAUCACUGGUGUUGGUAGUCAUUUCUAAGGGCUGCUGUGCCAAAUUAUCACAAACUUGGUGGCUUAAAAAUCACCGGAAUCUAUCAUCUCACAGUUCUGGAGGCCAAAAAUCUGAAAUCAAGAUAUGGACAGGGCCAGACUCCAUGGGAAGUCUUCAGGGGAGCAUACUUCCUUGCCUCUUCGAGCUUCUAGUGGCUCCUGAUAUUCCUAGGCUGUGGCACUCUGGCUCCAAUCUUUCCUCUCUUUCCAUGUGAUCUUUUCCUCUGGGUCACUGUGCCCAAAUCUCCCAGUCCUUUCUCUCAUAAAGAUACCAGUCAUUGGAUUUAAGGCUCACUCUAAAUAUGGAUAAUUUUGACACAGGAAGUGGAAAGAAAUUAUUUAAGCAGAUAGUAAGGGUAAAAGAGUUCUCAGCAGAAUUUUCUUUCUAAUGAAAAGCAUCCCAAGAAAUUAUUUUUUUCCUACCAAAGAGCAGCCUGAAAAAUCGAGCUGAAAACAUAAAUAAGCAAGCUGGAAGCUUGCACAGGGGAAUGCUGGCAGCUGUGCUAACAGAAAAGGGCUACCUGGGGCCCAGGCAUGUCCGACAUGGAGGCUCCAUCUUCCCUUUUUUUGUUGUUACCAUAUGUACAGUAAAGAAACGGGCAACAUGGCACAGCUCAGAUAGAGGACGUGACAGCAUAAUAAAAGAUUAGGGUGGAGGCGACCAGAAAUUUGCAUCCUAUGCAAAUGGCAAACCUAGUCCUAACCGGUUUUUCAUGCCCUAUACAAAUGGCACACCUGGUCCAACUAGUCUUUCACCCUAUGUAAAUCAGACUCUGCCUCCUCACCAGGUAUCUAUAAAACCCCCUGUAUUUCCCUGUGGACCGGCAACCCAUUUUUCCAGAACCCCUCUCCCCAGCAGAGAGCUAUUCUCUUUCUUUGGCCUAUUAAACUUCCCCAUUUAACCUCACUCCUUGUGUGUCUGCAGCCUUGAUUUCCUCAGCUGUGAGACAAUGAACCUGAUUAUCAUCCCAGACAAUGAGGCCGCUUUAGUCUCAUCUGGAGAUUUUUAAUUAAUUAAUCCACAAAGAUCCUAGUAUCAAGUAAAAGCUAACUCAAAUCAGGAAGUGAUUUUCUCAGUCCAGCCUUUGGACUUCACUCCUCCAGCCCCCAUGAGCUGCCUGGAUCAGACUGCUAAGACUCAGGAGUUCUUGGCACAGCCACCUUUGUGAGCCCUCCCACCCCAAGUCCUCUGUCUUCCCCUCUCUGCUAUUGUGUCAGAUCUCUGUUAAUUUCAGUUAUGCCAUUUUAUCUCUAGGGAAAUGAGUUCCAACUUCCAAACAGGCAAAACCCAAUUCAGUAUUUGGAACAGGACUCAUUUGGAGACACAGUGUAAUGCAGUGAAUGAAGCACAGGCUUUGGAACUAGAAAAAAAUGGUUUCAUAUUCCUUUUCUAGACCUUUCCUUGAUAAGGUCUGAGACCCUACAUGUUUUAACAUCUCUGCUGUUGGUGUCAAUAUCUUAUUGUCAGGAUUAGAGACAUUCCACUUCCAGAUUCACUCACACGGUUGUUGGCAGGACUCAGUUCUUCUAGGGUUGUUGACUGUUGGUCUCAGUUCUCUGCCACAUGAGGCUCUCCAUAGGUCAGCUUGCCUUGUCUCAUCAAGCAGGAAGAGGGCAGAGAAAGGGUGAAAAGGAUGAAGUCACAGUCAUUUAUAAACAAAUCACAUUUCUAUUUGUUAAAAGGAAAUAACUAGGUCCAGCCCACAUUCAAAGUGAGAGAAGAUUACAUAAGGGUGUGAAUAGCAGGAGGUGGUGGGCUGAUUAGGAGCCAUUUUAGAAGCUGUCAAGCACAGUACUCUUUCCCAAAACCCAUCUUAUUUUUUCUGUUGGAAUAUCUCCUAGCAUUUCUAGCUUAGGGUAUGUGCUGACUUCUCGGAACACAGAGGGGCCUGGUGUCAAAUUGGAAUGCUGAAGCAUAAGAGGUUAAAAAGUUGGCUUUGGAAAGCCACGCAUAGCAUCAGAAACAGUAUUGUGAUAAGAACCACAAUCAGCUGAGAUCCUGGUGGGUCAUUAUAUCGUGAAUUACUUUGCUACAUGAUUACACAUGAACUAUAGAGCUUCAGAAAUAAACCACUGUAGUGGGCCAGGAGGGAACAAUAUGAACAGUCAUUUAGAAUGUGCUGCUGCAGAGAGAAUAACUAAAUGGCAGUUCUUUGAAGCCACUUUGCUAAACUAUAGUUUGUAUAUCUGCUGAAUGGUUCCGUGUAAUAAACCAUAGCAGCUACACUCUCAUUCCUUCUUCUAAAUACCCGGUUCUGAAACCACCAUUUCAAGAGGAUAUUCUUGGGAGAACACGGAACAUCAUUUCUAGGCAUUUCCAUUUCUACAUAAUUAGAAUAGAAAGACUUUCAAGUCAGCUUCAGGUUUUAGCUUGUUAUAUAAAUAAGUUCACAGGAAUCUCAAAUGCUUUACAGAAAUCUGACAGCAACUAUAAAAGGCUUUUGAACAUUUUUGUUGCCAAAGUCCUAGGGAUUGCUGGAAUCUUAAAUAGCCCGUUUUAAGCUCCAAUUCAGAAGCUUUUUGUCAUGUUUAAUAAUGUGGUGAAUAAUUCCUUUUCUGUUAGUCGUUUCCUCUUUUAUAAUCCACAAGGAUCUUUGAGCCAUGGAAUGGAUAUUUUCUGGAGCUAUAAAUUAAAGGUCCUUUCGAUCCCAAACUUAAAAUGGCCUUUUAAUGUAGCACUUCUGUAAAUCCAUUUAUCUAGGUCUAAAGAUUCAUUAAAAUAUGUUUAAAUGAAAGUAUUAUGUAGGUAUAUGUCCAAUGAAAUGAGUGAUCAUUUUGAAAUGAGAGAACCAUGGAGAACAGAUGUUCCUGUGUACAGUAGGAAAUUUAAUAGGAAGAAAAUUAUUUGUAGAGAAUAUUAAAUACUAGAAUGGUCUUCUUAUUCUUCUUUCCUCCUCUUUCUUUUAAAGUAAAUUAAGUUUAGUCCAGGGUCCGGUGAACCCCAUUGGGUUUGUGGAGAGUGUUUAUGAAAACUUUAAACUUGGAUUAAAAAAAUGAUAUCUUCACUUACACUAACCUCUGAGUAGAUUUUAGCCUUUCUUUCAAGUGUGAAUAUAGGCAAAAGACCACGGUGGCAUUGGCAGUACUUGUGACUUUCUCACCAAUAGAAAUCACAGAUACUGUCUAAUCAUAUUUCAGUUAUUAUAUGUAUCCCAAAACAUUUGUGCUUAUCAUUCCUUUGAAGAUAUAGUUGUUAAAGCUUCCAUUGGGUUUCAUUGUAUAAUGUCUUAAUAAAGAAACAAAUAUUAGUGUAUUACAUAUAUUUUAAAAUAUUUUCAUGGCUAUGUUCUAGUAUAAUCUGUAUUCUCAUAAUCCUAUGUACUUUUUUUUAAAAGUAUGAUUUUUGGAAGUUGUACACAGACUUCAUCAGGUGGCCAAAUGGACCCAGGCAUGUGUGCGUGCACACACCCACACCCCCCUCCACACACACACACACACACACACACACACACACACACACUGUGCCAGAACCUAGAAAACAGAAUGAUUAAGGAGGUUUGCAAUUCGUGGAGCAAGUGCUGGACCACAGUCACUUUGAAUACAUGGUGUCAUUUAAUCUUUCCACCAACAUUGUGAGGUAGAAGUCAUUAUUAUUCUCAUUUUAUAGAUGCUGGAUCAGAGACUUUGAGGGCACGGUAGCCAGCCUUCCAGGUGGCUUCCAGUGAUCCUUACCUUUUAAAAUUCUCCUCCUAGUGACAUCUCCUCCCACCUUGUAUUAUGUUAUCUCUUUGACCAGUAGAAUACAGUGAAAGCAACAGUGUGCGUCUUCAGAGUCUAGGUCAUAAAAUCUUACUCAUUUUGGGAAAAGCUAGUCACCAUUUUGUGAGAACACUUAAACAGCUUUAUGGAGAGCUUCCUCUAGCAAGGAAUAAAGUUUCUUUCCAACAGCCAGCGCCAACUUCCAGCCUUGUAAGUGAACCUGAGGUGGAUGCUUCAGCUUCAGCCAAGUCUGCAGAUUAUUCCCAACCUGGUGGGUGUUGUGACUCCAGUUUCCCAGAGACCUUGAGUCAGAACCACUCAGCUAAUCAGCUUCAAACUUCAUGACCUGCAGAACCUGUAUAAGAUACUAAAUAUUUAUGGUGGUUUGAAGCCCUGAAUUUUAGGGGUUAAUUUGUCAAGUAGCAAUAGAUAACUGAUACAGAGGGGUUAUGUAUCUUUCCCAAGGUCAUAUCAGUAGUAAAUGAAAGAGGCUGGAUGGGAACCCACUGGUGCUGAUGAAGUGUGUGCAGUUUCCCUCAGCUUACCUGCACAGAGAUAAUCAGAGAACCCUGAAUCCUUUCUUUUCCUUUUCCUUCUUUGUCUCCCCAUUUUUCUUCUCUCUUCCUCUCAUGCUAUAUGCACAUAAUACUUGAUGAUGAGAUGGUAGGUCUUCUCUUUCCACACUUGAUCCCCUUAAAUUCUUAAAUAAAAUAAAGCAUAUCACAAAAACACCAGGUAAAAUUUAUUAAGCACUUAAUAUGUGUCUCAAACAGUGUUCUAAGUAUUAAAAGCAAUACUAAUAAACUGUCAUAUAUGUAGUACUCUCAGCAGUCUAAUGUCAGAAGUAGACAGAAAUUUUGGCUGGGUGUGGUGGCUCAUGCCUGUAAUCCCAGCACUUUGGGAGGCUGAGGCCAGCAGGUCACCUGAGGCCAGGAGUUUGAGACCAGCCUGGCUAACAUGGUGAAAGCCCGUCUCUACUAAAAAUACAAAAAUUAGCCGGGUGUGGUGGCGCACACCUGUAAUCCCAGCUACUGGGGAGGCUGAGGCAGGAGAAUUGCUUGAACCUGGGAGGCAGAGGCUGCAGUGAGGCAAGAUCUUGCCACUGCACUCCAGCCUGGGUGACAGAGCAAGACUCUGUCUGAAAAAAAAAUGGAAAUUUUACUUUGUCUUCAUAAUAAACUUAACAGAUAGGUAGGGAGAUGAUAUUGUUGCAUUUUAUAGAUGAUCUGACUGAGUUCAACAUUUAAGGAAUUUGUUAACAUGACAUGGUUUUUUCGGCAUCAGGAGGAAAAGUAGAACCUGCUAAUAUCAAAAUAUUAAAAGGCAAAAGAAGGGUCAUCAGGCUAAUUGCAACAGCAUUUAUUUGAAGUAAAGCCUUCUCUGCUCUGUAGAUAUAAAAAUAUCUGAGGCCUUAACUUUUUUUUGCAGGGAAGAGCUUGGGUGAAGACCAUCUUACAUUUGAAUUUAUAUUCCCAAAUUGGAGGGAAGCAAUGUGCAUGGGAUGGUAAAUUGAUCUCUGGAUUAUUGCUUGACCUUUCAGUGACAUUAAAAUGAAAGAAAACUGAAUAAAAUGAUAUAGCUCCACAGUGUUCUAAGCCCAUUGAUACAAAAACAAUUUAAAUAGCAAACACCGACUUUCCCUGUUGCUCUUGUCUGAUUUUUAAAUAACAUUUUCAUUAUGGUUGCUAUAGUAGAUUAAGCUCCUUGUUAGGAGGAAAAUUCAGAGGCCACUCUGUUUGAGAUAAAAAAUGUUUAAACUUGUAAAUAUCACUGUGAGAGAAAGAUUGGGUACCAUAAGAGUUACUGUAAAUUACUUAACUGAUAGCACUAAUAUUGAAAAUGUCCUCUACAAGUGCUUCUUUUAAAAAUUCAAUUCCCUUCAAUAAAAUUUGCAUACUUCCAAGGGACUUAGAAUUCUGAGAUAAAAGAUACGUAAGAAUAACAAAAAUACAUUUGUUUGAGGGAAAAAUAUUUGCAACUCAUAUUAUGUACAUAGGGCUAAUGACUCUAAUUUAUUCCAAGUUUCUAAAAACCAUUAUGAAAAUGAUACAAUAGAAAAAUAGUCAAAGAUUGUUGUGGCAUAAUUACAUUUUCCAAAAGUGGCCACACCUGCAUUUCUAGUUCAUUGUGGUGUUCCAGAUUCUUGUCAUACACUAUCAGGAGGUGGAGUCUGUUUUCUCUUCCUUCUGUUGAAACUAGGAUAGAGAAUAGAGUAGGAUGCACUCAGUGCAGGUGGAGUGAAUAGCAUUCACCUCAUGCAUGUUGGUGUGUGCUCCCCACCCCUGCUUCCUCCCCCUCUACACCCACUUACCCUCUCCUGGGAUGCUUUUCUUUGGAAUCCAACAGCCAUGCUGUGAGAGAAGCCAAAUCACGUGGAGUGGCUAGCCGUGAGUUAUAAGAGUUCUAGUUGAUGGAAGAAAAUAAUUGAAAUGUAUCUAGCAUAAAGAAAAGACAAAUAUUUAAGGUGAUGGAUAUCCCAAUGCUAAGUAAUAUGAAUGUAUUACAUUAUCACAUGUACCUCAAAACUAUGUACAUCGACUGUGUGUCAAUUUAAACAAUAAAAUUUAAAAAAUAGAGUUCUAGCUGACAGUCUCAGCCAAGAUCUCAGCUGGCAGCCAACACCAAGUACAAGACUUUCUCAGUCUUCUUUUAAAGUGUUCAAACUGGUUAAGUUAGGCCCACCCAAGAUGAUUUCCUAAAAUUAAACUCAACUGAUUAGGGACUGUAAUUAUGCCUGAAAAAUCUCUUUACAGCAGCAUCUAGAUCUGUGUUUGAACAAGUGGGGAGGGACUGUAGUUCACCUUAGCCAAGUAGACAAGUGAAAAAUCCAUCACAGGCUUUAUGAAGAUUAAGAAAAUGUCAUAAUUUUUAAGUCUGCCGUUCAUUAUUCAUUUUAUUUAUCUCACUCAUUCUAUAGUAUAACUUAAAAAUGUACUUUUAUGGGUGGCUGGCAGACCACUGGAGAGAUAAUUCAUGGGGCAUAAACCUAUUUUUGGCAUUACUGGUUAUGCCUUACUUGAGUUAAUUCACCUCUCAAAACAUUGGCAAAUGUUUAUUUUUUUAAAAAAUCUUACACAGGUGCUUGGUGGAGUGAAAAAUACUACUUUCUAAGGGUUAAUAUGACUAUAAUAAAAAUACAGAAUAAAUAUAUACCAACAUUUAAUAUGUCUUUAAUGAAGAAACCAGUGCAAUCCAGGGGCAUUUUGAGGACCUGGGUACUUCUAGACAUUUUGUUAAAAAGGAGUUGGAGAGGGAGAAUAUUUGAAUAAAAUUACUAGGUUUUAUACAAGACUGAUUAGUAUCCCACAGGACAAUUAAACCAUAAACUUCAGUGGUUCUUUCGUACUAGACAAAAACUACAAGUUAACCUAUAACUUGACAGUGGUGGUACAAUAAUCAAAAUGUAUAUAGCAAAGCCAAACACAGAUAUGUUCUUUUAGAGAAUUAAAUAAUCCUUGAGUGGGCUUGGGGAACAAAAUUCUAGUACAGUAUUGAACAGACACGCCACAUACACCAUUGCUACCACUACUGUUAGCUUUAUUUCCUAGUUUUUGAUCAUUUUUGUUAACCAGGGUCAUAUUGACUUUGAGUCAUAAUAUUUGCUACCAUGAAAUUCUUUAAAAAGUCCAUGCGUUAUCUUAGAAACAUUAUGAUACAUAAAAAAAUGGGAAUGUCUCAUUCUUCAGAUUACUCAGAAACAAUGGGUGUAAAUUAGCAAAGAAAGUGAGAAAAAUAAAUUAAAAAAGUGUAGCUCUUUAUGUAAGUAUCUUAUCAGUACCAUGUUUCAUAACAUGAUUUCUCUCUUAAAAUAGUGAAAACUCAUGGUAAAACUAAGAUGACCUACCUUGUAAAUACAGGCAAGUGGGAUAGGUUUCAGGAUUAACUCAAUAGAUAAAUUGGAAAUUAGACCUUAUCUGUUAAUAACUUCAGUUCUCCUGCUGCCACAUACUAUGUUUGGAACUGUGUUCAGUGAGGAUAUUUUGUUUGCAUUCACAUUUUGUCUAAUUUCUAGCUGAACGUCUACACCUCAUUUGUCUUUACAUUUACCAUUUGCCAAUGUCACACAUUGUACUGUUACGAUUCUUAAAUGUAAGUGACAUCCAUUUUCGAGAAAUAAGUGUUUCAUUCAUGAAGGGUCUUUUUAGGUUUAUGUUAAGUUUGUUCUCAUUUUCAGUUUGCUCUUCAGACAAAUAGUGUAAUAUAUACUGUUCUUCUUCCUUCUUAUUGAAUAUUUUCUACUAAACCUAUCUUUUUAUGAUUCUGAAAUGCCAGCUUCAGUUUUUUUUAUUAAUUCAUACUGACCCUGGGCAGAGCUGUCUAUCUCAACUUAAUGGCUAUUUAUAAUAUAUGGAUGGCAUUCCCCUGCCAUUAAUGUUUAAUGAACUGGCUCCUGAUCCAAUAGAGUCUAAUAAAGGUAAUCACUAGAAUACAUUGUCUUUCUGCAGUGCCCUAGAAACUUCUUUUAUUUUCCCUAUUGUAUACCUUUGGCCCAUAGUCUCCUUUUUUUACCUCUUUCGGUGCACUCUUCUCAACCUCUUUUUCAUUAUUUAGUCCAAUUGCAUACAUUUUUACACUUAAUUUCUUUACAGGUCAGGAAGACAGUCUUCUGAGUGGAAACUUUAAAAAAUACCAGCCUUACAUGAUUGUUAGAAAGAAAGAAAACCUUAAAUACUGACAGGAUGCAGACUUAUUUACAUGUAGAGUAGAAGAAAAACAUUUUUAAAAAAUCUAGGCUGCUUCUUACAGACCGUAUCCCUAGUGGAUCAAUUCUUUUUUUGUAAUCUACAUUUGAGAUGUGUUAAAAACAAAAUUGGGUCCUGGAAUUAGAUAAUGGUGAUGGAUACAUGUUUUUCUGAAUAUACUGAAAAGCAUUGAAUUACAUAUUUUAGAAGGAUAAAUGUUAUGGUAUGUGAAAAAUAUAUACCUAUGCUACAUUAACAGUUACAUAUUUUUAAUGAUAUGUAUUAAUAUAUAUUAUAUGAUUUUGUCACAUAUAAUAGCAUAUAUAAAACAUUGGAACUGGAUGACUUGAGGGAGCAAAGUUGAGCAUUUCCUGAUACUACAAACAUGUAUGUGUGUGUGUAUGUGUGUGUGUGUAUAUAUCCCUGUUUUUCGCUCUCCUAAAUCAGUUCUUUCCAGAUUUCCAGUGAAAGGAAUUUUAGCUUGCUUAUGAAUGCCAUCUAAUUAGUUUAUUUCUUUGUUACUGGAGAACAUGAACAGAGGCCGCUAUUUACUCAAGUGUGCACUCUCCAAAGGUCUUUCUUCAUUCAGGAUGACUUGAUCCUGAGGGUUCUGCCAUCUGUUACCUCUAAACAGCUAGCCAGCUGCUCUCUAGUCUUUCCAGUUUAAGCUCCAUUCUUGGAACUGCACUUAUUUCAGUCUGGUUGUUGUAUUCACCUUGGGGCUCUGUAUUCCUGAAACCAUGGACUGCUGAUAUCUUAGCAGCCAUAAGAAUCUUCCUACUUGUUUGAAAUAGGGGUUUCUGGAUCCAGAGCCUAGAGAUCAUCCUAGGUAUGUUUUCUAAGAUGUACUUUUUAAAAUAAAAUUAAAAUACUUUAUUUUUUAGAACAGCUUUAGAUUUUCAGAAAAAUUGUGCAGAUAGUUGAGAGACUUACCAUAACAUUUUCCUUCCGUGUCGCCACUAUUCCCCCAUCCCCGCCCCACCACCAAGUGUCUCCUACUAUUAAUACCUUGCAUUAGUGUGGCACAUUUAUUACUGAAGUUAAUGAACCAAUAUUGACACAUUUAUAUUAACUGAAGUUCAUACUUUACUUUAAAGUUCACUCUUGGCCUUCUGUGGUUCUAUGGAGUUUUACAGAUGCAUAUUGUCGUGUAUCCACCAUUACAGUUUCGUAUAGAAUAGUCUACAUUGCCCUAAGAAACUAUAUUGGAUCCCUGGUAACUAGUAAUCCCUUUAUUGCCUCUAUAGUUUUCCCUUUUCCAUAAUGUCAUAUGGCAGUAUGUCUGUAAGGUGCCUCCACACCUUUUUAUGGCAUAAGAGUUCUUUUAAAGAAAAAAUUGUAGACUAGUAUUCUGUCGUAUGGAUUUGCCACAGUUUGUUUAUACAUUCUCGUGUUGUGAAAGACAGAUUAUUAUGAAUAAAGUUUCUAUAAGCUUCCCUAAGCAGACUUUUGUGUGAACAUUAGUUUUCAACUCAGUUGAGUAAAUGCUUAGGAACUUGGUUACUGCAUUCUGUGGUGAAACUAUGUUUAGAUUUAUAAGAAACUGUAAAACUGUAGUCCAAAGUGGCUAUACCAUUUUACCAUUAUUUCCACCAACAAUGCAUGAACGUUCCCAUCACUCCACUUUCUUGCCAAUAUUUGGUAUUAUCAGUCUUAUGGAUUUAGCUAUCCUAAUAGGUAUAUACUGGUAUGUCAUUGUUUUAAUUUGUAAUCCCCUAAUGACAUAUGAUGUUAAUAUUUUCUACCAUUCUGUGCCUUGUCCUUUCAUUCUCUUAACAGUAUUUUUUGUAGAGCAAAAGUUUUAAAUUUUAAUACAAUUCAAUUUAAAAUUUUUUUUGUAGAUAAUUUUUUGUUGUUAUAUCUAUAAACAAAUUGCCAAACUCAAAUCUAGUAUUUUUCCCUGUGUUAUCUUUCAGAGGAUUUACAUUUUGCAUUUUUCAUUUUACAUUUAGUUCUGUGAUGCGUUUUGAGUUUAUUUUUGUAAAAGGUGUAAGGUCUGUGUGUAGAUCCCCCCUUUUUUUUUUUUUGGCAUAUGGAUGUCCAGUUAUUCUAGCACUAUUUGUUGUCUAUUGAAUUGCCUUUGCUCCUCUGUCCAGGGCAAGUUGUUUAUGUUUGUAUUGGUCUAUUUCUGGAUUUCCUCUUCUGUUCUUUUGAUUCACUUACCUAUUCUGUCACCAGUACCAUGCUGUCUUGAUCGCUGUAGCUUUGUAGCAAGUCUUAAAGUUGAGUAGUAUCACUCCUUCAACUUUGUUCUUCAAUAUUUUAUUGGCUAUUCUGGAUCUUGAGCCCUUCUCUAUGAACUUUACAAUCAGCUUUUUGAUAUUCACAGAAUAACUUUCUGGGAUUUUGACUGAAACUGCGUUGAAUGUAUAAUCAAGUUGGGAAGAACCGAUAACAGUAUCAAGUCUUCCUAUCCAUGAACACAGAAUAUCUAUUCGUUUAUUUAGAUUUUAUUUCUUUCAUCAGAAUUUUUUAUAUUUCCUUACAGAUCCUGUACAUAUAUUGUUAGAUUUUUACAUCUAUGUGUUUUAUUUUUUACGCUAAUAUAAGUGAUAUUGUGCUUCUAAUUUCAAUUUCCAUUUGUUAUUUUCUGGCAUAUUGGAAAGAAAUAUUUUAUCCUGUUUUUUUCAGGAUAAAAGAAAAAUUUUAUCCUGAAACAUUGCUGCAGUUGCUUAUUUGUUCUAGAGAAUGUUUUGUCAAUUUUUUAGGAUUUUUCUACAUAGUCAGCCAUAUCAUGAGAGCAAAAACAGUUUUAUUUUCUUCUUCCCAAUCGUUAUAUCUUUUUCUUAAUAUUCUUUCCUUUUCUUGUCUUACUUUUACCUAGGUCUUCCAUUAUGCUGUUGAAUAGGAGUAUUAACAGGGGAAAAUCUUGCCUUGUUCUCAGUAGCUUGCUAUAUCAAAUUAUUACAGACUGGUAGCUUCAAACAAUAGAAAUUUCUUCCCUGACAGUUCUGAAAGCCAGAAGUCUAAAAUCUAGGUGUCAGCAGGGCCGUACUCCCACAGAAGCUGUGGAGGGAAAUCCAUUCCUUGACAGCUUCUGGUAGCUCCAUAUAUUCUUUGGGUUGUGGGUGUGGGUGUGACAGUGAUCUCUGUGUUCCUGGUCACACUGGCUUCUUGAUGAGUCUGUGUUAUUUCACCUUUGCCUCUACCUUAUAAGGAUAUUUAUGAUUGAUAGCAUUAAGGCCCACUCAGAUAACUUAGGGUAAUCUUCUCACCUUAAAAUUCUUAAUUUAGUUACAGCUACAAAGUCCUUUCUUUCAAAGAAGGUAACAUUUUCAUGUUUUAAAAGUUAAGACCUGAUAUCUUUGGGAGAUCAUUAGUCAGCCUACUAUACUACACUGAUCUUAAAGCAUCCAGUUUCUCUCCAUUGAGUAUGAUGUCAUGUUAGCUGUAGGUUUUUUUGUAGAUUUUUUGGUAUCGAGUUGACGAAGUUUCAUCUAUUCCUAGUUUGCUGAGAGUUUCUACUCAUAAAUGAGUGUGGGAUUUUGUCAGUGCUUUUCUGUAUCUGUUGCUAUUAUAUGAUUUUUCUUCUCUGGCCAGUUGAUACGCUAAGUUACGUUUGUUGAGUUUUUUUUGUUGUUUGGUUUUCUUCUAUUGUUUUUUUUUUUUUUUUUGAGACAGAGUCUCGUUCUGUCACCCACGCUGGAGUGCGGUGGCACGAUCUCCGCUCACUGCAAGCUCCGCCUCCCAGGUUCACGCCAUUCUCCUGCCUCAGCCUCCCAAGUAGCUGAGACUAGAAGUGCCUGCCACCAUACCUGGCUAAUUUUUUUGUAUUUUUAGUAGAGACGGGGUUUCACUGUGUUAGUCAGGAUGGUCUUGAUCUCCUGACCUCCUGAUCUGCCCGUCUCGGCCUCCCAAAGUGCUAGGAAUGUUUGUUGAGUUUUUGAACGUUCCACCAGCUGUGUACCUGAAAUAAAUCCUAGUUGUAGUAUAUAAUAACUUUUAUACAUUAUUAGAUUUGAUUUGCUAAGAUUUUGUUGACGCUUUUUAUAUCAUGUUCACGAGCGAUAUUAAUUUCUAGUUUUUCUUUCUUUUAAUGGGGUUUGCACGUGUAUUCUGAUUUUGCUAUAGAGUAAUGCUGGUAUAACAUAAUGACUUAGGAAGUGUUCCCUCUGCUUUACCUAUCUAAAGAAGGUUGUAGAGAAUUGCUAUCAUUUUGUGCUUAAAUAUUUGAUAGAAUUCAUCAGUUAAAUUGUCUGGACCCAAUUUAUUAUUUAUUUUUAGAAAGUUAAUUAUUGAUUCAAUGUUUUAAAAAGAUACAGAUAUAGAUAUAACCUGAAUAGACCUAUUCAGAUUAUCUAUUUCUCUUUUUGUGAGUUUUGGUAGUUUGUUUCUUUUAAGGAAUUGCCUCUGUUUAUCUAAGUUAUCAAAUUUGAGAUCACAGAGUUGUUCAUCAUAUUUCUUUAUCAUCUUUUUAAUAUCCGUGAGAUCAGUAGUGAUGACCCCUCUUUCAUUUCUAAUGUUAGUAAUCUGUAUUGUUGCUCUUUUUUUCCUGGUUAGCCUGACUAGAGGUUUAGCAAUUUUAUUGAUCUUUUGAAAAUAAUUAGCUUUUGGUUUUGUUAAUUUUUCUCUGAUUGAUUUCCUAUUUUCAAUGUAAUUGAUUUCUGCUCUAAUUUCUAUUCUGUUUUUCUUCUGAUUGCUUUAGGUUUAAAUUGUUUUUCUUUCUGUGGGUUUCUAACAGAAGUUUAGAUUAUUGAUUUUAGAUCUUUCUUCUUUUUUGAUAUAUGUGUUCAGUUCUUUAAAUUUCCUGCAAAGCAUUGUUUUCCUUGCAUUCCACAAAUUUUGCUAAGCUCUAUUUUCAUUUUUAUUUAGUUUAAAAUAGUUUAAAGUUUAUCUUUAAGAAAUUUCUUUUUGCAUGCCUUAUUUUUGUUGUUGAAAGCUGGAAAUAAUACCUCGAGUGAUGGGAACUAAGAAUUUUUUUUUUUGUUAUGAGGUUUUAUGUUAAUCUAGCUUAGAGCUGGACUGUGUUUAAUGCUUGCUGUAGCUUUAAGUUCCAGAUGCUUCUGUGUGCUCGUAUUUUUUGUCUUCCCUGUUGUCUUUGGGCUUUCCUAAGAGCUCCUUAUUCAAUAGAGUCUGUGUGUUUCACCUCUCAGUUGUAAUCACCAAAGACCUCUUCACGUGGUGAUGAGGUCUCAGGAAGGAUAAUUGUUGUAUAUUAUGAUUACAUCUCAGUUUUCUUAGUGAGCCUGAGUUUCUAGGCUGCGAUCUUCUGAAAUGUUCUGAGCCCUUUUUUCGUCCCCUGACAUUAGACAGGAAGGCUAAAAGAGUCUGGAGGGGACUAAUUGCCCUUCUCCCAAGUCAGAUAGAACUCUGGUAAAAUAGCUUCCCUGAAAGGACGUGUCUUUCUUACAGAGAACAAUCUGGGAAACUUCCAAAAUGGUUACUUUUUCUCUUCCCUGAGAUUUUUCUCCAGACUUCCCCAUGAGAACAUGAUAGGGUUCUUGGACAUAAAACUCAGAAAAGUAUAGUCUCCCCUAAGACUAGGCUGCAAGAGUUUUUAACUCUCAAGCUAGUCUGCACUGAGCCUCCAGCAAUUUGUCAAAAUUAUCAUACACGUGUUCGUAUCAGUUCCUAGGUCCUUCUGUUUUUGCUUUAGGUAAUCUGAUCUUAUGAUUCUUUGUGUUUACAUGUUUCUCCAAAUUUGGGGAUACUAGUUUGCUUUGGACCUCAGUUCUCUGCUGAAUCUAAAAAAGUCAUUAAUUUCCAGUUGGUUCAUCUUUUUUCCUUGUCGUAAAUAUUUUUCUUGUUGCAAAUUGCAGUGAAGCAGUGUCAUUGGCUGGGAUAAUAUCCGAGAUUUGUCAUCUCAUGCCGGGAAAAUUAAGGACAGGGACACACACACACAAGGAGUGAGUUUGGGAGCUGAGGAUUAAUAGGCAAAAGAAAGAGAAAGGAGAACAGCUUUCUCUCUUGAGAGAGAAAAGGGUGCCUGAAUGAGACUUCCAGCCUGUGGCAGAGUGCAUUGGAGUUUAUAGGCAGGCUUGAGGAGGCGGUGUCUGAUUUACAUAGGGCCCAAAGAUUGGUUGGACGAGGUGUGAUGUUUACAUAACAUGCGAGGAAGCUGGAUGCCCUACCCUGAUCUUAAGCAAAUGGCGACUUCUCCCAGCUGGCGCCAUGUUGCCUGCUCGUUACUCUACAUGUGGCUGGCAAAGAAAAGGGAAGAUGGAGCUGCCAUUUUGAGCAUGCUUAGUACCAGGUAGCUUUUUCUUAUUGGCACAACUGCUGGCAUUCAUCCAUUGCAAGCUUCCAGCUUGCUUGUCUGGGUCUGCAGCUUGAUUUUACAGGCUGCUCUUUGUUAGAAAAGAAAAUGAUUUGGCGGCUGCUUUUCAUUCAAAGGAAAACCUUACGGAGGACUCCAUACCCUCACUGUCUGCUAAAUAAUUCCUUUUUAACGCCUAUAUCUGCAGCUUCCAACUUCUUUAUAUGUCCCUCACAAAACAUUUUUAUGCAAAUGGUUAAAAGAGAAAACCAGAUCCAGAAAUUAGGACCAUUAAUAUGAAAAUUGAAAUUUUAAAUGUUUUCACUGCUUUCUUGCUGACCACCAGGACUUCAGCAGGUAAUUAAGAUGUCAGCAAGAUUUUUUUUAAGUAACUGAAAGUUCUAGCUGCUGUACUUAUAUACUUUGGAUGCUUGUCCGCUCCAAAUCUCAUGUUGAAAUGUAAUCCCCAUUGUUGGUUGAGUGGCCUGGUGGGAGGUGUUUGGGACAUGAGGGUGGAUUCCUCAUGAAUGGCUUGGUGUCAUCCUUGCAGUAAUGAGUGAGUUUGUUCUCAGUCUGUGAGUUCACAUGAGAUCUGGCUGUUUAAAAGAGGCUGGGACUUCCUCUACUCUCUCUCUUUCUCCCUCUCUUGCCCUGUGACAUGCUGGCUCGCCUUUGUUUUCUGCCAUGAUUGUAAGCUCCCCAAGGCCCUCACCAGAGGCCAAACAGAUGCUAGUGUUAUGCUUCCUAUACAGCCUACAGAUCCAUAGCCAAAUAAACCUCUUUUCUUUAAAAAUUACCCAGUCUCAGGUAUUCCUUUAGAGUAAUGCAAAGAGACUAAUAUAUAUGCCUUUUGCACCUUUGAAACAGAAGUUUAAAAAAUAUUUUUAUGAUUCACCUUGUUCGCUCGUGACACAAACACUAUUGAGGCAUCUCCAUUGGCUGAGGCCAGUUCUCUCACCAGGUUUAUAUUUUAUAGACUCUUGGGUUCUGAAUGAGUACUCUGAUAUCUUUUGCACCUUCAGCCUCCUUUUUCUCAGCUUUGAGAAAAACGCUUGUGUGAAUGCCUGGUCUUUUCACAAAAUAAGCAGAGUAUUUUAGACUUCAUCUGCUGGACUUCCUCUGUCUCCAGAAGGAAACAUUGUAGUAUAAGAAAUUACAAAAACAGGCCGGGUGCAGUGGCUCAUGCCUGUAAUCCCAGUACUUUAGGUGGCCGAGGCAGGCGGAUCACGAGGUCAGGAGAUCGAGGCCAUCCUGGCUAACACAGUGAAACCCGGUCUCUACUAAAUACACAAAAAAUUAGCCAGCCUGGUGGCGGGUAUCUAUAGUCCCGGCUACUCAGGAGGCUGAGGCAGGAGAAUGGCGUGAACCCAGGAGGCAGAGCUUGCAGUGAGCCGAGAUCAUGCCACUGCACUCCAGCCUGGGCGACUGAGCGAGACUCCAUCUCAAAAAAAAAAAAAAUUGCAAAAACAAAUUCUCAAAACUACUGCUUAAACUUAUCCUAUUGGUCAGCUUGAAGGAGAGCAAUAAUUGCUGGAUGUUCUUUAAUUUGUAGAAACUGGCUUAAUUUGUGCACACAUAAAAAGAAGUCUAAUUUCACAACUACAGAUUGCAAGGCAUUAUUGUGUAGGAUAGGACUGAUGCCGAAAGACCACAUGAGAAGAUAGAAUAUCAGUUUAGUUUUAGUAACUGACUCUCCUUUAUAAGAACUUUGACCCUCUGUAAUACUAUAGAACAAAAUCUUCUUUCCUAAGUAUGCAUUUAUUGAUCACAUAUUAUGUGCCAACCACUGUGCUGGUCACAGGUGUGUGUGUGUGUGUGUGUAUGGCAUUGACUAAGACAACAUCUGUGAACUCAGGUUUCUGUGUAGUGGAUAUAAGAUGAAUGCCUACUGUCAAGUUUCCACAAGACUACCGGAAAAACCUGUUGAUCAAGCAAAGCUAUGAUUUUAGAUCUAUAGGAAAAGAAUAUACAAGAUUGAGAGAAUCUGAUUAGUUGCUCAAAAUGGAUAAAUUAGGAGAGCACAUUUAUGGAGUUCUGGGCUUGUUCUGCAUUACUUUAAGGCAGGUACUGCAAGUCAGAGAAAUGAUUGGAAUUGGACAAGAGUUUAGACAAAGUAGUCUUGUGUUUGUGGCACAGAGAGGGUCUUGAAAUAAGCCCUGGUGAGUAAGCUGAUGACCUUGCUAAGUAAGUUAGUUGAUUCAUAGUUUUUUUUUUUUUUUCUUUUCUUCCAGAAAUAUUUCCCAGAGCAGGGAGCCAAGUUGUCAGUAAUAAUGAAAACAGUAAUGAAAAUAUGCCUAGUUCCAAAAUUUUCACAAAGGGACAAAAAAUUUUUCUAGUUAUCACAAAUAAAUGAACUUGAAUCCUUAAAAUAUAGCCAUAAGGAGUCUUUAAAUAAAAUGCAAAAAUCUUUAUUAAAUGAAUGAAAAGAAAGUUUCUCUUCCUUGAGACUAUCAUUUUUAAAAAACAGAUAAAUGUGGGGAAGUUUAUUUUGUUAUUCUAACAUAAUUCUGUUUGGGAAUGAAAAUUAAAAUAGAAUUUUUUUCCCUAAAGCAAAGUUAUAGAACUUCCUAUUGCAAUUAUCCAUGCUAAAUUUGCUGACAUGAGUGUUUUCACUAAAGUCUUCAAUACAUAGGCUGUGCUGGGAAGGUCUGGGCCAUACCUACUGUCUGGCUACUAAGGCCAUGAAUCUCUCUUAAAGAUGUGUUUUGUAGUAGACCUGAACAGACUCAUUUUAGUGGAGUCCAAGAGACUAUAUCUUCUGUUUUAAUAGAUUUGUUUUUUCUCAAAUUUUUGAAAAAAGCUGUGCUACCACCUUGAAUUUGGAACCACUUCUUGUUGUUGCUGUUAUUGCUAUGGGCAUGUUUUUGUUAUAGACAAGUUUUUGUUUCCAUAUCAUUGUAAACAUAGCUUAUGACACAUAUUCUCAAAUGUGCAAAGAAAAGUAUAAUGUUUGAGUUUAUACAUCCAUGUAGUAAGUGUGGAUCAUUCAUUCCAUAUAUAAGAUACAUUUUUAGGUAAGCAUUCAGGUAAAGGGUAUUUUGUCAUUUCGUUCUUCAAAUAUUUAUUGAGUGACUGAUAUGUAAAUGGUGAUAUAUAUAUUAGGUGUUAAGGUGUUAGGGUUUUGGAGUUGGGGAUUUAGUGGAAGAGAGUGGAACCAGUGCCUGCCCUCAAGGAGUUUAUAAUCUAGUGAGGUAGAGAAAUGUUCAACCAAGAAUGAGACACAUAAGUUAGUAUUAGAGCUCUGGUAAGUGGUGUGAAAGAGAGUUAUCUGAUAUUAUAAAAUCGUGUAACCCUGUAUAAGAUGAACUUUCAAGCUGAACUGAGAGUAGAAGGCAGAGAUGAUAAUGAGGCAGAGUGAUUUAAGUAGAGAAAACAGAUAUGUAACAUCCCUAAGGAGAAAGAACUAGAACUCAAAGGCUUAUCAUUACUGCCAAAAUGUAAUUUGUCAUAGUUGUGUUCUUUCAAUUGUCUUCGUUAAAUAUUAAUUAUUUUAAUAAAAGUUAUAUAAGUGCAUUUUAAUAUUUAAUCUACACAAAGAUGAGAUACUUUUAUUAAUUUCUGUAAAUGUUUCAGAACAUUACUUUUUCUGUGAUUUUAAAUAUUUGUGAAAACUCUUUCAAUCUGUCCUUCAGGAAGACUCAGCUCUCAUCUACAUACUUGCCAAUAGAAAUAGUGUUUUCACGUUAAAGAAACAAGCUUAGAAGUUAGGAGGUACCAUCAUGUUAAUUGCUGCCUUGUAAUGGUUAUUUAUUGUCAUUUUGUUUAUUGACAGUGACUAGAAUAGCAGUAUGAUCAGCAUGAUCAUUAUAAAAAAUAAUGAGGCUUUUUUCUUUUUUUUGAGACGACGGAGUCUUGCACUGUUGCUCUGGCUGGAAUGCAGUGGUGUGAUCUCAGCUCACUGCAGCCUCUGCCUCCCAAGUUCAAGCAAUUCUCCCCCUCAGCCUCCUGAGUAGCUGGGAGGACAGGCACCCGCCACCACCCCUGGCUAAUUUUUUUUGUAUUUUUAGUAGAGACAGGAUUUCACUAUGUUGGCCAGGCUGGUCUUGAACUCCUGACCUUGUGAUCCACCCGCCUCGGCCUCCCAAAGUGCUGGGAUUACAGGUGUGAGCCACCAUGCCUGGCUGAGGCUUUCUUUUAAACAGAAGAAUUACACUUCCAAUUCAAUAAAAUUUCCUCUAGAAGAGAAUUGGAUAUUAAUUCAAAGAAAUACGAAGUUUUUAUUUUACCCUAUGCUUAUGUAGAACAUUAGAGAAUUCCCCAAAUCUCUAAAUCUUCAUUUUCCAACUAACUGAAUGGCAGUGAUAAAAUUUCCUGUCUAAGCAAAUUAUUUCUCACCAUAGAUGUUCUCUUUAUGUAAAUCUUGCAUUUUGAGCCUAAUGUUGUAAGAAACCAGGUCUGAUAUGUGUAGUUUUUACUAAUCCAUUGUUUACCUUGUUAGAGAAACAGUGAGCAGGUUAGCUACCUAGGCGAAUUGAUUUGAAUGGAGACAGAAUUGUUAGACAUACGUUAAUUUGAUAGCACCUUCAAGGACCAACUCAAGGGAGGCCUGAUUUACCCUCAUUGCCAGUCACUUGCUUUUGUUAGUAGUGGAUGCAGGAGCUAUCAUGUUUCAUUCUCAAAAUCACAGUAUCCGUUUGCACACGGAAAGGUGGAAGGAAGGCCUAUGCAAGUGUCUGUUGAGGCAUUUUCAGCUGGAGGUCUGUCUUGAUUUGUAGAUGCACUUCCCUCUUAACUGAGUUUUAGGAUUACAGUUCUAACAUUUCUGUGACUUCAAACUCAGUUUGUACAGAAGUGGCCAUUCAGUGAGGUCCUCAUCCUCAUUAAUGUUCAGAACUUCAAGAGUAUUCUUUGAUUAGUUUUGGGAGUCCUCGGUUUGUCCCCCUUUCUGUACCUCAAGAUUUGAUAUGUUUUCACACCGGGGGAAUUGGUAGAGUAUCAUUAAAGGAUUCAUCAUUACUGCUUCCUGAAGAUACCCUGUGCCCCAGAUAGCCCCAGACACACACUGACUUUUCUGACAUGUGAUGAUUUUGCUGACUAUAAUCUGGUCUCUAUCUCUGCCUUUGCAGAUCUUCUAUAUAAUUUAAGGCCCAGCCUAUGUGUCCCUGGUCUAUGCAACCUUCCAUUUCUCUCCCAUCCUAGCUAAGAGUUGUGUUCCUGUCUUCUGUACCUUCAGCCUCAUUUCUAGACAUACUUGUUAAAUUCUGCUUCAUAUUGGAGUUAAUUGUAUAAAUACCACUUAACUCUCACUCUUAACUCCAAAGAGCAAGGUUAAAAUUGUGUCUGGUUUUGUGUCCCGCAGAGCAUGAAGGAUGUGCUAGACCAUCAGCAAGCCUUCAUGAGAGGACUAGAAUACGGGAGGCAGUACUGCAGCGUGGUGUAGAGCUUGAGCUCUGGAACCAGGCUGCCUCUGUCUGCAUCUCACUUCCUCCAGUUAGUAGUCUAUGAUCUUGGACAGGUCUCUGUGCCUCAGUUUCCUCAUUGGGUUGUUGUGAGGGUUUAAUGAAACAAUGUACAUAAAGCACUUGGUACUACACCUGGAGUUUGGUAAGUUUUCAGAAAAUGUUAACAAUUAUGGUCAGCAAUUCAGAAGUGCAUGGAGCCUCUACUAUCUGCUCUUUUAUACAUUCACAGAUGUUGAGUAUUAGCUCUGUGCCAGGCAUUAUGCCAUGUUGAGUCUGCAAAAAUGAAUAACUAUCUUCAUAACAUGGAAGGGAAGGAUCAAUACCAACAACAGAAUGCUUAGUAUAGGACUUUUUUAUGACAGUGAUGUGUUGAAGUGAAUUUCAUGGUAAUGGAAAGCAGAUGUGCCAUACAUUGACCUCUAUACUUUCCGUGCACUUGAUAGUGCAUAGAGACAGCAGUACUAACAUCAAGAACUGAAAUUUUUAGAUUAUUUUGAAUCUCCAGUUCAAUUAGUUCCUAACUUGUUAAUGAACAAAUCCAUUAUCAGAGAUGCUAAUAGGGAAUAACAUAAGCUAAGGUUUUACUUUCUUGUCUUUCUCUUUGUCUAUGCUAAUGGGCGUUUAUUUUAUUUUAUUAUUUUUUGGAGACCAGGUUUCACUCCCUUUCCCCAGGCUGGAGUGCAGUGGCGGGAUCUCAGCUCACUGCAACCUCUGCCUCCUGGGUUCAAGCGAUUCACCUGCCUCAGCCUCCUGAGUAGCUGGGAGUGUAGAUGUGAGCCACCAUGCCUGGCUAAUUUUUGUAGUUUUUUUUGGAGAGACAGGGUUUCACCAUGUUGACCAGGCUGGUCUUGAACUCCUGAGCUCAAGAGAUCUGCCCACCUUUGUUUCCCAAAGUUCUGGGAUUAUAGGUGUGAGCCACGGAGCGUGGCUUCUGUGCUAACAAGCUAUUAGUGACUUCAAAGGUGGGCAGCAGAAGUUAGCCCCCAAAUAGCAGCAGUCCACUGUUAUGUAGAUUCCUCUGGUAAUAGUCACCUGGAAGAAAAUCUCCUAUAGGUCCAGCAUAAGUCCUCUAUUACUGAUUUCGGUUUAUCUAGUUUGAGACCUUUGAAAGUUGUCUUUUAAUGCCCUUUCUAUGACCUAUUGCAAGAAGAUCAUUGUCAGUCUGCUGUGCACUGUGUUUUAACAGCAGAUAUGGCUUUCUCUGGAAGGAUAAAAUCCUUGCCGGUGUUCCUCCCCAUGGUUCUUUGUAGAUUCUUUCUCUUUUUGCCAUUACCUUCUUCGCCCCAUCCCUCUUUCACACUUGGAAAUGGCCAAAGCCGAACUAAUCUCUGAAACUGAAUAUUAGAGCUCUGCCUAGAAUCUUGGCCCAUUUUUAUUUGAGCUUUUUUCCUACCUCAUUUUUGCUGGAAAAUCCUUCCAUUUGGCUUUUAAUAGGGGUCAUUUGUGAACAAUAUUUCAUAACCAGUUACAGAUUUCAAUCUUCUGCAUGUGUAUGAUAAUUUAUAGUCCAAGUGCUUUUAUACUUGAACAUCUUUUAUGAGUUCUACUGCCUUUUCCCUGAAAGGAAACUGCUUUCCUCUUCCCAUAUUGCAGGUAAGGUUAUUGAGGCAAAUGGACUGGUGAAAAUGUGGAAUCUGUUUUAAAAAGGUAGAACCAUGUCACUGUGCAAGUAAUAGAAACUCAAAGUAACUUUAACCAAAAUAGGGAUUGUAUGUGAAGGACACAAAUGUGUCUCUCACUGCAGCAGGAAAGAGAGAGGGCAACAAAGCCUCACUGGGGGAGGCAAGCAAGAACUGCAGUUGUGGUCGGAGUCUGUGCUUUGGCCUUCUUUUUCUCUGUUUGCUGCCUUCUGUGCUGGGGCUCCAUGCGCCUGCGUGGCCUGGUCUCUUAGACCACUGAGUCUCUGUCACCUGACUUCGCUGUCACAACAGAUACAACCUCAUCCCAUGAAUUCUAAUUCCAAAUUCUCUGGACUGAGAAUCUGAUUGGCUGGCCCAGUGUAGAGUCAGAUACACCCCCUUGGUCAUGUUAGUUCUGGCGUCGUAUGAGGCCUGGUCAUUUUCAGAGAAAGCUAUGGGCCUGAAUAGAUACUUAAAAGAAUCUUCUAACCAACCCAUGAGUUUAUAACUAAUUACAAGGUCAGCAAAUGUUCACCCAUAGGGGUGUAACUCCCCAUUUUUUAUGAACCGAAAUGGCAGUUUUUUAAAAUGAAGUUAGACAUUUCUCCCUCAAAGUUCCUGUAACACUUACAGAUUCCUUUCUUAAACUCUUAUUUGUUCCAACAUUUCUAUCUGCUUCACUAGACUGUGAGCUUCUUGAAGAAAAUGACCCUGUGUUGUUCAGUCUUCACAUACUCAAUGCCUGGCUCAAUGCUAGGAUAUUUUAAAUGCUUAGCAAAUGCUGGUUGAAUGGAGAAAUAGAUAAAAGACUGCCUACCUCAAAAGAUAUUUCUUUGCACUCCCACAUUUUUAAAAUUUUUGUGUUUAAGUCAUACACAGCUAAAAGAUAACUGAGGCAAAAAUAUCUGCCUAAAGCGAUAAGCUAAAGCAACUUUUGUGUUCUCAGGAAGUAGUAUCCCAUAGUGCAGUCAUAACUCACUGGAAAAUACCAAGAUUUCUCAAAAGAACAGCCAGCAGGUGAUCCAGGACAGUUUAGCUUCUGGUCAGUAAAAGAAAACUAUUUCAAAUGGAAAGAAAUUCUAGAUUUCAAAUGAAUGGACAGGAAAACUCCAGUGAUUAACUACAUCAACCAAAGGUUCCCAAUAAGGUUAAAGACGUAGAAAACUGAAAAUAUCUUGAUGGCUCAUACUUAUUCCUUUAGGUGUUCUUCUUAGUUCUUAUUUUUUACUUUGAAAGUUUUAAAUUAAUCAUUUACUAGUUUUUGAUGGCUUCCAUAACAGAUUACUGAAAACUUAGUAACAUAAAACAACAAAAAUAAAAUCAUUUAACAACUCUGGAGGCCAGAAGUCUUAAAUGGCUCUCACUGGGCUAAAAUCAAGAUGUCAGCAGGGCUGUGUUUCCUCUGGAAGCUCUAGUAGAGAACCUGUUUCUUUGACUUUUCCAGCUUCUCAUGGCCCCUUCCUCUAUCUUUAAAGCCAGAAAGGGCAGGUUGACUUCUCACUUUUCAUCACUGUGACCUUCUCUUCAGCCUGUCUCUUCCAUCUUUUAAGGACCCUUGUGAUUAUGUUGGGCCCACCUAGAUAAUCCAGGAUCAUCUCCCUGCCUUAAGGCCAGCAGAUUAGCAACCUUCAUCAUCUGCAACCUUAAUGCCCCUUUCCCAUGUAAGCAUAUUCAGAGGUUCUGAGUAUUAGGACAUGGACAUCUAUAGGUGGCCAGGAUUCUGUCGACCACACCUACACCUACUGUGAACACAGAUACUAUGGAGGAUAUAAAAGUAAACUAUAUAUAGCAGUCACAAUCAAGGAUGUAUACUGGCUAAUGAAAAAGUCAACUUCACAUAAUGUAAAUAAUACAUAAUUGCAAAUUCUCUGUCUCAAAAUUUCCCUUUCUUCUUACUCAAUAAAUGUCCAGCUUCCUGGUCUCUGACUGUGCCAGUCCCAAGUCAUGUUGCCUAGUCCAAUUUUAGGGUUGCAACUAGUUCUGUUAACACCUUAAUGCAACACAUUAGGAUAUACAGCCAUAAACAAGACAUCAGGUUUUGAAUAGACAAAUGAACUGCUAUGAAUGAACUAUGCAGUAAAGUGAUUUCCUCCAACACUGUUAGUAAUCUAAUCUGAGAAUGAGAAGUGAAAAUUGCAAAUUAUCCCAACAGUACAUCAUACUUAACGUCCUCAGCCUAAAUGCUAUAGGAGAUAGAGAUUAUUCAGCAUAAGAAUAUUAUGCUAAAAACUCAAAAGUUCAGACUGCUUUUCAAGGAGUUGAAGCAGUAGGGUGUUAACGCCUGAAAAGCUUUUUGUAGUUACCUUGUUUGCCCAUUUAGACUUCAAGGGCAAGUUUGAGGUUCUAUGAAUGAUAUCCACAGUUUGCAUUUAAAUUUGAAGGUUAUUUAUUAAGUGACAUUUUCAGUAAGAUACAAAACCUACCUCCUGGUUAGUGAUUGCACGAAGUCAUUUUUAGUGCAUGUAAGAGAGCAGUGAAUCAGAAUAUUUAUAGUUUAGCACUUUUAAAAAUGUCCUUCAAAUAUGUGUGCACAUAAUAGCUUCUUAGACUAUCAAGUCCAAGUUUUACAAGAUUUAGGCUGAAUAUCACACAUCUUCAAUAAAUAGUUUUGUAUUCAUGUACGUGGUGAUCAGCAAUCUAGAAAAAAUAUAAUUCCAGAAAACUAAUUUGUUAGGAUCAGUCCUAGAUCAGAUAUUUUUAUUUUACUUGAAUUGAUCAUUAGUAAAUGCUUAAAUAUUUACUAAACGAAUUAAUGAUGUAUACAGUAGAAAAUGCUAAGUGUGGAAGAACGGUCAUAUGUUAAGCACAAAAUCUCAGACUGGGAUUUUAUAGUGGUAAUUGCUAUUGUGUUCAGAGGCCCGUGGAGACCUAGGAUAAACAUGCUGCAUCUUUUGAGGAAUUUUGCUUAUUUGAGAACAAAGUUAAAUACUUUACCUACUGAGUAAUUUAAAAUAUUUUUGUAUUAUGACAAAAAUCAUAUUAUUGAGAACACAAUUCACAUAACAUUUCUUAUAAUAGCAUAAUUUUUCCAUGGUAUUUUUAUAAAGUAUUUGAAAAUUUUCAUUACAUUAUGCAAUUUGCAAGCAUUUCCCAUUUAUUGUGUGUGUGUGUAUAUGUGACCUCAUGUAGCCCUAUAAGGCUUGUUACUAAAAAAUAAUUCAAAACCCCUACAUUGUCCCUCCUUCCUCUCCCUCAUUUCUUUUAAACUGAUUAUUUUAGUAUUUAUCUCUGUAUCUCUAAGUAAUAUGUAUACUUUUUUAUUUUUUACAUUUCAAGCUCUUUCUAUUGAUUUUGCACUAUGGAAGCAGAGAACAUAACUAAUAUCACUAGUCUUCCCUUCACUUCUAUUGCACACGCUCUUCUUCUGUCCCUUAUCUCAAUGUAAUUUUACUGCAAAUUUGAUGAAAUUAAUAUUCAUAUUAGUACAGUAUUGAAAUGUCAUCUAAAGCUGAAGUGUGGAGUAAACUACCAUCACACUUUCUAUCCUGCCUGACUUUUGAUUUCUCUGGAUGUAAUAAUUUUCUUGUUUUUUAAUUUGCUUGGUUUUGUAAAUACUUAUCACUGUCUUAGCCCCCAAAGUCUUCACUGGUUGUCUAAAUACCUUCUCAAGAUGUUCAUGCACUUCUGGUAUUCUGGCACUUUCAUCUUCCUAGAGACAUCUCUCCUGCAGCCCUGCUCUCUCAUUUUGCUGGGGUACUCUAUGUCAGAGACCCUCUAUUUUACUCUCUACAGGAACAAAGCUUAAGUCACUGGCCAGGAUGAGGGGGUGUCGCAAUCUCCUGGCUAUCAGGAGUGGGAGAUGGGAUCUGAGGAUCUAACUCCUCCUUAAUCCUUUCCCUUCCCCUGCUCAAACAUCUUUAGAGAGAUAUAAUAUAUGUAGCAUACCAUUCACCCAUUUAAAGUGUAUAUUCUGUGGUUUUCGGAACAUUAUCAGAAUUGUGCAACUAUCACCAUAGUCAUUUUUAGACCAUUUUCAUCACCACCAAAAGAAACCCCAGAUGCAUUAGCAGUCAUUUCUGUUUCUCAUGAAGCCCCCUCCGCGGCCCUGGGCAUUAUGAUUCCAUUUUAUGUUUUUAUAUCUUGGCCUGUUCUGGACAUUUCCUAUAAAUGAAAUCACACAGUUGUGGUCUUUUGUGACUGGCUUCUUUCAGCUAGAAUAAUGUUUUCAUGGUUCAUCAUGCUGUAAUGUGUCUCAGUACUUUAUUUUUUUAUUGCUAAUAAUAUUCCAUUGUAUGCGUGUACCACAUUAUUUAUCUUUUCAUCCAUCAAUGGAAAUUUGGGGUGUUUCCACUUUUAGGCUUUUAUGGAUGAUGCUGUUAUAAACAUUCAUAUAGAACUUUUGUGUGAACAUAUGUUUUCAUUUCUCUUGGGUGUAUAACUAGGAGUGGAAUUGCUGGGUAAUAUAUAUACCUUUAUAUAUACUAUCUUUAUGUAUAUAAUAAAUUAGAUGCAUCAUUUUACAUGAUCACCUGCAAGAUGUAAGGGUUCUGAUUUUUCCCCAUCAUUAUUAAUUUUUUUUUAGUUAUAGGUGACCUUGUGGGUGCCAAAUGGUGACUCAUGGUGUUUAGAUCACCAUUUCUCUGAUGGCUUUUAAUGCUGAGUAUCUUUUCAUUUGCGUAUUGGCCAUCUGAGUAUCUUGUUUGGAGAAAUGUCUAUUUAAAACCUUUACCCAUUUAAAAAAUUUGAAUCAUCUAUUUAUUAUUGAGUUGAAAAAGUUCUUUAUAUAUUCUAGAUACAAGUCCCUUCUCAGAUAUGUGAUUUGCAUAUAUUUUCUCCCAUUCCUCUUUGAUUGUCUUCUCACUUUAUUAAUGAUGUCCUUCAAAAUACAAACUUUUACAUUUUGAUGAAGUCUAAUUUAUAUAUAUUUUUUCUUUGUUGUGGCUGUCGUUGCUUGUGCUUUUGCUGACAUAGCUAAGAGACCCCUGUGUAAUCCGUACUCAUGAAGGUUUACAUGUAUGUUUUCUUCUAAGUUUUAUACUUUAAACUCUUAGGUCUUUGAUCUAUUUCGAGUUAAUUUUUAUAUAUUCUAUGAAGUAGGAGCCUUCCACUCUUUUGUGUGUAGAUAUCCACUUGUCCAAGGACCAUCUCUUAAAAAGACUACUCUUUCUCUGUUUGCUUAAUGUUUUAAGAUAUCAGAGCUCAAAUACAUUUCCUGCUUGCUAAAUAUGUCUAUAUAUGUUUUUCAUUUUCAGCAUGUAUGUUCCUUCUCCACUAUCAUUGUGUACUUCAGCAGAAAUGUUGGGAAAAACUUGGUAUAAAGAAAACAAACUUUAAUAGAUAUGCUUCAACCAAGAAGGCUCUGGGAUGUAGACUUUUCAUUGAAAGGAGCCAUUGAAGAUAAACAGGAGAGGUUCAUAUUAAGCUAGAGGUCCAGGUUAGGUCGUGCAUUCUCAGUGGGAGUGAUAUCACCCCCAAGCCGGUGAAAAUUAAUUCUUGGGAGCAAUAAAAAGUCAUUCUUUUUAUGUGUAAAGCGCAGACAUAGAGACAAUACGUAUAAGGAUAUAAAGAAAAUCUGUGGUAUUAAAAUUUCAGGGGGGCAAUUAGAAAACGCUCCUUGCAGGGAUGAUGAUGAAAAAAAGAUUGAGAAACAGUGAGGUGAAAGUCGCAUUUCAUCACAAUUGCCUUAAAAAUUCCUUCCUUAAGUGGCUCAUUAAUGAGUACAUGGUUUUGAUAUAUUGAUAUGUACUUGAACAUUCAAGAACCACUGAAAUAAAAGAAAGGAGAAAAGGAGAGUCCACAUUCAACUCCCUGGGUUUUGAAGCCAUUCCUAGCAGAGGCUUUCGAAGGACUUCUAAAUGCUCUAUAUGCAGUGUUUGCUCUAUUGUGCUUUUAUAUUAACUCUCUAUUAACUCUCUUAAUGUAUUAUUGUUAGUGUUAUUAGGAUUAAAUAAGAUAAUAGAACCAGUAACUUAUAGUGAUAAAGUGCUGUGUGUACAGAAGAGGUUUUCAAGUCUUUUCUUAAGUUGAGUAUUUCUAAUGAUAAUUUUCCACUGUGAUAAUUUUUUCUUUUUAAGCUUUAGCUUUUCUAGCUACUGGUCCUUGUUAUAUGUAAUAUGAGCUGAACUAUUGGUAGGAAGGCUUUAUCAGUGAGUGCAUGGCUAAAUGUAUUCAAAAUCCUUUUAUGACUUGAAUCUGUCCAUGGUUUUGACUUUGCUGCUUUAUCAUGUCUAUACUUGAGAAGUAUUAUGUUUGCUCAUCAGGCUACUCCUACAUACAGAGUGGUCCUCAGAGAACAUUUUCUUCUAGGAUUUAAGUGAUGAAAAGCAAGGCUGAAUGGAGAUUUUGGUGAAAGGCUUUCUCUUUGGAUCCAUCUCUAAUAUUUUUCUCCCCCACUUUGGGGAAUUCACUGGAAGCUGAUGCCACAUACUUUGUUGAUGGUACCCUUAGCUAACCACCUCAGGACAUAACAAGUUUAAUUUGAACAGAUCAAAUAGAUUCAAAGGAAAAAUAUUUAAGAUGAUUGGUAAAAUUCUCAACGUAAAUCUAAAAUCUUUUCAUUUAAAAAAAAAAACACUCACUUUCUCCAGACCAGUUUCCUAGGAGACUGCCAAUUAUUCUAAUGUGAUAAGCUAGAUUGCAAAUGAAGAACUUGUUGAAAGAUGCAUUUAAGCUAAAGACUUUAUUUCUUUAGUUUUAAUUUUUUGAUAUCAUUUAUAUACAGCAACACACAUAAAAUUUACAUACACUGUGGAUUACUGUAGAAUACUGUCAUCAAAUCAAUAAGUUUCUUCCACAGUUUUGCAUUCCACCUCCUCUCUACCACCCCUGGCCUCAGGCAUCCACUGAUCUGCUUUGUGAUGCUAUAGAUUAGGUUUGGCUUUUUAAGUAUUUUGUAUAAAUGGAAUCAUGUAGCAUGUAUCUUUUUGUUCCUGGGGCCUUUUCUCCUUCUUGUUACUGCAUGUGUCAACAGUUCAUUCCUUUUCAUUGCUGAGUAGUAUUGUUGCAUGAUUAUACUACAGUUUGUUAAGUCAUCUGAUAGUGGACAUUUAGGUUGUGUCUACUUUAUGGCUAUUAUGAAGAAAGCUAUAAUUUUUCAUAGAUGAGUCUAUUGGAGAAUAUGUUUGCAUUUUUCUUGGAUGCAUACCUACAAGUGGAAUUACUGAGUCACAUGCUAUAUUUAAAGUCAAAUUUACAAGGAAUUGCCAGUGGUAUUCUAAAAUGGUUAUAUCAGUUUUCACUCUACCAUCAACAUUUGGAAGUUCUUAAUUGCUGCCAAUCCUUGUCAACACUUGAUAUUGUCAGUCUUUUUAUUUCAGCCAUUCUAUUUAGCUGUGUAGCAGUAUCUCAUUUGGGUUUUAAUUUGCAUUUCCCUAAUGACUAAUGAUAAGCAUUUUUUUCCUGUAAUUAUGUUUUCUUUUGUACGAUGUCAUUUUGGGUACUUUGCUCAUUUUUAAUUGGGUUGACUAUCUUACUGAGAUAUUAGUUAUUUUUUAUUCUAGAUAUAAGUCGUUUAUUAAGUAUUUGCAUUAAAAAUAUGUUCUUCUAGUCUGUGACUUGGCUUUUUAUUUCCUAAACUGUGCCUUUCAAAGAACUAAAGUUCUUUGUUCUUCAAAUCCAAGUCUUUUUUUUUUAUCUUUUUUUCUUUGUACUUUAUAUGUACUAAGUCAUAUAAAGUACCUAACCACAUAAAGAGUUUAUUUGGUUAACUCUUUAGGUAAGAGAUUCACAGCUGGGAUUGUUUUGCCGUCAGGGAAUUUCAGUCAGUUAGCUGAACAGGAAAUGUUUAUUUCAGCGUCUAGCAGUUUUAGGGGUAAAAAGAGUUCUAAUCUUAGCUAAUCAAUCCUGAGCCACAGAGUGGGAAAUUGGCUAGAGGUAAAAAGGGUUGGGUCUCUUUCUGGCCUUGUUACAGGUAAACAAAAGGGGUGGUCUGCACAUUUUGUGAAAAUUAUGAUAGAGUAAGAAUAGUCAUAUCUAAGUCAUUUGGGGAAGGGUAGUUCUCUUCAGCAGCCAUUUCCCAGAACCAAAAAGGGUGGGGAUGUUUUGCCUUUAAUUUUCAAAAGGUUUGUAGGGGUGGUUGUUAACCAUCACUUUUCUGCAAGCACAGGGCUCAGGUAAAGUUUGACAUUGUCAGGGCCUAUUUGUACUUAGAUUCUUUAAUUCUUUUUGUAUGAAUACACCAUGCUACUGGUUCCCUCAUUAAGAAAUUCAUUUUGAUAUGUUUGCUUUAUAUUUAUCUAAAAGCAAUGUUUGUAACUUUUUAAAAAUUAUACUUUGACAUUCUUUGGAUCUUCAUAGAUGCUGUAGGGGACAAAAGAUUUUUCAUCUGUCACUAGACUCAUGACUGAGACACUAUGACAAAAGACAGAUUAACCGGAGAAAAACAUACAACUUUAUUUAACAUAAGUUUUAUGUGACACAGGAUCAUUCCAAAAUGAAGACCCAAAGACAUAGGGAAAUGUACAUGUUUUAAUGUUCAGUUUGAUAAAGUAGAUGGUAGGGGAGAAAUAUUAUAGGAGGAUAAAAGGUUAUGGUCUAAUGGUAAUAAACUGGGCUGACUUGGGAAGGCCUGUUUGUUCAGAUUCUUCUGUGUCCCUUUGUCUUCAGAGAGACAGAGAUGUUCCUUUUCUCCAGGUACAGUGAGAGAACCUCUGAAAUGGGAGUCUUAAUGAUGUACUGCAGAGGUCAGAGAAUUACUGUAUAGUCUGCUUCAGAGGAGAAGGGCAGGAAGAAGGUCCAAGAGACCUUCUUGCUUCUGCUGUUUCCUCCAGUGCCAAAGUGGGGUGUCCUGAACGUCAUCAGUAACGUACCUAUUGGUCAGGAAGGCACGUUUACAAAGUCAAGCUUAUCCAUUAAAUAUUUCCUCAAUUUAAUUUACUAUGAGGAUAGUUUCUAUGUUGAAGAGGAUCUGACAUCAGGCUGGUUUCUUUUUAGUAUGUCUUGAAGUUUAUUGUUUCUUGACUUGUGAAAAUCAACAGGGUCUCUUACAAAUAGACUCCCUUACCAUAAACUCCUGAAUUUUAGACAGUAAAAUAAAUGUAUCAACAGGACUCAUGAAUGUGAUAAUUAUAGUGUAUUUUGAUGAUUCUAAUACUCACCGUCUCUGAAAUUAAUACGUUCCUUGCGAUUGGUACCAUCUUAGGUAGGAUGUAAUAUGAUAUAUAUGUCUUUUGUUUUUCUUUUCUCACCUGUCGUGGAUAUGUUACUGGGAAGGGUACCAAUCCAGAGCCUAAGAAAGGGUUCUUGGACCUCAUGCAAGGAAGAAUUCAGAGUGAGUCCAAAGAGUAAAGUGAAAUCAACUUUAUUAGGAAAGUAAAGGGAUAAGUACUUUUUUUAUUCCAAAAUACUUUUGUAUUCCAAAAAGUAAAGUGAAAGCAAGUUUAUUUGGAAAGCAGUUUGGGCUGCUCAACUGAAAAUACUUAUAAUUAUUUCUUGAUUAGAUGCUGAACAAGGGGUGGAUUAUUCAUGACUUUCCCGGGAAUGGGGUUGGCAAUUCCCGGAGCUGAGGGUUGGGUUCCUCCUCUUUUUAGACCAUAUAGUGUAACUUCCAGACUUUGCCAUGGCAUUUGUAAACUGUCAUGGCGCUGGUGGGAGUGUGUUUUAGCACACUGAUGCAUUGUAAUUAUCAUAUAAUGAGCAUUGAGGACAACCAGAGGUCACUUUUAUCACCAUCUUGGUUUCGAUGGGUUUUGGCCAGCUUCUUUACGCAUCUGCAUCUUGUUUUAUCAGGUGAUUUGCACCUUGUGUCAACCUCCUAUCUCGUCUGUGACUUAGAAUGCCUAACCUCCUGGAAAUACAGCCCAGUAGGUCUCAGCCUUAUUUUACCCAGCCGCUAUUCAAGAUAGAGUUGCUCUGGUUCAAACACCUCUGACAGAUACAAGAAAAAAAUAGCAUAAUAUAUUUUAUUAGAAUUCAUUAAGGUUAUAGAGGCAUUUAUUUGCAAAAGCUUUGUGUUAAGUCUAAAGCCCCAACAAUCACUUUUUCACUUCUGUGUUCUAUUGUUUUGUUAAAAGUUUUCAAACUUCUAAACAAUAGUGAAUACGCCAAGUUUUAACGCUUACACCUGGCAGGAAGAAAAAUAAGUUCUGUAUUUUACACUUUGUUUCUCCUGACACUAUUUUUUUCUUUUUUUUUUUUUUAAAUUUAGUCAAGACAGAAGUUUCCUGCAGUGGCAGGAAUCCAGUAACUGAGGCUUUUAAAUAUCUAGCUGUGUUACUCACUAUUUUGCUGCAGUCAUCAUACUUAAUUGGUACACCCUGAAGUGUGAACCAACCUCCUACACCCUCUACGGCCCUUAGAACUGGAAGGAUGGUUUUGCUAGAUCUUCCUUAAGAACACUAAUAUUUUUUUCUCUUCUAACUUGUAGUGGUUAGAUGCACAGAAUUCAGACCUGAGUGUUCACUGGCGUUUAAAUAUUGCCUUAAAGCAAAUCCUUUCUGACCUUGUGGUUAUUGAGACACUUGAGCCUGUGGUUGUAUUCUACCCUAUUCUCAUUCAUUUUCAUGCUCUGGAAGGGGCCCAGUGGUACAGGGGUAUCCAUUGCUAGGUCCCAGCCUCUUGCUUUCCCUCCCUUGAAUUAUUUCCUUGUCAUCCCAUUGCCAGGGUGAAGUUCACACUCCCUGAGUUGGCAUAGGAAAUCUGACCCACUCUUUACUCUUUCUCCACCUCACUCUGGAUUCCAAUUUAUAUUGGAUACCCUUUCUAGAAAACCCAUGGUAACAGCACUUGGGGUGCAUUAUUGAAACAUGAUUUUGAGUUGGGCAGCCUAGCUACUUACUGUCUGCAAGUCCCUGGGCAAGUUAAUUAACCUCUCUGAGGCUGUGUUGCUUUUUAUGUUAAGUGGGGAUAAUAAUAGUACUUAGCUCCUGGAGUUACUCUAAGGAUUUAGCAAGGUGAUGAAUGUAAAUUACUAAGCUUAGUUCCUGAAUAUUUUAAGAUACUCCCUUAAAACAAAUGUAAGCCAUUAUUAUUUGCAGUUGCCAUAACUUAAGGUCUUCCCAUCCUGUCCUCAGAAUGUUUUGAUGUUUUGUAGCCUUCCGGCUUUGAAGGUCUCUCCACACCCACUACUCAUCUUCUUCCUUUUCAUCUUAUCUGUGGUUUGGAUUUCAAAGUUUUAAUCAAGAUUCCAUAGCUUUCCCCUGAACAGAUUGUAUAGCCAGUACCCAGCCGCUCAUCUGCUAUGUCUGAGCAACAUUUGUUGAAAGAAAGAUUGAAUGAAAACUAGUGUCUAUUUCCAGUAGUUUUAGUUUUCAGAUAUUUUAAGGGUGAUAGGAAAGGUCUCUGCCCACUUCUUCUAUUUCUCUACCUCAGCAAUUCCUGGCCUGCUGCAGAGAUUCCUAUGUAGUUUUGACGGCUAUAACUUUGGUAGUCAUUUUAAAUGGGGACAGGUGAAAAAAAUCUUUCGGAACCACAUCAAGGUAGGUCUUUUUUUUUUUUUUAACUGAAUAGGGUUCAGGACACAUGACUUCAAAAUAUGGCAUCUUGAUAUUUGAGAACAUAGCAGAAGCAGGAAGAUCUCUUUUACCUUCCCCUUCCCCUUCCCCUUCUCAUAAGACCCUCAUUCAAGAGGUACCCUCCACAGAUCUGGAGAAAGGGAACAUCCUUAUCUCUGAAGAUACAGGGACACAAAGAAGAUUUAGCAAACAGGCCUUCCAAAGUCCCUCCCAGCUUAUUACCAUUAGAUCAUAUUUUUUCAUCCAAUAAUACUUUUUCAUUACUAUCCACUUUUCCAUCAAACCAACAUAGAAAAAGACACAGGCUUCCCUAUUUUGAGGGUUUCAUUUUCCUAUGAAGGCUCCCAUGUCACGUAAAAUUCAUUCAAUAGAUUUAUAUGCUUUUUCCUUGUUGAUCUACCUUUUGUUAUAGGUGCCUCAGCCAUGAACUUAGUGGUGAGUGAGGAAAAUAUAUUUUUCCCCUAUACUACUAUCACAAUUUAAUAUUUUAAAGUAAUAAUCUUAGGAAGCACCAUCUAAAAUCAUGGACUUUUCAAAGAAGGGAUGCCAUAUGUCAAAGAUAUAAUGCACUGGACAGUUAAGGAGGUGAUUUUAUUUAGGAUACUGCUACAGGGAGAGCAUUAAUUAUGGUAGAACAUUUUGAAGAAGAGGAAGUGGGCCUGGAGUUUUAGAGAGGCCGCUAAACAAGGGAAUCCUGAGGAACGAUGGAGAUGGGAUCUUACAGAAAGGAUUGAAGAUUUCUUAAUUCUGGUUUUCUGGGAGCACAGGGCUCAGGUAAAGUUGAACGUUGUCACAGAGUGUUUCAUGGGAUGUACAACACCACAGACUAGUCACCUGCCAGGAAGGGAAAUUUUAUUGUAAUAUUUGGAGGUGGCAAUAUUAUUUUUCACAAAAGCCCCUGCUGAUAUAUGAUGGAGUGUGUACAAAAUCUGCAGAGGUGUGUGUGUGUGUGUGUGUGUGUGUGUGUGUGUGUAUUUAAUUUCCAACUUUUAAGUUCAGGGUUACAUGUGCAGGAUUGCAGGUUUGUUACAUAGGUAAACAUGUGCCAUGGUGGUUUUCUGCACAGAUCAACCCAUCACCCAGGUAUUAAGCCCAGCAUCCAUUAGCUCUUCUUCCGGAUAUUCUCUCUCCUCCCCGUUGACCCUCCGACAGGCCUUAGUUUGUUUUGUUCCCGCCAUGUGUCUAUUUGUUCUCAUAAUUCAGCUCCCACUUACAGGUGAGAACAUUUGGUAUUCAGUUUUCUGUUCCUGAGUUAGUUUGCUAAGGAUAGUGACCUCUAGUUUCAUCCAUGUCACUGCAAAGGACAUGAUCUCAUUCCUUUUUAAUCUGCAUAUAUUUUUGAGCUAAAGCAUGAGACAUCAAAGAAAUUUCUGCUUGUAGCAGUCUACUUUACCUCCACCUUCCUUGUCCUCCUCCUGCUCCCCUACUUCAGUGAAGCAAAUGUUAAUCCCUAUGCCAUGUUACUACUGUGAAAUGUUUGAGAAGCAUGGGUUAGGGCAUCCACAGCAGCUAUUAUGUUGAACACUCUAUGAAAAGCCACAAUCCAGGGUGAAAGAGUAGCAUCAGCAGAGGAAGAAAACUGGGAGAGUGAAAUGUGUGGCACCCACGGAGUUUCUUUUAUUGUCCAUGCAGGAUGUGAAUGGACAAGCAGUGUAAUAUAUGACUGACAGAGUAGAUGAUACUCUUAGUUUUGAAUUCCAGGGUAACGUUUCUGGAUUUAAUUCAUUUGGCAACUGGUGUCCAUUGAAGGUUUUAGAGCAAGGAUCUGUUAGGAGCUAAACAUGUUAGAAGAACAUUUUCAGCAAUAGGUUAAGUCAUAACUCUCAGACAGAUACAGAAAUGAACCUGUGUUAAAGAUUUUAUUUAAUUCACAAGGGAAGCUGCAGAUGAUAUAACUGGUUUAAAAGAUAAUCCAAACAACAGGCAUGUUUAUAAAACAGGAAUAUUGAAAUGUGUGUGAAAAUGGAGGCAAAGCUGUUUUCUUCCUCCAGGUGGCAGGAAGGAAGGAGGUCAAAGUAAACCUGUAUCAAACAGGAAAUAAUUUGCAUGUCUUAAUAUUUUGCAUUACUAUUAGUUACCUGUAAUGUAACAGAGUUGUAAAAUACCUUGAAGACACUGAACAGACCUAGACAUUGCGUAGGUUCCACACAUUUUUCUUUUUCUGAAGAACAUGAUGGGAGCUGAAUAUUAGUAAGAUCAUAGAGUGUGGAAAUUUGUGUUGAAGAGAAAGAAACUAGAGAUAUUAAGGAGAUUAGGAGACUAUUGCACCUGACCAAUCAUACUGAAAUGUAUGAUUAGAAUUAUGAUGGUGCUGGGAUGGCACAGAGGUGUGGAUGCAAGGUACUAAACCAAGGUGGGAUCUACCAAAGUUAUCAAUUGAUUAGAAGUGGGAGAUGAGAAAGGAGAGCCUGGUGGCUAGUGCUUGACUGGUAUUUGGAUUUGGCUUCUGCCUAGUUGUGUAACCUCAGGCAAGUUACCUGUCCUCUCUUAGCCUUAGUUAGCUCAUCUACAAAAUGGCGUAACCAUAGGGUCUGUCUUCUGAAUUAAGCAAGAUAACAUUUUGCCUCAGUCAGUUCCUGCUUCUAUAACAAAAUACCUUAGCCUGGGUGAUUUAGAAACAACAAAUAUUUAUUGCUUACAGUUCUGGAUUCUAAGAAAUCUUAAAAGGCUUGAGAAAAAUGGGUAAAUUUAGUGAGAGCAAGGAAAUUUGGGGAGCUUGAGGUUGAUGAUAAGAGACAUGGGAAGAUGAGAUAUCCAA